CCGUCCAGCAUCGUCGCGUCUCCAUGGCGGCGUAUGGCUGGCUUUCGGUUUAUCCCUCCACCGACGUAGAUCGGUCGCUUUCCUUUGUGUGUCUGUUUUUUUAGUUUGCUUUCAAUAAUCUCAUAUGGGCUGUGUUGGUAAUUACAGUGUAAGCAAUUUCGCUAACUACUGUUCUUUUCCUACCAGUUUUCCAUUGAGUUUUAAUUUGCAGAAAUCAAUUCAGGGAUCUGAGAAUUAGGUUGAAGAUAAGAAGUAGAAUCCGUCGCUUAUUAAUCAUUGCCAAUUCGCUGUUGUAUCUUUAUUGGAGCCUCUUUGUUUAAUACCGGUGAGAAACCCAUAAGAAUCCAUGUUCGAUAGUCUUAUCGACGGUGAUUCCUUCAUCGGAAUCGAAGCUCCAGCGGCGAAGGUUGAAGUCGGUUUGCUUUCGACUGCUCAUCUGACACGUGUUUAUGUCUAUCUUCAGUUGACUACACGUAUUACGGGAUAGAGUCAAAAUUCAGUUUCUUCUUCUGUAAACGACAGUAGAUUCUCUGAUGGGCCUCUUGUGGCUUGAGACUUUCUGUAAUCUUUUACUGUUGUGGGGCUUUUUAGCCCAUGUAUAACUGCCUUUGUUUAAUAAUAUUUCCCUCUUGCGAAAAAAAAAAAGCUUCAAGUUUUUCACUAGGGUUCUUGCCCUUUUGCUUCUUUGACAAAUUCUGUUCCUUUCUUUCGUAUUCUCACGGACGAACAAACCCCAAGAACGAGAGCUCAUGAUUGAGGUCGGUUCUUCUGCUCAAUUUCUACGCAACUGUAUUCUAAUUUGCAAUCUAUUUUAUGGAUUUGGGGUUUUUUUGUUACGGGAACAAAACCCAGGACUUUCCAGGUUUCUUAUGGUUGCGCUUUAGAUUUUAUAGUUUAGUGUAAUUUCUUCUGAUUUUGGGAAUUGGUUGUUGGAGAAGAGUGUUUUUUUUUUCUUAUAGCUGAGAGGAUUGAAAAAUUGAAAAUUUAUGAAUUUGAGCUCGCUAACGAGGUUCUCUUAGUUUGGAUUUUGCUCAGCGAUUUGUCUAUGUAAUUGCAUUUUGAUGUCCUAUGGUCGCUACUUGUAAUUUUAAUCAUUUUGGGAGGCUGCAAUCAUCUAAUUUCAAUCCUUUCUUCGCCCUCAAAUUCAAUUCUCGCCGUUUAUAGUCCCGCCGUUAUUGAGUAGCUAAUGUUGUUUUUAUGUAAUUGAUGGACAGAUUGUGGCCUUUGAGUAAAUGAUUCACUGCUCAGCUAGAGACAAUUGUGUUGGUAACCCAUAAAUUGCAGGUAUCUUAGACAUCGAUCUUAAAACUCCUAAACUCUGCGUGUUUUUGUGUUGCUGUAAUGGUCAUGUCUGAAAAUGGUUGAUUGAAAUCGAAGGGUUUCACUUAAGCUUUGAUUAAUAGUGUGCUAAGUACUGAAAGUGACGAUUUUUUCAAUAUAAUCUUGAAUUAGACGUUAUUGAUAUUGAUGUUCCCAUUGAAUCUUGAUUUGUGGUAACAAGAAUCACCAGGUUCUUGAUGUUGAUGUUCCCUUUGAAUUUUUCAGGAGCAAAAACUCUGAUUUUGGAGCAUCGUUUGUGUUCUCUUCCCAUAUUGUUAAACAAUUUCGUUUGGUUGGAAACAGAUUCAAGAAACUUGCUUCUGGUGGUUAAAGUCUCUCUGCUCAACCUAAGAGAUGAAAAUGUAUGUCCUAUCUCAUAAAUCCAUCUUCCAUUGUUUUUUUGUUCGAUUCCUUCUCUGUUUUUGUUGUCAAAAAUUUGGUGUUGGGUAUUUGCAGAGUGAAGGCAAAUGCAGGAGCACUUACCAAUUUCGAAGUGCUUGACUUCUUAAACUCAAGAGGUGCAUCAAAAGAUACUACAAGAGUUAUUGCUCCAAUUGCUAGAUCAGAAUACAAGGUUCUUUUGCCUGCAAUAUUUCUCUUCUGAUUUGGUCUUAGAGUGUUUUUGCUAAUUGGAAUGAUCUUUAUAGGUUUAUGAUUAUUUGGUGGAGACUGCUGCUUCCACUCAAACACGAGAGAGCGUUACCAAAUUCGCAGACAAGUGCAAAGAUUUCAAAGUCGCCAAAGCUGAGAUUCUCAAUAUCAUCAAUCUCCGGCCUUCCUCUAUUGUCGAACUGUUACCGGUUUGUGUUUUUUUUUGUUGUUUCUAUCUUAUAACACUACCAAAUGUCAUCAACAUUUCUAUCAUUGCAUUUAAUUUCUCUUCUUGUUUACAACAUUUGUUGAUUGUGACUCUCUUGUAGAUCAUAGAGACACCGGAUGAUCGAGAAAUCGACACAGAUGGGAUAUUAGAGCUUGUGAAGGAUUUGCUACCGCUUCUGCCAACAACUGAAACUCAUAAAGAUAAUGACAAAGAAGAAACUGACAACGUUGAACAGUCGUGACUUGCAAAUGAAGUUUUGAGUUUGUUAUCUUUUAACUAUAAGAAUUUUUUUAUUUUUUAUUUUGUAACAUCGACUUAACGUUUAUAUAUCAACUAUAUGGAGUUGCAAGAUCCAUACUUUUUCUUUCCAAAUAAACUGAAAUCAAAAUUGAAUGGGAACCGGUUUUAGGUUAUCCAAACCCAACAAACCGAAUUUUAACCAACUAUAGAAAGAAACUGUAAUCACAUUGCACAGUUAUAACAUUAAUUAAGAUCAAUUCUACACUUUUUUUUUUCUUUUCAAAACUAAAUCGAAUUACAUAAAUGCAAACGCCAACAGAAAACAAUCUAAGCGUUUGGCAUAGUUAUAAACUUAUAAUAUAUCUAUUGGCACAUUUAUUUGGGCUUUGAAGCCCACAAAGCUAAAGAAGGCCGUAUAAGCAAUAACAUAAUGUUUUUUAUAACAUAAACAUGCCCAACUUAAGUUUCUUUAUGGCCUAGGUUUUACUUUUGCCAUAACGACGCCGUUUUACUUGAUUCCUUCGCCGUCACCGUGUGGAGCAAAUCGUGGUCUCCAUCUCCGCCUGAAUCAUACAUACCUCGAAGGAGUUCUUCUAAUCCGUUCCGUGAAAGAAGAUUAGAUGAUUAAUGAGUAUUACAAACAAGCCCAAUUAGUUCGCUAAACACCUAAUCAUCAAAUUUUGUUGGUUAAAUAUGAAAAACUCAUAAAAGUUAUGGUUAAAGCAUUUCAUCAAAUAUCUUUCGCACGAGAAACGCUUAAUAUCUAGAUUUGAGUGAUCAAGUCAAAACUACCAUUAAGAUCAAUCUAAACGAAAGAAUUAACAAUACCAACCUAAAUCAUCAUCAUUAUCAUCAUCAUCUAACUAUUAAAUCAUCCUAGUCUAGCAUUACUCAUGAUCCAACAAUAUACUACUCAUCAAACAUGGUAAAAGAUAAAAGAAAAAUGUGUAAACAUCAUGAUAAAAGAUAACUUUGAAGAAUCAUUCACUAAGUAGCAUAUUAAGGUACACCAUCACCAAAUUAGAAUUGCAUAAUAAUUAUAUCAUAUUUCAUAACAUUAUCAUCAUUUUAUUUAUAAACACAUAUAUUCAUCAUAUGUCUCACAGUAUAAUGGGACACAUUGUUUUUUACCAAAUCAAACAUGAACCGCAAUAACAUAAUGAUUUUUAUAACAUAAACAGGCCCAACUUAAGUUUCUUUAUGGCCUAGGUUUUACUUUUGCCAUAACGACGCCGUUUUACUUGAUUCCUUCGCCGUCACCGUGUGGAGCAAAUCGUGGUCUCCAUCUCCGCCUGAAUCAUACAUACCUCGAAGGAGUUCUUCUAAUCCGUUCCGUGAAAGAAGAUUAGAUGAUUAAUGAGUAUUACAAACAAGCCCAAUUAGUUCGCUAAACACCUAAUCAUCAAAUUUUGUUGGUUAAAUAUGAAAAACUCAUAAAAGUUAUGGUUAAAGCAUUUCAUCAAAUAUCUUUCGCACGAGAAACGCUUAAUAUCUAGAUUUGAGUGAUCAAGUCAAAACUACCAUUAGAUCAAUCUAAACGAAAGAAUUAACAAUACCAACCUAAAUCAUCAUCAUUAUCAUCAUCAUCUAACUAUUAAAUCAUCCUAGUCUAGCAUUACUCAUGAUCCAACAAUAUACUACUCAUCAAACAUGGUAAAAGAUAAAAGAAAAAUGUGUAAACAUCAAGAUAAAAGAUAACUUUGAAGAAUCAUUCACUAAGUAGCAUAUUAAGGUACACCAUCACCAAAUUAGAAUUGCAUAAUAAUUAUAUCAUAUUUCAUAACAUUAUCAUCAUUUUAUUUAUAAACACAUAUAUUCAUCAUAUGUCUCACAGUAUAAUGGGACACAUUGUUUUUUACCAAAUCAAACAUGAACCGAAAUAUCUCGUUGAAUAUUCAAAAAAAAAAAACUCAUUUUACCAAAUCAAAUCAAAUUAGAACACUUACUUAUAAGGUGUGCUUAAAUAAAUAUACUUCCUAGAACACAUUGGGAAGUUAUAAUAUAACUGUCUGCAACUCUUCGAUCGAUCAAGCAUCUAUUUUCUUUUGUUCUGUUUCAUUAGAGGCUUCAACUGCAUUCUUUACACACAGGGCAUCGAUUCUUCACGACCUCAAUGCAAUUUUUGUGAAAAAAUGAGAACACCGAUACUGUUUUAUGCAUUCAUCAAAACCGUCCAAUAACUCUUGUAAGGAAAUAGUGCACGUCUUUUUCUUCUCCUUUAGAUCAAUAACUUCUUGUGGUAGGAUGUACACUCUUUGGUGUGUAACAUCGACUUCAGCAUUAAGGUCAGUGAAUUGGCCGUCAAUCAUCACAUUUUCUGCCUGGUAAAAGAUUGAGUGAAGAACCCGUGCCUGAACCCAUUUGGAAGAGAUGAGCUUCCUCAAAUCUACAUGGCUUAGAUGAACGCCCGAGUACUCCACCAGCUUUUCAGAAAUGAGUCUUUGGUAGUGGAUGAUCUCCUCUUCGUUGGCUUUCUGAUAACUGGUUUUCCUAUAUGUUCUCAGCUUGCAAUGGAGCCCGUUGGCUUUAUCAUUGCCCUUAACUUGGAGGUUGUUGACAUUCACAUUAGUCAACUCCAUCGGGCCUCACCCAGAUUUCCUAAGGAAUUCUUGGUGAAGUUUGCCUUGCAUCUCGAUCAUAUUCGAUGCACAUGCACCUUUUAAUAUCCCCCGAUGCACAUGCACUUGAUUAUUUCACCGCAAGAUCUUCUGAUUGUUUCACUAUUUUUUACGAUUCAUAAUAUUCAUCAAGCUUUCAUUUUUGAAAAGUGAUGAUUACACAAUAUAUACAACUAACAUAUAUGUAUCUAUUAAAACUAACUUUUCAGUAAUUUAUAACUAUUAUGCAGAAAAUUUAUCGAGUUUAAUUUUUUCCGUUAACUAUUUAGUUAUUCUGGUAUCGCGUUAUUCAUAAUAUUCAUCUAGAUUUAGCUUGACAAUAAUUUAUUUUUAUUUCAAGUUCCAAUUAGCAUCUGGCUUAAUUUAUUUUAGUUGGGCUUUUUGUGAUUCUUAACAUGGGCUUUUUUCUGGCUUUAAACAAAUACUACAGGCUUAGAUACUUUUAGCCCAUAUCAUCUAAGUAGAGAUCCACUAAGGCCCAUUAGGGUUAGAACAACAUCAGAUUGCAGAAUAAAAGGGUUCAUUUUCCUCACUCUCAAGUUGGAUCUCAAAACCCUAAUUUCUAAUCAUCGCCGUCGAGAGCUUCCAUGGGUCGUGUCAUCAGAGCUCAACGUAAGGGUGCGGGUUCCGUCUUCAAAUCCCACACUCACCACCGCAAAGGUCCGGCUAAGUUCCGUAGCCUCGAUUUCGGCGAGCGAAAUGGUUACCUCAAGGGCGUCGUGACGGAGAUCAUCCACGAUCCUGGUCGUGGUGCUCCUCUUGCUCGCGUCACUUUCCGUCAUCCUUUCCGUUUCAAGAAACAGAAGGAGCUCUUCGUCGCCGCUGAAGGUAUGUACACCGGCCAGUUCUUGUACUGCGGUAAGAAAGCUACUCUCGUCGUCGGAAAUGUUCUUCCUCUUAGAUCUAUCCCUGAAGGAGCUGUUGUGUGUAACGUUGAGCACCAUGUUGGUGAUCGUGGUGUUCUCGCUAGAGCUUCUGGUGAUUACGCCAUUGUUAUUGCUCACAACCCUGACAACGACACUACUAGGUUUGUUUCUGUUAUCCAAAAUUCUUCAGAGGCUUAUAACAUUUUCAGAUCUGUUGAUUGUUUAGUUUAGAUUAUGGUGAUCUGAAUCGGAUUAUUUCGUUAAUUAGAAAUGCUUAUGUAUCAUUGAUUGUUUAGUGUAGAUUAUGAUGAUGCUUAAUGGAAUCGUUUCGUUAAUUAGAAAUGUGUGUGUGAUAGUUCUUGAAGUCUUGAAAUCAUUUUUGAUUGAUGAGUUGAUUAUAUGUUUGUGUAGGAUUAAGUUGCCAUCGGGUUCGAAGAAGAUUGUCCCGAGUGGAUGCAGGGCUAUGAUUGGGCAAGUUGCUGGAGGUGGAAGAACUGAGAAGCCGAUGCUCAAGGCAGGAAACGCGUACCACAAGUACCGUGUGAAGAGAAACUCAUGGCCUAAGGUUCGUGGUGUGGCUAUGAAUCCAGUGGAGCAUCCUCAUGGAGGAGGUAACCAUCAGCACAUCGGUCACGCCAGUACGGUUAGGCGUGAUGCACCUCCUGGACAGAAGGUUGGGCUUAUUGCUGCAAGGAGGACUGGUCGUCUCAGAGGUCAAGCUGCUGCUUCAGCUGCCAAGGCAGACUAGAGUUAAACAUAAUAAACUUUGUUUCUCAUGUUUUCAUUUCAAGUUUUGUUGUCUGUGUUUGCUUUUGAACCUUGUUCUGAAAUCCUGAAAGAUUUUUAUGAUAAACCUUUCUCUCUUCUCUCUCAAAAAGCUUAUUUUCAUUACACACAGUUUUUCGUUUUGUGAAUCUUGUUUAUAUGAAAACAAGCGAUCCUAGUAUAUAAGCGUAACGAGUUGUUUUCUAAUACAAAAUUUGAGAAUCUACAACAUGAAAAUAUCGAUGAACACAAAAGUAGGAAGAUAGAUGAAAGCACAGAGUGUGUUGGAUGAAUUCCAUUAUUUGCCUCUCUCACUUCUCAGCUCUGACCUAUGUAUACUCUUUCUGACCUAAUUUCUCCAUCAUCAUUCAUGUUUCUUUCCCUUGCUCACCAAUCUCUGUUCAAUGCUCUGUCAUUCUUUUAUCCAGUCGGCUCGUUAAUCUUUCGUUUUCUCUUUAUCUUCUAAUAAAGCUUCUUGGUCUUUGUAAUCGCUAUCUAUAGCAACUGGUUAAACCAAAUUUGUUUUGCUCCCGGACCAUUUUCUGAUCUUUGGAACAAAAUUUCAUUUGCUCAUAUUCUAGAAGCAAAAUAGGUCUUGUUAAAGUCAGAAUGUGAUAACUUGCAGAAGAAUCCAUAUAUCCAAAAACGUUGGCCAUGUUAUUGAAACUGCCUAAAACGUACUGAACUAAUGAUAUCAUUAUAUAUAUUAAAAAUGCUUUGUAUCAAGUAGUCUUUAUAUUUCAUCAUAUUGUAGAAAUUAAGAAGGUUAAGUUACCCAUGCAUCAAAGCCACAACCACCGGUUUGUUCGUUCGUCUACAGAUCCCUAAACCAAGAUUUCAUAUUUGCUCAUAUCAUAGAUGCACAUUCGGGUUCUGUUAUGCCUGAUUGCAAUCACUUGUAGAAGAACAAAAAUCCAAAAGCAAAGGGAAAGAACUUCACAGAAACCUUUAAAAUAUACAUCCUCUGUUUCUUGUGUUCUGUAUUGAGUCUUAAACUUUCAAUAUCCGACUGUGAUUACUUGCAGAAGAAUUAAGCAAACAUAAAGAACAUUUUUCUGUGUUCUUCUUGUGUUCUGUGAUUUCUUGAAAAUCAAUGACAAGUGAAAACCAUAUUGAAAAAUAAGUGUAACUUUUUUCUGGUUAUGAAAGUAAUUAGUGAACCGAAUUAAACCCGGAAUUAAGUUUUGUGUUUAAAACCUUAAGUAGUUAUUAAAUAGGGAUUAGGUCACCAAUACUCACCCAGCAAAAUGGUAGUGACUCAGCAUGAUGAUGCAGUCUCACCAGGGUUCGAAUAACGAUAUUGGUACCCCGAAAGAAGGAAAAGUGUUUCCUCCUUGCUUCCAUCGGUUCUCGGUGGAAGACGGAUGAUAGAGGAGUUUAGACGUAAACUCCGUCAUGGGAUCUUCCCGGAAGUGCCUUUGGUGAUAGCCAAAUUGAGGUUAUCUUAAUUACCUCUUUUUAAAUUUUUUAAUUCUUAAUUCAACUUUUGAUACUACUAUUACUACAAAACAGGAACAGAGCAUCACUGCAAAACCUGAAAUAUAAUCUUUUUAUAAAAUGCAACUUCACAUUAUCACAAAUGACGAGUUAAUCUUAACAGCUUCUUAGCCACUCUUUCUUCAUCUUUGUUAUCAAACCAACACGCUAAGUUACAUUAUAAUAAAGUCUGAAAAUCUGAAUUCUUCAUCAAAAGUACAUAUACUAAAUCAUACUCAUUAUAGAAGCAUACCUGCAAGUAACAAAGCUCAAUGGAAGGCGACUUUAAGGGUGUAAGCAAACCCGCGACUGAUUCAUUCAACCUUCCUAUUCUCACCUCCUUCCUUUCUUUCCAAUGCAAUUUCUACGUGACAAAUCUCUUUCUUCCCAUCAUACUUUUACUAAACCGACUCUGUCACUGCCAAAAGUUCACCUGAUAAUUGGCAAUGAACCGGAGUAAACCCGGAGUUUCUCUUUCCAGGCAGAUUUGAGUAUUCUCAAAUAUUGGUCGUCCAAGCUCCAAGCUCCAAAGUUGCGAGUUUAUAUAUUAGAAAAGAGCACAUUAUCAUCAUAUCAUGUAACUUGUUGUUGAAAUCUUUGACGAACCGUAUUUAAUUAUGUACCUUGCUGUUGAAAUCUUUGAUGAACCGUAUUGAACCGGGAAUUGAGUUAAAAAAACUUUUCAUUUUAUUCUCAUCUUGUUUAAUACGAAAACAAGCAAAAGCACAUGAGGCCAUGAGGGUAAUUUAACCAGAUUGAACCACAAGCGUAACAUUUCUGGUUUAUGGAAAUUUUUAGUGAACCGGAGUAAACCCGGAAUUCAGCUGUGUGUUUAAGUAUUUAUUACAUAGAUUAAAGGUCACCAAUUCUCAACCAGCAAAGUGGUAGUGACUCAGCAUGAUGAUGGAGUCACACCAGGGUUCGAGUAACGAUAUUGGUACUCCCGAGUGAGAAGGAAAAGUGUUUCCUCUCGACUUCCAUCGAGUGACGAUGGUUGGCUUCCAUUGAAUGUCAAUGGAUGAUGAUCGACUCCCAUCGAGUGACGAUGGUUGGCUUCCAUUGAAUUUCAAUGGAUGAUGAAUGACAUAAGAGCUUAGACGUAAGCUCCGCAUGACCGGACUGCAGUCUGGUUUUGGGUCUUCCCUGAAGUGAAGAUUCGUGGUCGGGAAUGUCUAUCACAGAGAAUCAUGCCUUUGGUGAUAGCCGAAUUGAGGUAAUCCAAAUUACCUCUUUUUGUUCUUUUUAAAAAAACUUAUUCUUAAUUCAACUUCUGUUACUAGAAACGAGGAACAGAAAAAAAAGGAAGAUUAAAAGACAAUAACUUGGUCUCAAGGGUUCACCAUUUUAGAUUCCUUGAUAAGCACGUUUAGCAGGAAAACCUUGUAAAACCCUCAAGGGUUUCCAAUGCGUCUCCUUUGGAUAAUACAAUCUUGACUCAUGAAGAUUAACAGAAAACAACAUAUCAUCAAUCACACAAGACGACGGCUCUUGCCACAGAUCACUCAACUUAUCUAAUCCCCUCCAUGACUUCAAAUUAGUUUCUUUGGGUUCCUAAGCAUAAUAACAGAACAGUGCUUAUCCUUCAUGUAAAUCUUCUCUACCAUCACCACAUAUAUGUGAAUAUAUCACAAACUCAGUAGGUUCGUACAGACACUAACUAUCUACACUUCCGAUGGCAACCUUUCGCAUGUCUUCUCCCCAGGUACUUUUGGACAUGUAUGACUAUUAACCACUAGAGUUUUAAAUAGUUAGAAGAAAAGCUAAGGUUUCGAUUGGCUCAUCAGACACUAAUUUUUGCGUUUGCGUUUUAAAUAUAAAAUAGAUUUUGUUUUUCAAUAUAAAAUACGUUAGCAAUAUGUAAACACAAACUUGUUUUGUUUAAAGAUAGUAAUGAUUAUCGUUGCGCUUUUCAUUUUAUUCUCUUGUUCAAUGUUGUUUAUCUGUAUAUUAGAGAAGAGCACAUAAUUACGUAACUUGUUCUUGAAAUCUUUAAUGUGAACCAUAUUAAACCGAGAUUGGUUUAAAUAAAAGCUUUUCAUUAUAUUCUCUGCCUGAAUCUUUGCUUAUACGAAAAUAAUCAAAGCACAUGAGGGUAAUUUAUUUAUGGUUCAGGAAAUCAGUGAAAACCAUCUAUACUAUUAUUUUUGCAGUCAUUUUGAUGACGGGUGAGUAAAAAUAUUUCUGGAUUAUUUGGAUAUCCGACCCGUUUCAAAAAAUCUUUCACAAAUAUUUUUUUUAGUGAACCAGAGUAAACCCGGAAUUUAGCUGUGUUUAAGUAUUUAUUACAUAGGACAAAGGUCACCAAUUCUCACCCAGCAAAGUGGUAGUGACUCAGCAUGAUGUGAGAGUCUCACAAUGGCGGAUCUAGAAAAAUUGUUUGAUGGUGUCAAAAUAAGUUGGUUCAAAAAAAUUUACAACCCGAUAAGAAAUACAACCAUAAAUAAUAUCCAAAAUUUUUUUUACAACGCCGAUAUAGAUCAUUAUAACGUAACAUAAAAAAAAUUCAUCACAAAUCUUCAUCUUAAAGAUAUAUCCUACGCUCACUCAUGUUUUGGAAACGUUUGAUCACCGUCUCGUUUGUAACAGAUUCAAGAACCUGUUUUUCGAUGUAACACACAAGACAAUCACUUAAGAACUGAUCACCAAUACGAUUGCGCGAUGUUGUCUUCACAAUAUUCAUAGCUGAGAAGCAUCUUUCAACGGUUGAGGUCGGGACGGGUAAAAUUAAAGAUAGCUUCACAAGUCGAUAAAUCAAAUGAUGUGAAAGAUGUUUCCUUGUCUUCACCAUGACCUCAGUAAGAUCUCCAAGACUCUUUAGAUUAGUAAAUCUAUCAUCUUGUUGCACAUUAUCAAGAUAGAUGUCUAAUUGAUGAUCAAGAGAUUUUCGCUCCACGAAACUAAAAUCAUCCGGAUAAAACUCAGCCAAUCUCACGAGCUUUGAUUUGUCAAAUUCACAAAAUGAAUUAAUCGGACUUAAGGACGCCGUGCAAACAAGUAGUUCAGAAUUUACCUCGUUAAAACGAUCAUUAAACUCUUGAAGUUGCAUAUCUAAGACCGUGUAGAAACAAUUCACCUUAUAAUGAUGUAAAUUGCUUAUAUUUGUCCUUUUCCUUGGCAUUCUUGAAUCAACAAAGUCUCCCGCCAUAUUGAGCAUUUCCGUGUUAUAUUUCUCAGUAAAGGAAAGAAUUGUCUCCAUAAAUGCAUCCCAUCCAUCAUCUCUAAGCUUCUGCAACUGUCGUUUAGUGGACUUCACCAAUGACAUGGCAUUCAAAAUAUCUUGAUCUCUUCGUUGUAGAGCCAUUGAUAAGUUAUUAGUGAGUCCGACAAGAAGUAGCAUCAACUGAAGAUAGAAGACAAAAUCAAACGUGUGAAAAUAUUUGAGGAGGCCGUAUGCUUGUCUUCUUUUGGUGGUCUCACUGCCUUCGUCUUGUACAUACUCGAGAACCUCAAUGACGGAAGAAAACAACUCAACAAGUCGAAGUAAUGUUUUAUAAUGUGAGCCCCAACGAGUACUUCCGGGUCUUUGAAGUGAAAGCUCUUGAUUCUGUCCCGUUCCACUUUUAAUUUCACCAUUACUAAUCCCUUCUUCUACUUUCUUUCUAUGACUUUCUCGAAUCAUGUCUUUUCUCUUACAUGAAGCUCCAACAACAUUCAUCAAAACUGAAAUCAUAUCAAAAAAGUUUCCAACUUCAAAAUGUUUUUUUGCGAUUGCCACAACAACUAAUUGAAGUUGAUGAGCAAAGCAAUGAACAUAAUGUGCAGAGCUACUUUCUUUCGAAACCAAUGAUCUCAAUCCAUUGAAUUCCCCCUUCAUGUUGCUAGCUCCAUCAUAACCCUGCCCUCUCACUUUUUUCAUACUCAAUCCAUAUUUAGAAAACAGAGAAUCAAUAGCAUGUUUCAAAGAUAUCGCAGAAAUAUCCUUCACAUGAACCACACCAACAAAUCUUUCUUUGAUGAUCCCAUAUCUAUCAACAAAACGCAAAACCACAGCCAUUUGCUCUUUAUCGGAGACGUCGGCAGAUUUGUCCACAAGCAAACCAAAGACAUCGUUAUCAAUUUCCUUAAUAACAGAUUUAAUCACUUCUUCAGCAAAGCAAUUGACAAUAUCCUUUUGAAUGGGAGGAGACACCAUUUGGUUGUUCUUAGGAGCAUUAUUCAGCACCACUUUUUUAUAGCCUCAUUUUGAUGAGCAGUAUAUCUUACAAGCUCUAAGAAGUUUCCUUUAUUUGCUGACUUUUCUGAUUCAUCAUGGCCACGAAAAGGCAAUCCUUGGUGUAGCAAGAACCUUGAAGUAUCAAUGGAAGCAUUCAACCUAAUACGAUACUCAUUUUUCACAAUAUCACUUUGCUUAUGUAGAGAAUGUAUGAUGGACUGACCUUGUCUCAUCAAGUAGUCACACUUGUUUUUGGCAUUAUUGUGUAAACUGCCCACACCACCAACGUGAGAAGCCAACCUGUCUGCCUUAUUCCAACCAUAAAAGCCCUCUGUUACAAAAGCUUCAUUACCACCUCGUUUUGCAACGGGAUCUCUAAAUAAAUAACAACACAAACAGAAAGCUUCAUCUUUUUCCACACUAUACUCCAACCAAUCACCAUAUUUAUCAAACCAUUUUGGAUUAAACCGCCUCUGAAAAUCUCCUAUCUUUCUUUGUGGAAAAAUAUGUGCACGAGGUUGACAAGGUCCUCUAGUCAAAUAUAUGCGCCUUACUUCAUCUCUUUGAUUAGGAUGAUAGUCCAAUAUUCUUUUUCGAUGAGCCGGAUCACAUGGCAAGUCAUCCAAAUUAUCAUUAGGUGGUGGAGAUUUUCUCUUUAAAAACCGAUCAAUUGAUUCCAUUGAUUUCGAACUCACCUAAAGAAAAAGAAAACAAGUUGAUUUAGUGAGAUAUGUAAUAAAAACAGAAUGUAGAUAAAAACAAUGGACACAUGCACACAGCACAGACCUUUCUUUUGAGUUUUGAAUAAUUUUGAACAAUUUUUAGAUAUACACAAACACAUGAUAUGAACUCUGUACAAAGAUAUACCUCAUAUUUUCUUAUCAAAGCUCAAAUUUUAGUAUUACUAAGUACUAACUACUUUACAGUUUGUACCAAUAAUUAAAACAAAAUUGUUAACUGUUCUUAUAAGUUUAUCAUUUAGUUUAUUAGCCUACAAGAACAACUGAACAAGACUACAACAAUGAAUUAAAUCAAUGGCAAUUGACAAUAUAUCAUCAUAUUUUAAGCGUUUGUCAAAAAGCAAAAAUCAAACAAUUUUAAUGUAUGAAAAACUGAAAGUUUGUUACCCAAAAUUGAAAUUUGACAACGAUAGUUUCUCUGAGAGAGAAAAAAAGAAGGAUGAAGACGCAGUCUUGUGAAGACGUGAAGUGAGAUUCUCUUGAGAAAACGAAUCGUCUUUCAUACGACACCAUUAUUAUUGAGUUACUACAGAUUACAAUUGGGUUGGAUUAAAAUGAUUGGACUCUAUAAUUUCAAAUAAUUGGGCUUCACAUUUGCUUUUAUAAGUUGAAUUGGGUCACAUCUGUGGAUGUCGGAUUCACACACUCAAGUAUUUUAUUAAGUUGGAAAGAUAAUUCUUGAGGGACAAAAAUGAAUAUGUAAAAACUUCUAAAUUGCUACGAAAAUUACUAUAGUAUUUCUCCCUUGAGAGGAAGAUCCCCUCUACACGGCGAUUGGCCUUUAUAUUUAUACAUAGAGAAUCGACAUUAAAAUGAAUAAUUAAGUACAAUUAUUCCCUCUUAAAUGUGUCCGUUUUGAUUCUUCGACUUUAAUGCUCAACGUUUGAAUUUGAGUUGACUCUGAUCUUCAUGGGCCUCGUCUUUUUGGCCCAAGUGUCCUUGAACCGACUUACCCGUGUCUUCUACACCGAACUCGUGUCACAGUGCAGCCACUUCGAACUCUCGAAGUGGUGACAACCACUUCGACCGUUCCUUCGGCUCAUGGGUUCAAUGGGCUUUGUCCUUUAUGGGCCAUUACCUCGACUACGUGGCAAUCUUUGGUUGGUCUCGGACUUCUGGUGCGGGAUCCGACACCAACAAUUAGCCCCCCAAGUUCUUCGAAGUGUCAUUCCAAUUCGGAGGACUUUAAAUGCUUUAAAUGACCAAAGAUUGCGCUCGAGAAUCUUCCUGAUUUUCCGCCGAAAAUCUCAUCACUCCUUUAAUUUCGGCACUAACUAUUUUUACCCGAUUGACAUCUGUCAUCAUUAUGACCGUAUAUUAAUUAAUUACUAUUAAAACGGGAAAAAACCUUCCCACUUCCCACACAACUUCCGAGGCUGUUUCAUCAUUAGCUUGAGGUAACUUCUUUUCACCAUUACUUCCUUCUUUUACUUUUGUGCUUUAAUCAAAGCUUCUUUCUACCUUUCUUCACCGAACCUCUCUUCGCCGGAUCUUGAAUUUUUCAUUUUUAUCCGAUGACUUCUGAUUCUGAAAGACCUGAAUCUCCGUCUUACGACGAGAGGUGUUCUAGUAAUGACGAAUGCACUCGUCCUAACGAUAUCGCCGGUCCUCAUUACAAAUCCACCUGUACUCUUCAAUCCCUUGAGCGAUUAAAGGGGCUUUGUCAAAUUCCUCCUGGAAUUAUAGCGGAGGCGCAAAUAGCCGAUCCUACGGAAUCCCCGGAGAACCAUCGUGCCGGUUACUUUUGUGUUUACGAAAUUUACUUCAAGGGCUGCGGAUUGACCUUCCCCCUUCCCGAAGCCCUAGUUCGAUUCUUGGCGGCUCUCGAGAUUGCUUUACCUCAAUUACCCCCAAUCUCCUCCGAACCAUCCUCGGGAUUAUAACCGUUGCGGCGGAGGCUGGCUACGUCAUUGGAGUCCCCGAGCUGAAUGAACUUCUAAGUGUGAGAAGUUCGUCAAAGAAAACAGGAUACUUCUCGGCAUACCCAAAUGCCAAUAGAAACGUCAUCUCGCACCUCCCGAACAAGGAUGAAAACUGGCACCAUCCUUGGUUUCUGAUUAAGAAAACUCCUGCUUCGAUUGGGAAUCUUUCCGAUGUACUCCCAUCGAAGUUGUCUACGAAACUUGGUAGAGACUAGGUCGUAUAUUCCUUUCCUGUUCAUUAUUAUUUCUUUACUGACCAAAUUCGUUGUUUUAUUUCGCAGCUCUCAUUGCUUCAACUCUCCCGACCGAAGAAUUUGUCAAGUUCUUCAAAACAAUCCUUGAAGGGGAAACCCUUUGGAAUUCUUUCACCCUCGACCGGUUUGUCGAGGCCAACCGAAAACUCAGGAUGAGUCCUCCCAAUCUACUUCAUCGUCUUCCGCCUCUUCCCUCAACUCAGAGAAUGUCAGCUCGGGCCCUCACUGCCCAGCGUAAGAAACUCUCCAAGCCGAUAGCAGAGGCUUGUGAUGAAAACAAGGCGUUCCUUGCGACCGCCAUCGACAAAAAAGAUUACAGCAGGACCCUGCUGGUUGAUGACAACAGCUCCGAGGGAGCCAGAUCCGUUGCUGCUUAUAGGUUAACACCUCAUCGCGAACGCCGUGACGAACGUUCUCCUCGGAGAGAGCGAUCUCCUCGUCGUGAUUCUCCUCGUCCUUCCUGGGACGAUUUCAGCAGUGAACCACUUAAGAAUUUGGUUCGUAGGAAGAGGGACAAGUCAUCCCGUAGUGACUCGUCUCCGCGAAGGGAGAAAUCAAGGGCCCGGACUGACCGUUGACCUUGAUCGUCUCCUCCUACUGAACCAAUGGGUCCUCCCCGUCCUGUUGACAUGUCUUCUUCUUCUCAGCCCGACAGCGAAAAGACUGCUCGGAGCGCAUCUCCUAAAAAGGGAGAUUCUGAAUCUCGAGAUGCUUCCUCGAGGUUAAAGCCCGUUCUUGUCCCUCAAGUCAAAUCGCUUUCAGGUUUGGUGAUUUACACAUACUCUAGCGUUUUUGUUUCUACUAAGAUUUCGAUUUUUACAACUCUUCCUUCUUCGCAGCUAUGGAGAAAGAAGGCAGCGUCUUCCGAUGCUUCAAGACCCGAUCGGGUUCAAUCUUGCCAGACUUCGACAAAUGGCGCCCUACGAUUCGUGAAUGCUACUCGCUUCACGCGCAUCACUCAUCUCGGGUUAGUUCUGUUUUUUGUUUUUUUUUUAUUACAUUGCCAUUCUGCAAACUGACUCGCCAUCCCGGGUUUAUGUAUAAUGCCAGGCUCAUAACGAACUUAACGACAUGAUCGAACAUUACGAAGGGUUGGUCAUUGGACGGGAGAAGGAGAUUGACGUGUGGAAGAAGAAGCUCUCUGACCUUGAGGCUGAACUCAGUUCUACUGCCGGCUCCUAGCACGAUCUGGAGGACAAGGUCGACAGUUUAACAUCCGAGCUUGCGCAGAUAAAGGGGGAGCUGCAAGACCAGUACGAUCAGAACUACAAACUCCAGGAUGAACUUUCUGGUGUUCAGGGUAGACUUCAUGCAUCCGAAUCAGCCGCCGAUGCCCUGAACAACCAACUUAUCGAGCUUGACGCGAAGUACAAGGCGCUGGCCAAGUUGCGUGAUUCCGAGUUGGCAAGGUCGGCAUCGAAGGCCAGAAAGGAGGUUAAGGGACGCGGGAUGGAGUUAAUCCAAGGGGCCAUCCGUUUCAUGCAAACCGAGAAGGCUAGGUCAGACUUGGAAUCAGACAUCAAGGAGCAUGAGAGCAACCUGAUUCUGUUGGAUCAAAUCCAUGAAGCAGAUUUCUCCGAGGAGCAAGAAAGGACCGAACUGUCAACUAAUCUUUCUGAAAAACGGAGUCGCUUGGCAGCUAUUCCCACUUCGACCUUCAACCCGCUUGACUUCGAGGAAUUCUUUACUGAAUCACCUCCUAUAAGUGAAUCGGGUUUAGACUGGGCAAGUAACGCUUGGCUCCUGACGCUUACCUUUUCUUACCUUGUACCUUUGAUUGACUGGAAUUAUUAUUUCUAGGCUCAAGUGAGAUGGAAGACGUUGUCCCGCCCGUAGCUCCUAUGGUACCGGAGGUCACUCCGGAGGUUGGUUGUACCGCGGAGGGUGGUCAGGGAGCUUCAUCUGAUCAAGCGCCAAUUAAAGAGGCGGGCGAAACUCUGUCAGCUGAGCCGGAGUCCGAGGUGGAGGUCAAUCCGUAGUGGCUGUGUCCACUUUAAACUGGGGAUUGUCCCAUUUAGUUUAAACUUAAUUUCAAACUUAUUUUUUGGCCUAAGGAGGCUUUAUCAUUUUUUUUUGAACAAGAUUUUUGCCUGAGGAGGCUUUUAAACCUUUCUAGGUUACGACCCAAGGGGGUUUGGUUAAAAUUAUAUGCGGGUUUGCAAAGUCCGCUUGGCCUUGUGGUUAUGCUUUUUGUGAUUUUUAGGCUGAUCAGACCUUUCUCUUAAGAAUGCGAGAACUGAGCUCGGCUUAAAACGAGUUCCCCACUUCGGGUUUAGUCAACUCGAUAAAUUUAUUGGGCCUGGGCCAUAGAAACUUUUGUAGUUAAUGCGACGGUUGCUUUUUCCCUUUUUAUUUCUUAAAAGUAGGGAAAACGGCUCAUCUUUAAUGCAAUAACUGUCUUUUCUCGAUUUUCCAAAAAUGGUUUAAACCACCCGGGCACGCUACCAUUAUUGGACUUAUGGUUCCAAGACAAAACCUAAAUCAUUAUAAAUAAGGGCUUACCUACUUCUAGGCUUUUAUUUAAACACGAUUUUAAAAUCCUACUUGAGAUAUAUUUCGAGAAUGGAAAACGAAAAAGUAGCACCCGUUGAUCCCGGCAGCCCACUCUUCUUGUCCGGCGACGGCUUUGAACCGGCCGGCGUUCUCUUCCCUCAUGCCGUCUUUCACUUUCCUUCAAAGGAGAAGAAAGAGGCUUGCGAUUUUAUUGACAAGGUAAAUAUUUAAAGUUUUGGAUUUAAAAACUUUUUGUUUCAUCUUAUUCACUCAUCUUUAUGCUAGGUCGCCGACAAGCACCAUCGUUUAUGUGAAGAGAGGCAGCGGCUGGGCCUCAAAAGGCAAACACUCGAGGCUCGCAUUGCUCGGGUGGAGAGGAAGAUACGGGCCCUGGAAAGUGACCCCUUUCAAUGGGAAUGGCGGAACUUUGACUCUGUCGCUGAGAUCCCGAAGAUGCUCCGGAUGUAUCUCCGCGCUAAAGGAGUCCCGGAUCCCGUGAAUGCCCCCGUCUGCGCCGUUCCAUCUGACAGCGAAGAAGAAGACGAAGAGGAGGCCAGCACCUGUCGGAAACGCGUUCGGGAUCAUCCCGAAGUGGAUGCCAAGAGCAAGGCGUCCACUUCGAAGACUAAACCGGCGAUGAAGGAGCCUGUUCCUGAGCCUCUUCCAUAAAUGUUCUUUAUCUUCUUCCCUUAUUUUAAACUCGUAAUGGGCUUCGCCCCCUUUUUAUUUAUGGAAACAUUUGCAACUUUCCUUUUUUUUCAAAUAUUCUCGGAGAUGCGUCUUUUAAUGCAGGAUCUGCUCGAGGGCAUAAAUCUCUCCGCGAAUCACUCCAUUCUUUGGAUAGAAUCCGCAGCUUGCUAAGGAUAUGGGGUUCCUAUAAAUUAUAGUUUCAAUUUCCCUUUACUCCUCACCAUUCUUUUUAUUUUAGUAGGUAUGGAGUUCAAUCUUCGCUGUUCAGAAUCUAUGCCUGACUUCUCCAGAAUCGGAAUGAUGAACGAAGGUGUUCCAAAUGAGCCAAACAGGCAGCCUCCUCCACCUCGCGGCUUCUUAAGAUCUCGGAUCCGAGACCCAUGUGCUUUGAUCAGGGAUCUCCCAAUCAGAGACCAAGGGACAGCGAUGGCAUUCAUAGAGGCACUCGCGCUUCAGCAUCGGAAGCUUACACUGGAAAAGAGGAGACUCCGGAAGAGGAUUAGCCGGAUGCAACGCAGGCUUACUAUGAUGUCAAGAGAUGUUCACAUCCUUGAAUCUCACCCCGGAGAGUGGAUUGAGCUUGGAAUAUCCGACUUUGCUCGAAUUCCAGACUGCAUGAUGCCAAUCCUCGAUCUUGCUGGUCAAGGAGUUGAAGUGUUCUGCUCAUCGACAAGAUUUUCAUAGUCCGAAGUGUACGAUGAGCGACAUCCCGUCUUUGAAUAAACGCUCUAUUUUCAACCUCUUGUAUGUUCGUAUAGCCGAACCUUUUUUUUUGCUUCACUUGUUCGCACAGUCGAACUUUUUUCCUUUAAUAAAGAAAUAAAACAAAUUUUUAUUAAUAGCUGAACUCGUUUCCGAGCUGCCUACGUACCCAUUUCGGGAUCAAGCCAAAUCGUAGUUCAUGUACAUAAACAAUGCAUGUAGCUUUAAACAUAAAACUUUUUUAGGUUGAUCACAUUCCAAGGUCGCUUGACCGGAUUACCCUCUAAGUUUUUCAACCUAUAAACACCGUUCCGAACCACUUCGGUAAUAAUGUAAGGUCCUUCCCAAUUAAUACCGAGUUUUCCGGCACCUUCUUCUUUUUUGUUGUCAAAGACGCGCCUUAAUAUAUAAUCUCCCACGAAGAAAGGCCUACUUUUAACCUUAGAAUUGUAAUACCGGGCUGCUGCCUGCUAGUAAUUCUGGAUCCGAAUUAGAGCUUGAUCACGCCUUUCAUUUAUAGUAUCUAGUGAAUCAUUAAGCAUUGCUGAAUUUUCUUCCUCAUUUAACGGUGCUUCUGUUCGGCGAAGUCCGGGCACAUUGAGUUCAGCUGGUACUACCGCCUCCAUGCCGUAAACCAAAGAGAAUGGAGUUUCUCCUGUAGGCCGCCUAGGGGUUGUACGAUAGGCCCACAGGACGGGUUGGAGUUCUUCAUACCAUCCUCCCUUUAGAUGACUUAAGCGUUUCUUGAGAUUGCUUAAUAUUGUCUUGUUCACGGCUUCAGCUUGACCGUUUCCUUGCGGAUAUCGUGGAGUAGAAUAACUAACUUUGAUUCCCCAGUCCGCACAAAAGGCAUCAAACUCGUGUGAAAUGAAUUGCGGUCCAUUAUCAGUGACUAUUUCGUAUGGAACUCCAUGUCGACAUAUAAUGCUUUUCCAAAUAAAGGUCUUCACCGCCGAAUCCUUGAUACCAACAUACGCCUCAGCUUCAAUCCAUUUUGAAAAGUAGUCCGUAAGGACUAAAAGGUAUUGUACACCUCGAGUUGAUUUGUGUAAUGGUCCAAUGAUGUCCAUUGACCACCUCAUAAACGGGUAUGGGGCGGAAAUGGAGGAGAAUAAUUCCGACGGUUAAUGGAUCAAUGGCGCAUGGAGUUGGCAGCGCUUGCAUCUUUGGGCGAACUUAACACAAUCUGUGAUCAUAGUGGGCCAAUAAUACCCCAUUCUUUUAACUUUAAAAGCCAUAGCUCUUCCUGAUGAAUGACUCCCACAUAAUCCUUCAUGCACUUCGCUCAUGACGAUUUCGACUUCGGGCCCAAAAAUGCAUAAUAGGUAAGGGUCACUGACACCUCGUCUAUAUAACGCAUCCUUUGACAGACAAAAUUUCGUGCUAACGACUUUCAUUUUCCUGGCCUGCCAUUUAUUCUUUGGGAGCUCACCUGUCAUGAUGUAGUGCUUUAUUGGCUCCCUCCAGUCAGCCCCCCAGUCUUUAGCCGGAAUUUGGUCAACUUUGUGAAAUAUUCGUGGCUCUGGCUCGGGAUGCUCGUCUGGUUCAAGAACAUCCUCCUCGAUUAACGGUUCGGUUUCUAACAUUGUUUCUGGAAUCACUUCUUCAGCUAAGACAACGGGUUCCUUGUUAGAUGUGUUUGAUCCCUUUGACUUCCUUCGUUUGUUGGGUGAUCUCUGGUUCGCCACGGUCACGUGCCGCUGCUCGAGAUCUUAUAACGACGAGGGUUUCUUUGUUGUCUUGAAUGCUUCGCUCCGAAAUGCAUUCCACUGGAAUGACUCUUUUCAACUCAGGAUCUGAUGUUGACGCCAAUGCGGCAAGUGCAUCCGCAGUUGUAUUCUCUCCCCGAGGUAUGCGGAUUAAUUCGAAUUUCGAGAAAUUUUUAGAUAAAUCUUUCACCACUUCGAGGUACGCUGAAUCUUUGGCUUCAUAGUCUCCAUUAAAUUGGUUAACUACUAAUUGCGAAUCGCAAUAAGCCAAUAUUUCCUUAGCUCCAAAUCCUUGUGCUAAUCGAAGUCCGGCAAUCAGGGCUUCGUAUUCUGCCUCGUUGUUGGAGGCAUUGAAUAACAACCGGAAUGAUUGUUCUAGAAUUUCUGAUGUUGGAGAUUCCAACUUGAUUCCCACUCCGGAUCCUUGCUUUGUUGAUGACCCGUCUACGUGUAAUUUCCAAGUUUGGUUCUCCGGCUGCUCUAUUGUUCCAGGUAUUGGUAACUCGGUUAAGAAAUCUGCUAAAACCUGAGCUUUCAUACUGAUCCGGCUUUUGAAUUCUAUAUCGUACUUGCUUAAUUCCACCGCCCAUUUCGCCAAUCGUCCGGACUGGCUUGGACUAUGAAGUAUUGUUCAGAGUGGCUGGUUGGUUAAUACCUCAAUCGGAUGGGAUUGAAAGUACGGGCGCAGCUUCCGAGCCGAUGUCACCACCGCGAGUGCGAGUUUUUCCAUCAUUGUAUAUCUGGUUUCCGGAUCCGUCAUUGACUUGCUCACGUAAUAAAUUGGUUUCUGCUCCCCACGGUCUUCCCGAACCAAGACUCCACUAACCGCGUGGUUUGAAACCGACACGUAUAAAUAAAGUUUUUCAUCCACUUCCGGUUUGGACAAUAUAGGCGGAGUGGUUAAGUAUGCCUUAAGCUGCUCAAAAGCUUCUUCACACUUCUCAUCCCAAAGGAAUCCUUUGUUCCCUUUUAGAAUUUGGUAGAAGGGCAACGACUUAUCUGUUGAUCUUGAGAUAAAACGAUUUAGAGCCGCAAUCCGCCCAGUCAACCGUUGUACUUCUUUGAAGUUUCUUGGAGAGGGCAUGUUUAGAAAGGCGUCAAUUUGAUUUAGAUUGGCUUCAAUCCCUCUUUCUGUCACGAUAUAACCAAGAAAUUCUCCGGACGGGACUCCAAAUGUGCACUUCGCCGGGUUCAGCUUCAUCUGAUAUUUGUUGAGAAUAUCAAAACAUUCCUCUAAAUGCUUAACGUGAUCCUCUUUUUUAAUGACUUAACUAACAUAUUAUCUAUGUAGACUUCCAUUGUUUUCCCGAGAUGAUUAUGGAACAUCUUGUUAACUAACCGUUGAUAAGUUGCUCCUGCAUUUUUCAAACCAAAAGGCAUCACCUUAUAACAAUAGAUACCUCUAUCUGUGAUAAAUGACGUCUUUUCUUGAUCUUCGGGGUUCAUCAUUAUUUGAUUAUAACCCGAGAAGGCGUCCAUGAAUGUUAACAGCUCGUUCCCAGCGGUGGACUCUACAAGUCGAUCUAUAUGUGGGAGCGGGAAACUAUCUUUGGAACAUGCUUUAUUUAGGUCUGUGAAAUCGAUGCAAACCCUAUCUUUCCCAUUCUUCUUUUUGACAACGACAGUGUUUGCUAUCCAUUCCGGGUAUUGCACUUCUCUUAUGGACCCUAUCUUUAAAAGUUUAUCUACUUCGUCAUUUACUAUUUUGGCUCGCUCCACUCCGAGCUUUCUUCUUUUCUGUUUCACCGGCUUGAAGCUCGGAUCUACGUUUAGCUCGUGACAAAUUAUACUUGGAUCUAUACCAGGCAUGUCUGCUGCUGACCAUGCAAACGAUGUUUUGUUUCUCUUUAAAAGUUCGACCAAAGCUUCUUUUAUUUGGCCAGUCAGAGUUGCUCCAAUUCGAAUUUUCCGGUCCGGCUUGUCUUCUUCCAACACCACUUCGAUUACUACAUCAUCUUUCUUCUGCCCGCUAGGAAAUUUUGUUCUUGGUCCCUCUUUUGCGGGCUUCGUUAAUUGCUAUUGAAUCUUCAUACGGUGGCUAGCUAGGUAACACGUCCGUGAAGCUUCUUGAUCUCCCCGAAUUGUUUCCACCCCAUUUGAUGUUGGAAAUUUGAUACAUUGAUGGUAUGUAGAGGGGACUGCUUUCAUUCGAUAAAUCCAGGGAGUCCCGAGGAUGAUGUUGUAAGCUGCGGGCUUAUCGAAGACAACGAAGUCCACGAUCUUCGAUACCUUCUUGGCAAGGACCGGUAGCUUGAUUGUUCCGAGAGACAUGGCUGACUCGCUUGUGAACGCAACUAACGGAGAUGGGGGUCCUACUAUGUCUCCUCGGCUGAUUCCCAUUCUUUCUAGAGUACUUAAAAAGAUCAAAUCGACCGAACUGCCUGUAUCUAUAAGGAUCCUUGAUACUUUGAAGUUGGAAACGUCAAGGGUAAUGACUAGAGCAUCAUCAUGCGGUCUUUCGAGGUACCGCGUUUCUUCUUCAUUAAAUGAUAUUGAUGCACCUUGAAAAUCGACUUCCUCGCUUAAGCUAGCUUUGAGUAGGAUGUUUCGUCUAUGUUUCUUGAUGGAACUUAUCGAAUCUCCGCAAAACUUGGAACCUCCUAGAAUCACAUUGAUCUUACCCUUCGAACUCCUUGGUUCUUCCUCGUUGGAUAACCUUGGUCUUUUGGAAUCUUGAUCUUUGGAGUUUUCCUUUGCUUCGUGGUAUUCCUUCACAAAAUCUUUUAUAUCGAAUUUGGAAAGAUCUCCAGUGGCCCAAAGCUCUGCGAGGUGCCUUUUAAGAACGCUGUAAUCCUUGGUUAAAUUUCCGGUCACUUUAUGAAUAUCGCAAUAUAGACUUUCAUCACGGACCCAAGUGUUUGAUCUUCCUUUCCCUUGGAAUUGCUUUCCGACGGUAUUGUUGAAGGGUUGCGACCCAAAUUUCCUUGGUCCUUUGCUCUCCCUAGGCUCGAACUUCUUGGUAGGGACGGUGAUUGCCGGCUUUUCUUGUUUAUUCCUUUUGGCAAAACUUUCUUUUUCGUCCUCUACCUCCAUCCAGUUGUUCGCGCGGAAGAGUGCAUCCUGAAUUGUGUCUGGUUUAUGGAGUAUUAAGUCUUCUUUAAACCUUGAAUCUUGUCGCAAUCCUUUUCGUAGGGCAGAUAAAGCUGAUUGCUGCGAGAUUCUUGGGAGCUUUGACAGCACUCCUUUGAAUUUGUUGAUGAAAACUCGAAGCGACUCAUUAGAUCCUUGCGAUAAGUUCCAAAGAUUGGCAUCCGAAACGCUUUUAUCCAUAAGGAUGGAGUAUUGCUUUAAGAAUACGGCUGAUAGUUCGUCGAAAUUGCUGAUCGAACCCGGCUCUAAUUGGGUGAACCACAUUAGAGCUUGGCCACAUAGAUUCUCCGAAAAAAGCUUGCAGUAGCCUGCGUCCUCAUCAGCUUCAUCCAAUUCGACUCUUCCAGCAGCGAUCAGAAAAGCUGCGAGAUAGCUUUUAGGAUCCUCCAAUCCGCUGUAAGGGUCCAACUUGAGUUUCCGGGAAUCUUUGAUCCUCAAACUUGCAAUUCGCGAGAUGAAAGGUGUUCGCCUAGCUUCUUCAAUGACUCGAUUGAUGUCUGGCUCCGAACUUGUAGCUUGAUGAAAUUUUGAUUUCAUUUCUUUUAAUUCCUGGCUAAUCUUCCUCAUGGUCUCAAACUGGUCGAGGUUCUCCUGCUCGUACUGAGCUGCAAGUUGUUCUUCAUCCCCGAGCUGUGUCUCUUCCUCCAACGUCUGAACUACAUUAUUAGUAGCACCGGAAGUCGUUUGUCCGCUGGUUUCAUUUCGUGCAGCGGAACUUGGCGAGUUGAAUAUCCCUCUUCGGAUUCCCACAAGGUUUCUUGCACUUAAAGAGCGAACACGAGUUUGUAUAGUAUUGACGUUUUGACUAAGAGAUACCUGGGAUGUUUGCAACGUAUCGACGGCCUUUUCCACAUCCGAGAACUUUUGUGAUAUGUCCGACAUGGUUUGCUGCAUAGCUUUGAGGGUUUCGGCCAAUAAUGUCUCAACGGCGUCUCCUCCGGACAUUGUUGCUUAUCUCGGAAAUGUAGUAAAGAAAAAAUCUGACCACUCAAGAAUCCCAACUCCCCACAGCGCCAAAAUGUGGAUGUCGGAUUCACACACUCAAGUAUUUUAUUAAGUUGGAAAGAUUAUUCUUGAGGGACAAAAAUGAAUAUGUAAAAACUUCUAAAUUGCUACGAAAAUUGCUAUAGUAUUUCUCCCUUGAGAGGAAGAUCCCCUCUACACGGCGAUUGGCCUUUAUAUUUAUACAUAGAGAAUCGACAUUAAAAUGAAUAAUUAAGUACAAUUAUUCCCUCUUAAAUGUGUCCGUUUUGAUUCUUCGACUUUAAUGCUCAACGUUUGAAUUUGAGUUGACUCUGAUCUUCAUGGGCCUCGCCUUUUUAGCCCAAGUGUCCUUGAACCGACUUACCCGUGUCUUCUACACCGAACUCGUGUCACAGUGCAGCCACUUCGAACUCUCGAAGUGGUGACAACCACUUCGACCGUUCCUUCGGCUCAUGGGUUCAAUGGGCUUUGUCCUUUAUGGGCCAUUACCUCGACUACGUGGCAAUCUUUGGUUGGUCUCGGACUUCUGGUGCGGGAUCCGACACCAACAACAUCAUUGGGUUCUUAUAAUUUGAAUAUUUAUGUCACUUUUACUUUGUUUAAUAGUUAAUAUAUAUAAUUGGGUUGGGUUCAAACUCAAAGUUGGAUUGGGUUCAAACUCAAAUUGGACUCAUAUAUAUUUAAAAACUUAGUGUAAAUUAGAACGUUUUUAAAAACUUUAUUGGUGUCAUUUGCACCCAUAAUGCUCUACUUGCCUCUGCCCCUCUCACCAGGGUUCGAGUAACGAUAUUGGUACUCCAGAGUUGAGAAGUAUAAAUGUUUCCUCUCGGCUUCCAUCGAGUGUCGAUGGUUGGCUUCCAUUGAAUGUCAAUGGAUGAUGAAUGACAGAGGUCGUCAUGACACAAUCUGGUGUCCGGAUCUUCCCUGAAGCGAAGAUUCGGGUCGGGAAAGUCUAUCACAGAGAAUCAUGCCUUUGAUGAUAGCCGAAUUGAGGUAAUCCAAAUUACCUCUUUUUGUUCUUUUAUACAAAUUUAUUCUAUAUUAUCUGAAUAUGCUCUACUACUUUUGUGGAUUUCUAUUUAGAUAGGGAUUAGAUUAGAAGUUUUUCUUUUUUACGAGUGAAUUGGCUGAAAAAGAUUAAAAACAGUUUGAGACUUUAUUGCAUUGAUACUAGGCACAAAUGAGAUAUAUAUAUAUAUCAAGCGACAACAUCUAAUAAUAGAGAGAAUUGGUUAACCUGGCUGGUUUCUUGUGUUCUGUUUUGAGUCUUACACAUUCAAUAUCUUACUGUGGUUACUUGCAGAAGACUUAUAUAUCUAAAAGGAAACAUAAAGAACUUGACACCAUGUUACUACACAUUUACGUAAGAGUUUAAGAAAUCUAAAAGAAUGGUAUCCUUUUUAUAGCUUAAGAAUUCUAUUCAAUGCUAAGAGUUUAGUAAACCAAAUUAAAAACAUAAGCAUAACAUUUUUCUGUUUACGGAAAUAAUUAGUGAACCGGAUUAAACCCGGAAUUAAGUUGUGUCUUUAAAACUUCAAGUAUUUAUUAAAAAGGGAUUAGGUCACCAAUACUCACUCAGCAAAAUGGUAGUAACUCAUCAUAAUGAUGGAGUCUCACCAGGGUUCGAGUAACUAUAUUGGUAUUUAGAAGAUUAAUCUCCCUCUGGCUGGGCAGCUGUAUGUUGUCUAGUCUCGGGAUCUUCCCUGAAAUGAAGAUUUGUUAUUUAGUCUAUCACAUUGACUAAUGUCUUUGGUGUAGCCAAAUUGAGGUAAUCUUAAUUACCUCUUUUUUUAAAAUUAAUGGAAGGCGACUUUAAGGGUGUAAGCACAACCGCGACUGAUUCAACCUUCCCCCAAGUCCCUUCCUUUCUUUCCAAAGCAAUAUAUAAGUACCAAAUCUUCCCAUCUUACUUUUACUAAUCCGACUCUGAUCAGUGCCAAAAAUCACCAGCUCUCUACCAAAAUUCACCAUUUUAGACUCCUUGAGAAGCACGUUAGCCGGAAAACCUUGUAAAUCCCUCAAGGGUUUCCAAUGCUUCUCCUUUGGAUCAUACACGAUUAUUGGAUAACACACUCUUGACUCAUGAAGACUAACAGAAAACAAGACACUCUUAAUCACACAAGACGGCUCUUGCCUCAGAUCACUCAACGUAGAUUUUUGGAAUUGAAAACCGUACUUAGGACUGAAUUUAUCAUGGGUUUGUUGGUUAAAAAUGAGAUGAGAGGAGCUUUAAACCCUAGGUCAUGAAACUGAAUCAAUAAGUUAACUGAUGAAGCUUGAAACCGAAGAGAUCGUGGUCUUGUGGGAGUCGAUGUGGCAGCAUGACAAAGUUUUUCCUUCUAGAUUAGUUGACGUGACUUCUCCUAUGAGCUUUUUUAUUACUGGACACAUGGAAAAACCUCACAUAGUCAAUUUUAUUAGUAGUAAAUUGUAUUCAUGGUCGAACCUUGUUUAUGUAUGAAUAAUUUUCUCACAUAAGCAUAACUUGCUCUUGGUUGGCUUUGUUCUGAUUUUUUAACGAACCGGAUUAAACCAUGUAUUUAGUUAUAUGUUAGAAUGGUUUAAGUAUUGAUUAAUUAGCGAGAAGGUUACCAAUUCCGGCCCAGUAAAGUGGUAGUGACUCAGCAUGAUAAGAGAGUCUCACCAGGGUUCGAGUAGCGAUAUUGGUAGCCCGUAUUCGUAACACCGUAAUCGCAACAAGGUACAAGGACAAGCAACCUAUAGCAAUAUUGGUAGUCCAACAAUAAUAACUUGUAUAUCCCAGAUAAUCAUGCCUUUGGUGGUAGCCAAGUUGAGGUAAUCUAAAUUACUUCUUUUUUUUUAAUCUUAAAAUCAUGCAGCGAACCUUGACACCGAGGGCCUCAAAGAUGGAGGUGGAGCCACGGAGUCACUUUUGAGAGACUCAAUCAACUAGGUUCUUGAUCGAGACCAGUUUCCAAAAACAGCCCUUAUCAUCAAAACCCGUGACUUUUGGUAAAUGUAAUGCGUACCACAAGAGAAACUUAUAUCUUAAGGUUCGUGGUGUGGAUAUGAACCCAGUGGAGCAUUCUCAUGGAGGAGGUAGCCAUCAGCAUAGAUCACGCCAGUACGUACAGUUAGGCGUGAUGCACCUGGUGGAUAAAAGGUUGGUCUUAUCGCUGCUAGGAGGACUGGUCGUCUCAGAGGUCAAGCUGCUACAACCGCCAAGGUCGACUAGGGUUGUUAAACAUAAACUUCUUUACUUUUUUAAAAAAAGAUUUAAUUCAUAGUACCAAACUUGAAUACAAUCUAGACUAUCCAUAGAAUCGCAAGAAAGAGAGAUAGAAACAUGGAACUUUUGAAGACCGUUACAAAAUGAAGUUGCUCAUAUUCUAGAAGCAAAAUGGGUCUUGUUAAGUCAGAAGAAUGUGAUAACUUCCAGAAGAAUCUAUAUAUCCAAAAGCGUUGGCCAUAUUAUUGAAACUGCCUUCCGAAAUAAAGAUAUCAGUCAAAAGCAAAGGUUGCUUGGGCUUCAGUUUGUCUGCCUAAAGCUGAAGGAGGUUUGGGUCUGCGAAGGCUCUCGGUCUGGAACAACAAUCUGUUGUAGGACCUUAAUAUUUCAAUAAGGGCACAAUCUAAUAUUUGUAAAACAAAAAACAUAGAAGAACGGAGAUUGACGGUGAUAAACAGAGUCGAGAACGUUGAUGAUCUCUCUCUUUAACUCAAAAAUCGCCCCGUAGUGUGCCGGUUUGAUGACAAUUAGAGUCCCAGGAUAAAACUGUUUCUUCUUUUGAUUGCAACACUCAAAUCAAAAGCUAAACGAACACUAAUCUUGUGUUGUACUCUCAGACACAAACAAAAAACAAGAAAAGAGAAGAGAAGGAUUUUUUAUGCUUUGAUCGAUGAUCCGAAUGAGAAGACAAACGCUUGACUUUAUACUAAAAGCUCAACGUCUAUGCCAUAAAUAGGAGGAUACGUGAGUUAUGAGAAUUUGAUUCUCUAACGUCAAUGUCGUAAAUUGAUUCCAACCUUAAUUCAUGAGACUUAAUUAGGUUGUUACAAAAUCAAUCAAGGAGAUAUUUCUUUGAAUUAGUCAACAACAUAAUUCAAUAUGGAUUAGGACAAACAAGAAUAAACUAAUGGGUUACAAGCCCAUAUUAUUAAUCUCAAAUCCCAAAUCCAACCCAUAUGUGUUUGGGUUUCUCCUUUGACCUCCAAAGUGGUCCAAUUAACAUUUAGUUAAAAUUCCAAGCUUAGCAAGCUAACCACUUUGGACCUCCAUUUCUCAUUCAAACGAACUCCGUUUUUGACAUUCCAAUACACCACCACGUAGUGCUCGCAGCAACGAUUCCAUCGUGCCCAAGAACCGGUCAUUCCGAUGAACGUCUUCACCGGAAACUCCACCGUAACAAUGGUCAAAACCAUUUUGUCAAAAACAAGUUCCAACAUCUGUGUCUACGGCUCAUUUGGUUGCUGUUCUCUAGCAGUGGUUCUCUUUGGGUUGCUUGGCACAAUUAUCAUCAGAAGCUCUCAGAAACUAGUUUUUGGAGUCUAAAAGGACGAAAUAGUGACUCUUGGCUGUGGAAAUCUCUGUUAAAGCUGAGGCAUUUGGCUUCUCAAUUCAUCAAAUGCAAGGUCGGAAAUGGUAGAAAGGCUUGGUUUUGGUAUGACAGUUGGACUCCAUUAGGCCCUUUAAUCAAUCUGUUUGGCGAUCAAGGUCCUAGAACCACAAGAAUUCCACUCUCAGCCAAAGUGGGGGACGCUUGUAAUGCUUUUGGGUGGAAGAUGGCUGCUCCAAGGUCUGAUCAGGCUGAAUCCCUCCAAAUCCAUUUGUCUUCUAAGCAGCUGCCCACUAGUUCCUCAGAGGAUGAUGUAUUUGAGUGGGAAAUUGAUGGUAAAUCAAGCAUUGGAUUUUCCUCUUCUAAAACUUGGGAGAAGUUAAGGCCCAGAGAAUCAGAAAAAAUAUGGGCGCCUCUCAUCUGGUUCAAAGGAAACACUCCAAGGUUUGCUUUCAACUUCUGGAUUACUAACCUGGACAGACUUCCUACUAUGUCUAGGCUUGCUUCCUGGGGUCUGCCUGUGUCCACAGUUUGUAGCUUAUGCUCCAGUCCUGUCGAAAACAGAGAUCAUUUGUUUCUUCUUUGUAGUUUUACUCGAGUGCUAUGGGACAAAAUUUGGCUCAGACUCGGGCAGCAAGCUGUUUAUUUCAGCGACUGGACAUCCUUGCUGGCUUGGGUAAAGGGACAAAGCAGUUCUGUUCCACGAACCCUUAGGCUUCUGAUUAUCCACACCUUGGUCUAUAUGGUUUGGAAACAAAGAAAUAAUAUCGUUCAUAAUCAGAUCACCAUCUCUCCUAUUGCCAUCUUCAGAGUUAUCGACCGUCAGAUCAUAAACACUAUCACUGCUAGAAGUUUAGGAAUCUUAUGGCGUUAUGGCUACACUAAUGGAUCCAAGGUUUUUCCUUUCUGAGAAUUAGUAUUUUUCGUAUUGGGCUUUGUUUUUUCCUUCUUUUUUUUUGGCAAAGCUUAAUUUCUUAGGUCUUAUAUCUCUUGUAACACCUAUCUUUCAUUUAUAUUUAGCAAAAAAAAAAAAAAAAAAAAAAAAAACACUGUUUUGUACAUAUCAACUAGUCUUUAUAUUUCGUCAAAUUUGAUAUUGUAGAAGUGAGGGUGUUAAGUUUUACUCAUGCAUAAAAGCCACAAACACCGGUUAACUAAAUCGGUUUGUUCAUCUACAGAUCCCUAAACCAAGAUUUCAUAUUUGCUCAUAUCAUAGAAGCACAUGCCUGAUUGCGAUCACUUGCAGAAGAACAUAAAUCCAAAAGCAAACAGAAAGACCUUGACUAAAACCUUAAAAUAUACAGUAUAUCCUUUGUUUCUUGUGUUCUGUUUUCAGUCUUACUCUUUCAAUAUCUGACUGUGAUUACUUGCAGAGGAAUUAAAUAUUUAAAAGCAAACAGAAAGAACUUGACACCAUGCGAUGUUACUUCACAUUUACGUAAUUGUUUAAGAAUUCUAUUCAAUGCUACUUCCGUAAGAGUUUAGUAAACCAAACUGAAAACAUAAGCGUAACAUUUCUCUGGUUAUGGAAAUAUUUAGUGAACCGGAUUAAACCCGGAAUUAAGCUGUGCGUUUAAAAUGUUAAGUACUAAUUAGACAGAGGAAAAGUCACCAAAACUCAACCAGCAAAGUGGUAGUGACUCAUCAUGAUAGUCUCACCAGGAUUCGAGUAAUGAUAUUGGUACCCCGAAAGAAGGAAAAGUGUCUCCUUGCUUCCAUUGAGUGUCGGUGGAAGAUGAAUGACAUAGGAGUUUAGACGUAAACUCUGUGUCUCCCCAGCUGCUUGACAUAGGAAAAAGGACGAGUUAAUCUUAACAGCCUCUUAGCCACUCUUGCUUCAUCUUUGUUAUCCAACCAACAAGCUGAAUUACAUUAUAAUAAAGUCUGAAAUCUGAAUUCUUCAUCAAAAGUACAUAUACUUACUCAUACAGUCAUACUCAUUAUAUAUAAGCAUACCUGCAAGUAUCAUCAAACCGUAACAAAGGAUGAUUUUAAGGGUGACCGCGACUGAUUCAACCUUCCCCCAAGUAUCACCUUCUCUCUUUCUUUCAAUGCAAUCUCUACGUACCAAAUAUUUUGCUUCCCAUCAUACUUUUACUAAACCGACUCUGAUCAGUGCGAAAAAUCAGAAUUCUAGAUUCCUUGCGAAGCAAGUUAGCCGGAAAACCUUCUAAAACCAUCAAGGGUUUCCAAUGCGUCUCCUUUGGAUCAUGCACAACAUAUCAUCAAUCACACAAGACGGCUCUUGCCUCAGAUCACUCAACUUAUCUUAUCAUCUCCAUGAUUUCAAUUUAGUUUCUUUGGGUUUGUAAGCAUAAGAACAGAACAGUGACUAUCCCUCAAGUAAAUCUUCUCUUCCAUCACCACGUAUGUCUCAAACACAGUCGCAGAGGUAGGUUCGGACAAAAGGUUAGUCUUAUUGCUGCUAGGAGGAGAGGUCAAGACAAGCUGCUGCUUCAUCCGCCAAGGCCGACUAGGGUUGUUAAUUUAAACAUAAAGAAACAUCUGUUUCUUUUCUCGUUUGGACCUUGUUCUCAAAUUCUUAACAUUUUUAUGAUAAUCUUUGUCUCCUCUCUCUAAAAGUUUAUAGUAUACAUUGCAAAUUUUCAUCACAAGUUUGAUUAUUAUCCGAAUCUUGUUUACAGAUGAGUAAAUUCUGCAACCUUGUUCUGUUGUUUAUACGAGAACAAGGAAAGCACAUGAGGCCAUUUUUUGGAAAUCUUAAAGUGAAAACCAGAUUGAACCGCAAGCGUAACAUUUUCUGGUUAUGGAAAUCUUUAGUGAACCGGAGUAAACCCAGAUUCAGCUUAAGUAUUUAUUAAAUAGAAAAAGGUCACCAAAUCUCACCCAGCAAAGUGGUAGUGACUCAGCAUGAUAUGAGAGGCUCGCCAGGGUUCGAGUAACGAUAUUGGUACCCCCCCCGAAUGAGAAGAAGACUCAUGUCUCCUCUCGGUUUCCAUCAAGUGUUGGUGGAUGAUGAAAGAGUUUAAAAAUGUAAACUCCUUCAUGAAUUGGCUGGAAUGCAGUUGCAGCACAGCCUCCGGGACUGUCUAUCACUGAGAAUCGUGCCUUUGAUGAUAGCCGAAAUGAGGUAAUCAAAAUUACCUCUUUUUUUAUUUUUAUAUAUGGGAAAAUGAAAACUUGAAGUUAUUAACAUUGCUAAAUCGUUUAGAGUGGAAACUUACUUAUUCUAAAACCACAUAAAUCUGGGUUUACCGAGUUUUAGUGAGAGAAAUUAUUAAACCACAUAAACGAUUAGAAAGGUACACAACCAUUUUGAGCAGAUAUAUUUUCGCAUAAAUUCACAUGUUGAAAUAAACGAUUAAUCAUAUAUCAAACAAAUAAGGCGUUUUAUGUAAACUCUUCCCAUUGGAAAAUAAUUGAAUGCAUUUCUAAGAAGAUUUAAAAUUAUAGUCAUAAUUAAAGAUUACGCACCAUACGAACGAUUAAAUAUUACUCACCAUAUAGAAAGACGACAUAAUGCUCAACAUAUGAAAAUCCAAGGAAAUAGAUGGGCUAGAAAAUUUUAAAAAACAAAAAGUUUUACAAUAAUUCCUGCUUCUUAAUAAAAAUGCUUAUUUCUUCCUAAUCAAAACUGUCAAUGUAAUGGUAUUUCUCUCUUGCCUUGUUUGAAAUCAAAACUGUCAAUGCAUGUGUUGCUGGCACCCUUCUCCGAACAGAGCCAAAGACAAACAAAGAUUUCAACACACUAUGAGCACAUUUUUUGAGAGACGUCAGACAGCGAAAAUAGAUAUAACACAUGAAAAUUUACAAUUUAGAGAGUUACUAAUCAAAGAUCUUAAAACUGAAAGAAGCGAUAAUUCUCUUCAAUAAAGCCAGUAGAUUGAAAAAAUUUCAUUCAAUGUUUCUAAAUCGAAGAAUUUUUUAUAUCAAAUAGUUAACAUCGUCCAAUGGUAAGGGUGGCGUCUCAGCAAAUCAAAAGGACAAACGGAGAUCAGCGAGGACGAGUCAACAAAGCUAUUUUUAAGCGAGUCAAAUGCCUACAUCAAGUCACUUGCGUGGCUUGGAAACAAAGGGAUUCCCACCUUUAUAAAACAAAGUCACGACUUGUAGCUUGCAUAAAGCCAUCUCCAACCAACAUUUCAAUAGUCACACCGUUCACUACUUGGUUCCACAUCUUACAAGUUUAAGGCAUCAAUCUUUCUUUUGAUUACUCAUCUCUAAUAUAGAUUUCAGCAGCUCAAAGUAUUCUUUAUCCCUCCUUUAUUAUUGUUGAAAUUUGCUCAAUAUCUUUUAUUUGUACAGAGCAUGUUGAUAAAGAAAGUGAAACAGAAUUGGACGAGAGAAGGAGAGAAACUGUUUUUAUUUACUUCGACAAUUUUGUACAAUAACACACGUACUUAUAUAGCUGUCUUACGGUCGUAACAGUUGUGUCUUAUCCAACAAGUCACAACUCUUACCCAUACACCCUUGUGUCUUAACAAAGUCACGGUUAACAACUACCGAUUGAUUUUACAACACAAUAAUAUGUUAUAUAGAAUAACAUAAGACUAAACUCAAUUAUCACUGAACUCAACACACUCAAUUAUGUACAUAACUUCUCAAACAGAAUCAUUAACAACACUCUGUAAAUUUAUCAGCUUUUAAAAAAAGGAUUCUACCAUUACCAAAGUAAGUGAUAGAGAGCGGAAGCUAAAUAACGGACGAGAAUACAAGAUCUCUAAGAGAAGUCGGAUUCACGAACGGAUCUUGCUUAGAACGUCGAAACUUGACGAAGAAGCAAUAAAGAUAGGGUCGAGAUCGGUAGCGAUAUCGACGUGGUUUUGCAAGUCCUCCUUGCAGGGCUUGAACACAAACUCUUAGGGUUGAGAGUCCUCCUCUCUAGGCUUUACACAAAGCUCUCUUAAAAAACUCAAUUUAUUCAAUAAUCCAAAGCUGCCCCUCUUAACGCAUAAUCUAAGCCUUAUAUAAGGCGUUCAUAAACGAAAACCCUAAUCUAAAAACAUAAACGUAUAUACUAAUUAAAAGCCCAAAAUAAAAGCCCAUGUAUCAUAGAUGACGCUGCAUCAGUCUCCUCGGGUUAGAGAAGAUUCAUCCUCGAAUCUUGCGACGUUCGAUCUUGAAGAUGCGCUGCAUCAGUCCCUCCGGGUUAGAAAGAUUCGACCCGAAUCUUAAAUCGUUGAACAUAUGAUACCAACUGAUAGAGAGCGGAAGCUAAAUAACGGACGAGAAUACAAGAUCUCUAAGAGAAGUCGGAUUCACGAACGGAUCUUGCUUAGAACGUCGAAACUUGACGAAGAAGCAAUAAAGAUAGGGUCGAGAUCGGUAGCGAUAUCGACGUGGUUUUGCAAGUCCUCCUUGCAGGGCUUGAACACAAGCUCUUAGGGUUAAGAGUCCUCCUCUCUAGGCUUUACACAAAGCUCUCUUAAAAACUCAAUUUAUUCAAUAAUCCAAAGCUGCCCCUCUUAACACAUAAUCUAAGCCUUAUAUAAGGCUUUCAUAAACGAAAACCCUAAUCUAAAAACAUAAACGUAUAUACUAAUUAAAAGCCCAAAAUAAAAGCCCAUGUAUCAUAGAUGACGCUACAUCAGUAAGCAAAGCAAAUAAUAAACCCGUGUAUAUGAUAAUAGACAAGUAGCUAAGGACCAAAGCCGCACACUUAAAGUGUAAAAUUGGCAUUUGACCGUACAAAAAACCAAGAAAAUAGAGUCAACAUCCACAAAUAAGAUAGUGCAGCAAACUCAUACAUGAGAAAAUUGGACAGUGUAAUGUACUCACACUAAAAAAUUCCACUUUGUACACAAUUCGGAUCGAAUUUAGAUUAAGUUCCUUUACUUAUAGAAGUAAUGAAAAGAGAAGUAUUGCACCCAUGUAUUUCCUAAUUGCGAUACCAUAAACUAUUUAUCAGUUAUUUCUCCGGUUCUCCCAUAUCCAUGGCUUUAGGCUCAACAUCUCACACCCCUCAAAUGAAACAUACAAAACAACCAUCUCAUCCCCAAAAACCACAAUUGUAUUAUUAAACUAUAGGUCUAGUAAACCCAACGUAUUUACAAUAAUGGAACAAAUCUCAAAAAUAGUCAUUAACAAAUCUAUGUUUUGGGAACUGGGAAAAAGAUUCAGAUAUUUCUAAGGGUCAAACAAAUCUAUGAUUGAUUGCCCAUAGAACCCCAUAAAUCUAGAAUGAUAUUAAGUAGGAGAGUGUGUAAUCAACAAAGUCGAUAGAAGCAUAUAAAAAAAAAAACAAUAAGGAAAUCAACAGAAGUACUACUUCUAGAAACAAAUGAUCGCUGCAUGCAUAGACAUUAAGAGACAAGAACAAAAUGACUAACCUACGAUGAGGUUGAAGCGGUGGUGAGUGGUGACAAUGUUGAAUAGAGGGGCCGUGGCUCCACACGCCAACUACGGACCAUUGAAGAUGAAGAAGCCCUUGGUAAGAAGACGUUCACAGUCUCCAUACUUUCACCAUUGUCUCAUAUCCAUGGCCUGAUAAUAACGACAUGAUGCUGAAACUUUCAGCCUGAAAGUAACAAAAUUAAAUCAACCAUCACAUGUUUACUCAAACAAAAAAAAAAGUCACAACUACGAAUCUACACAAAGAAGAGAUUAGUGAUUACCUAAAAGAGGAGAUCAAAGAGCGUGACAACAACAAUGGUAAGGAGAUUCAAGAGCGAGCACGACAAGCGAUGGUAAAGGUGUCAGGUGUGGAAUCUCUAAAACGAUGACUGGCGGGGAUGAGUGAACGGAGGAUUGCAAAUCAGGGAUUUUAAAACAAAACAUAAAUUAGUAACACAACCAAAUUGAAUAAUCGAAGAACCAGGACAUAUGUUCUUCAUUGAAUAAUUGAAGAGCAUGACAAAUCGGCGAGUUAAAAGGAUCACCCUAGAGGCGAAAUUAGGCAACGCUGCAUACUCAACGGAGAAUUGGGAAAUUGAUUUUGUGAUUACUGUUUUUGAUUUUUAAUUUCUAUAUACUUUGACUUGAAAAAUUUGUAAGGGAACGACAGAGGAGAAAAAAUUCUUCAAAACUACAUUGAUGAAUCCCGAAAAUAGAUUUCUCAAGUGAAAAGUGUUGUGUCUUUCUGUUUUUAGAGAGGCAUUGAUUCGAGGGAAAAAGUAAUCUCAACCGUUAGUUUUGCUUUAAUAAAAGACGCGACUUUUGCUUUAAUAAAACAAUCUCAUCCGUUAGUUUUUCUUCUUUUUCAUACUCAACCGUUAGAUUAUAAAGAUGACGUCAGCAGACCCAAAAAAGUGGGUUUGCUAUUAUAUAUAGAUUCUUAAUUCAAUUUCUGUUACUACAAAUCAGAAACAGAACAUCACCUUAAUUAUCUGCAAAACCUGCAAAUUAAAAGACAUUGACUUGGUCUUUAAAUCCUGUGUUUGGCUUCUUCACACGAAUGGCAUUUCAACAAAGUUUCGUAAAAAUAUUGAAUAAACGCUAGAGAAAUUAUCUAUAACUAAGAAGUGAGGCAAGAGAAGUUAUCUAAACCUCUGAAGAUGACAAAGCUCAAUGGAAGGCGACUUUUACUAAACCGACUCUGAUCAGUGCCAAAAAUAACUAACUUUCCUCCAAAAUUCCUUGAGAAGCACGUUAGCCGGAAAACCUUUUAAAACCCUCAAUAGUUUCCAAUACGGCUCCUCUGGAUUAUACACCAUUAGUGGAUAAUACACUCUUGACUCAUGAAGAUUAACAGAAAACAACAUAUCAUCAAUCAAUCACACAACACGGCUCUUGCCACAGAGCAUUCAACAUAUCUACUCCUCCCCAUCCAUGACUUCAAAUUAGUUUUUUUUGGUUCGUAAGCAUAAGAACAGUGCUUAUCCCUCAUGUAAAUAUUCUCCUCCAUCACCACAUAUGUCACAAACUCAGUCACAGAGGUAUGUAGGUUCGGACAGAAGGUUGGUCUUAUUGCUGCUAGGAGGAGAGGUCAAGCUGCUGCUUCAGCCGCCAAGGCCGACUAGGGUUAUUUAAACAUAAAAGAAUUUGUUUCUCUUUUCUAUAUAUGUUUGAAGUUUUGUUGUCUUGUAUUUCCGUUUGGACGACCUUGUUCUACAAUUCUAAACAUUUUUAUGAUAAUCUUUAUCUUCCCUCUCUCUCUCUUUAAAAGCUUAUAGUAUACAUUGCAAAUUUUCAUCACAAGUUUUAUUAUUGUUCUCUAUCCGAAUCUUGUUUAUAGCUAGAUGAGUAAUUCUAUCACCUAAGCAUAAUUUGCUGUUGGUUAGUUUGCAAUGGUUCCCUAACGAACCGUAUCAAACCGAGUAUUUAGUUAUAUGUUUAAAACGUUUUAAGUAUCAAUAAAUUAGACAAAUAGCUGCCAAUUCCGAACCGGUGAAAAUGGUAGGGACUCAGCAUGAUGAGAGAGUCUCACCACGGUUCGAGUAGCGAUAUUGGUACCUUGUUGCUACCACGAGGAUGUCUAUCACAAAGAAUCAUGCCUUAAGUGGUAGCCGAAUUAAAGUAAUCUAAAUUACUUCAUUAUUUUUAUAAUCUUAAAACUGAAUCAGGCAGCGAACCUUCUAAGUGACACAGAGGGACUUAAAGACAAGAGAGUUUUAAUGGAGGUGGAGCCAUGGCGUGACUUUUUGAGCCAUGGUUGUUCAUAUGGAGAUUCGUUCCCUGGUUCGAAGCAGCAGCUAGACGAAAACUGUGUAAUGGCUAUAUCACUGAAGAGGAACCGUAUCUUCAUUCCUUAUGCGAAUCUCGUCUUCUUCUUCUUCUUGUGUAUCUCUCUGCUCGAUAAAGCUGUUUGCAUCAGGAUUUCGAAUCAGAUCUCGGAUACUAUCGUUGAUUCUCCCGAUCGUCCUUUGAAAUCUGCGGUUUUCGCUCUUGGAAGCUUCUGGAGAUCCGAGGCUGCGUUUGGUUGUAUCAAUGGCGUCGUUAGAACAACCGCCGGUUACGCCGGUGGAACGAAGACGAAUCCGGAGUAUAGAAACUUAGGUGAUCACGCCGAGUCCGUACAGGUUAGUUUAUUGUUUCGAUUUCGAGGAUUGAGCCAAUGUUUACUUGGAUUUGAUUUGAUCUACUUAAUAGUUUAUUGUUUUGAUUUUGAGGAUUGAGUCAAUGUUUACUUCGUUAUUCUAUUGCCGCCGGUUUUGAAUUGAGCUUUAUGAUUGAUCUUGUUGCCUCUUAUAAUUUGUGUAGUCAAUGAUUGAGCAUAUUAUUCGACGAUUGGAAGAUGCUUGAAAUCAGCAAUGUUCUAUCUUAAUAGCUUAAUUCUGUAGCUGAUUAGCUUGUUUUGUUGAAUUUUGGUAAUGUGUGAUGUUAUUGUAAAUGUGAUUUGAAGUUAAACUAAGUUGAUCUGUUACCUCUUCUUGUUCGACUGAAUUCAUUUCGCUUGGAUCGACAAAUUUGUGUAGAGAAUUGGAGGAUGCUGUAUAGACUUAAUGUUUUAUCGUACUUAAUAUCGAAAUUAUGUAGCUGGUUUAGCUUGUUUUUCUGAGUUUUUGGUAAUGUUAGUGUAAAUGUGAUUGAGGUUAACCUAAAUCGUCUAUGUUCAUCUGCGCUGUUGAAAAGUAAUCCUUGUGUUUCCAGGAGCUGGGUUUAAAGUUUCUGAUCCUUUAGAUUUGUGUUGCUCUUGCUCUGUAACUGUCUUCAGGUUGAAUAUGAUCCACGGAUAAUCGGUUAUCGUCAGCUCUUAGAUGUAUUCUGGUCUAGUCAUGACUCUAGACAAGUGUUUGGACAAGGUCCUGAUGUGGGUAAUCAAUACAGGUAAAGAGGAAGUAAAUCUCCCUCACAUUAGCUGUUUGGUAAUCCUAAGUUUGUUUGGGCCAAAUAUAUAACGUCGGAAUCUUUUUGAACAGAUCCUGUAUUUUCACUAAUUCUACAGAAGAGUUGAGACUGGCUUCUACUAGCAAGGAAAGGGAGCAACUUAAAUCAAGAAACAGUAUUGUGACUACUCAAAUUCAACAGCUAGGAACGUUUUAUCGCGCAGAGCCUGAUCACCAGGUUCAACUUUAUGUCUCUGUACAUCUUCGAUUCCUAUUACGGCUUGUUAGCUGUUAAUCCAGUUGUUAGAGGAUAAACAGUUAGGAAAAUCGAUGUUCUCUUGAAUUUUGUAUAUGCAGAAGUUCGAGCUGAAACAACAUCCAUUUCUUAUUCAGCUAAUUGGAAACAUGGCAGAAGAAGAGCUCGAGAGAUCAGCUCUAGCCACAAAACUAAAUGGUUAUGCAGCCGAGCUCUGCCCGUCUAGAAUCCAGAAACAUAUCGACUCUAGAGUUAAUGAGAUCAUUAGAAAAGGUUGGCCUGUCUUGAAAGACAUCUAAUAUGUAAGCCGUGUUAGAUCUUCGCGCUCUUGGAUUUGAUUGAUAGUCUCAGAUGUAAGUUUUGGUUCAUUCUUUAGGCCAGGAAUUGGUCGCAACAAUGUUUAUGUCUUACUCUUGCAGUCUUGCCCCUUGAGUGGUGAUUGGUCAGUGUUUUGUCUUGUUUCAUUCGGAUCAUUCUCACAGAGUAUGCUUUUUGUUUUCUUGUAAGCAGAUUCAUUUAGACUUUCAUUGUAUCAUUAUGGUAGUGAUUACCAAUUCAUUGAUAUUAUAUAUAUAUAUAUAUAUUCUAUACUUUGAUUGCCAAUCACUCACAUAGAUUAUGCUUUUUAAUGGAUCCCACGGAACAACGGCUUCGGUACUUACAUCUUAGUAUAAUUGAUUAUGAUGUCUAAAGAAAAAAAAAACAGACUGUUUUUAUCAUACUGCAUCACACGCACAGUUUGUUUGGCAUCCUGAAGAAGACAACUUCAGACAACAACCUUAUGAGAAAUGGGUCAGAUUCUCGAUACUAGGCCUGGGCGUUCGGGUAUUUUGGUUUACAAGUUUAGAAGCUGUUCGGGUAUUUUACGAUUUUGGAUCAGGUUUGGUUCGGGUUUACGUUUACCUGAAGUAUCUGAAAAUCAAAAAAAUUUGUAUCCGAAUGUAUCCAAACUACUUGAAAAUACAUAAAAUAUCCAAAACACACUAGUAUUAUAGUAUCAUCAAAAAGCCAAGGAUCUGACCAUUAUAGGUUAGAAGCAGCAAUAUGUAAUCGAGCUGUUUUAUUAGGAAUAAUUGGAUCAUUUUAGUAAUCUAGAAACCUUUUGCUUGCAUAUUAUUUGGUAAAAUCUUGCAAGUCAUGGAUUAGUUGUGUAUACAUUAUAAUCAAUAUUUUGAAAAAUACUAGAUAUAUAGAAAAGCAAAUAUAUAUAUAUAUAUAUAUAUAUAUAUAGAUGAAAUUAGAUUUAGAAAGGUGUGAUUGGAUUAAGGUUUUUAAGUGGUUAAAUAUAUUUGAUUUUUGAAGUGUUUUUACUUUCUUAGUGGAUAUAUUUAUUUAUCUAUUUUCUUGGUUUUGAGUUGUGUGAUAUAAAAACGCGUCCCACAGUUGCAAACGUCAAUAAUAAUUAGGGUAAAGCAAAGAUAGUGAAGCAGAGCCGCAAAAACAUUUUCUCAAAAUCAACGAAGAUAGAUUCAGAUCGGAAACGUAAGAACGAUUCGGUCUCCUCCACAGAUCGAACAUUGAAAGAGAAGAAAGACGAUCAUCACCAUCACCAUCACAACAAGCAUCGGAAGAAGAGCAAGAUGGCGUCGAGAGACCAAGUUAAGGCAUCGCACAUUUUGAUUAAGCAUCAAGGAUCUCGGAGGAAGGCGUCGUGGAAGGAUCCAGAAGGGAAAAUCAUCUUGACUACCACUAGAGAAGCCGCCGUUGAGCAGCUUAAGUCGAUCCGUGAAGAUAUUGUCUCCGGGAAGGCGAACUUCGAAGAAGUGGCGACUCGUGUUUCUGACUGUAGCUCUGCUAAACGCGGCGGCGAUCUUGGUUUGUUCUUAUCCCUAAUCUCUAGGUUAGCGAGUUUAGGUUUAGGAUGAUUGCACUUAGUGUUAGAUCUAGUGGCAAUGACAUUAAUCUGGAUAGUCUUAAGUGAUGUUUGUAGAAGGAGUAUCUAUUGGAUCUAACUGUGUACAUUGAAAUUGAGCAUAAUGAUCAUAUAAGUCUGCUUAGAUCAUUACUGUUGUUUAGAAUCUCACAGUUCUUCCUUGAUGUGUUUAUAGUCAUCACUAAUGGUUAGAAACUUUAGCUUGAUAAAUCUUUAGUUGGUGCUCAGAGAUUUUACUAAUCUCUAGCUUCUAUCAUCACUAAUGUUUAGUUUCUUCCUAUUUCCCAAUAAAUUUAUACUUGGCUCUCAUUAAUCUCGCUAAUGUUUGUUUUGAUCAUCACCGAUGUUGAGAAUCUGAAGUUUAUCUUCCUUGAUGAAUCUAUAAUUGUUGCUAAUGUCCACAUAGAUUAACACCGAUGAUUAGAAUCUAAAGUUUCUUCCUUGAUGAAUCUGUAAUCGGUACUCGUAAAUCUUACUAAUGUCUGCUUAGAUCACUACUGAUGUUUAUAUUCUGAAGUUUCUUCCUUGGUGGAUCUAUAAUUGGUGCUCAUAAAGUGUACUAAUGUCUUCUUAGAUCAUAACCUAUCUAGAGUUUUUAUUCUUGAUGAUGGAUCUAUAAUUGUUGCACAUAAAUCUUAUGCUGGAAGUGUUCAUGUUGAUUGACUAUGUUCAGGUCCCUUUGGUCGAGGUCAAAUGCAGAAACCAUUUGAGGAAGCGACUUACGCACUCAAGGUGGGAGAUAUAAGCGACAUUGUCGAUACAGAUAGUGGAGUCCACAUCAUUAAGAGAACAGCUUGACCUGAUCCGAUCUAAUAAAUGUAUCGAAGGUGCCAGCUUUGUUUCCCUUCUCUUCUUGACCAGAAGAACAUAGAAGAAGAAGAAUAAGAAGAAGUUAAUUCAAGGUUAUUGUUAUUGUGGUUUUGAUUCGGAAACUGUCUACGAAUUUGAUACAAACAACCCAAACAUAUGAUAAAACCAGACACUCUAUCUCAUUUCUUCUUAAAGCUUCAUAAGCACAUUCCAUGUCGUAGACAGUGAUUUGUAUAAUCAUAUUUCAGUAUCUUUGUCAUAUGUUACUGCAACAUUCUGGCAUCUUUUUUAGUGUUGUCAUUUUGCUCUUAAACUUUUGAUAAUCUUUGGUAGGGAUGUCAAAAUGGGUUAAUACCCAUGGGUUACCCGAACCAGUCCAUGAUUUUAGUGGGUUUGGGUAGAAUUUUUUUACCCAUAUAUAUAAAUGGGUUUUAGUGGGUUACCCUAUUAGGGUUAUGAGUUUAAUGGAUAAAACCCAUUACGGUCAUGGGUUACCCAUGAGUUUCAUAACCAAAACUAAAAAGUAAAAUUUAUAUAUUCUAUAUUAAUAUAUUAUGGAAAUUUAUAUAAAUAUAUGUAAAAUAUCUUUUUUCCUUUACAACUAUAUAAGUAAAAUAUCUAAAAUAACUAUUAAAGUUUACAUUUUAUCUAAAAAUAAAAGUAAAAAGUAAAAUAUAUGUAUAAUAUUAUUUUAAUUUAUUUAUUAUUAAAAGUAAAAAGUAAAAUAUAUGUAAAAUAUAUGUAAAAUAAAAGUAAAAAGUAAAAUAACUAGAUUUUUUUUAAUUUAUUAUUUAAAAAGUUUUGUUGGUUUACAAUUUUUUUUGGUUUACAAACUUUUGUUGGUUUACAAUUUUAUGUUAUUUUUUUGGAUUUUUAUUAUUUAUAUAUUUUAUUAUACAUAUAUAUGAGUACCCAUAUAAAACCCAUUAAGCCAAUGGAUUUCUACAAUAAUGGAUUUGGGUAUGUAAAUUAAACCCAUAUAAAUAUAUGGGUCGGAUCAAACCCGUCCAUUAAACACUCGAACCCAUAUAAGUUUGGGUCGGAUCGGGUCGGAUUACCCAUUUUGACACCCCUAAUCUUUGGCUCUCUUCUCCACUCUUAAUAUUUGAGAAAUCGUUUAUUGUUAGGCGUAAUUUAACGUCUAAACCAGUUUAGUAGGCUCGAGCGGGAUGUUUAGGCUUUUGACUUUUCUUAACAACAUUUAAGGUUAGACCCAUUUAGCAAUUAAUCUAAACAGGUUUUUAUAUUAAACAAGUCAUGGAGAACCCCAUUGUAUAGAACUUAUACAAACCAAACCUUAAGAUCGAUCCAAAUAGUUUUCUCUAAAAAAAUAUAUUUGAUUUAUGAUUGAUUAAUUAUGUGAAGCUGGUUAUACUUUUAUUUCCUCUUUGUAGUCAAUAUUUCUUAGUUGAUGUUACUCGUUUCACACUUGGAGUUUCAACACUAUUUAAAUUUAUAAAACGGCUAAUUAAAUACCUAGUUAAAACAUUCAAAGACGUUAAGUUAAGAUAAUUAAUAUCACAGUUUCACAUUUCAUUCCAUAUAAAUAAGCAAGGAUCUUAUUGUUGUUCAUCAAUCAAAAACAAUCAGAGCAUUAAGCAUAUAUUUGAGAUUUGGCUAUACUAAGGCUUUUUUACUCAAUUUUUCAUUAUGUCUAUCAAAAAUGUGCUUUCACUCAUAGCAGUUCUAUGCAUCAUAGUUUCUGUAAAUGCUCAAUUGCCACAGUUUCCGGCUCCGUUUUCUUUUCCAUUUCCGUUCCAACCGAUUUCUGGUAUGCCAGGAUUACCUGAUUUAACAAAAUGUUUGUCAUCCGUGAUGGAUAUUCCUGGAUGCAUUGCAGAGAUUUCUCAAUCCAUUUUCACUGGAAAAUUCGGUAAUUUAGGUCCGGCUUGUUGCAAAGCAUUUUUGGACGCCGAAGACAAUUGCAUACCGAAAAUUCUAUUCAUUCGGUUUUUCCCUCCGAUACUAAAGGAACAAUGUUCAAGAAUUGUCGGUGCAACUCCUCCGACACCAAAAUAGAGUUUUAAUUUAUUUUAAAGAUUAUGAUUUUUUUUCAACUUAUUUCUUAAAAUUUUAGCUUACUCUACAUGUUAUACUCCAAAGAAAAAACAAUGAUACAGUGAUAACAUUUGAGAAGUUGUAUUUGGGUUCAAUAUUUACUCAUUCUUCAAUUCUAAUGAAUAACACCUUAAACAUCAAGUCCAUAAUUAAUUUAGUCUUGCAAUGUUUCAGAUUUUCAUAAAUCUUUUAAACAUGUGUAACACAAAAUCUGCGAACAACUAAUAACUUUACUAGAUAAGGUCCGUCUAAAUAGCUGGGUAUGAGAAAUAAACUAUUUUUUUUUUAAUCUAUCUUUUCAAAAGCCAAUUUACAAUCUUACACUUUUUAUUUUUGCAAUAAAAUUUAACUAUUUAUAACACGUCUUUACUAAUUAUAUAUAAUAAGGUAUUUCUCAAAGUGCAACAAAAAGAUAAGGAAAGGACAAGAGACUGCAGCAAGAAAAAGACGGACCAAGCGUAGCCAGAGAAUGUGGCAAACAAAUUGAACUAAGAAAGAAGAAAAUUAAAUUAAAUUAAAAAAAUACAAGGAUAAACAUAUUGAAGUUACAGUUUUCAAAAAACAUAUAUAAGGUACAAAAUUAGAAAAUAUUAAAACAUGUAUUAAUAUUUUUUAAAAACAAAAUAGGGAACUUUCACUUCUAUUUUGAAUAUAUUAACAAUUUUUAAUAGAAUUAAUUAGUUUGAUAUAUUAAAUAAAAAAUUUUAAUAUAUAAACAAAAAAUUUUGAUUUAUGUAUAUAUUUCCUUUUCCCGAUAGGGUUAGAAAAUAUUUUUCUACUUUUGUUUUUAAAUAUAUCAAAAUUAGGUUUGAUAUAUGUAGAUAUCUCGUUAAUAAAUUUAACACAUGUCGCGUUCACGUGAAUUACUAAUUUUGUCAACUUUAUAUAAUAAGACGGCAAAAAACGCUGGUUUAAAUUUUAGCCCUUCAGUUUUUUUAUUAAGCCAAAUUUAACCAUUUAUUGGCCUCAUAACUGCGUUAUUAAGAAUGUUUUUAAAAAAAUUGUAAUAUUUCAAUGAAAAUUAAGAAAUGCUUCAAAAUUGAGGAUUUAUAUUCAAUAGAAAACACACUCGUUCACAAAAUGCAUAGUAGACCAAAAGAAAGAUCACCAACACCAAGUGUGUUUCUCGGAUAAACACAUGGAAUCCAGCCAUUACUUAAACCACACGUGUACGCUCAAGAUUUGAUUAUUGCACACGUAACCGAUCCUCUGACAAAAACCAUAACGAAUCCCAAAAACACACGAAUACACUUCUCCGCGCUAUAAAUAAGCUAGCUCAGAAAAUUUAACAGAUAGAGACAAGACAAACAAAGCAACACUUUCACUAAUCCUCUUAUGGCCGAAGAGAAGACCUUGAAGAAGACUCCGGCGGCGAAGAAGCCGCGAAAACCGAAAACCACCACUCAUCCUCCAUACUUUCAGGUGAGUUUUUCUUUUGAGUUCUAACUCUUUCUUUCGAGUUCUGUCUAUUAAACUUGGUUUGUUUUUGUUCUUGUUUUUGAUGAAGAUGAUAAAAGAGGCUUUGAUGGCUCUUAAAGAGAAGAACGGAUCAAGCCCUUACGCUAUAGCUAAGAAGAUAGAGGAGAAACACAAGUCUUUACUUCCAGAGAGUUUCCGUAAAAUACUUUCUCUACAGCUUAAAAACUCUGUCGCGAAAGGUAAGCUCGUGAAGAUCAGAGCCUCUUACAAGCUCUCAGAUACCACCAAAAUGACAACGAGGCUACAAGACAAGAAGAAUAAGAAGAAUAUGAAGCAAGAAGAUAAAGAGAUCACAAAGAGGACUAGGUCUUCUUCGACAAGGUCCAAGAAGAGUAUGUCUGUGAACAAACAAGAAAAGAUGAGGAAAGCGAAGAAGGCGAGACAGCCUAAGUCCAUCAAAUCUUCAGCUGGUAAGAAGGCCAUGAAAGCUUCCGCUGCUUGAUCACUGAGGAGGAGGAGAAGAAGAAGAAACUGUGUGUGAAUAUGAAGAAUAAGGUUUUUUUUUUAGUAUCUGUAAAUGGUUUGGUGUGGUCUCUUUUUGGUUUAAGAGUAAAGAGUCUUCGGAUGUAUAACUAGUACUACCAUGUAAUAUACUCGAAAUAGGUUUUUGCUCCGGUUGAGCUAAAAUUUGUUCAAAUAAUCCGAGAAACAAAGGCAGAACCAAAUUCGAGUAAAUUUGGGGUUAACUAAAGCUAAUCAUUGUUGUAAACCACAUAACGGAUGGACUCCAUAACCGUGGCCCAUGUCCAUGUUCUAGAAGGUCCAUGUCUAGCUUUUAGAAGACUCGCCCAAUGACGGUUUAUGUUAGUCUUAGUGGGCUUUGUGCUUUAGGGUUUCCUAGUCCAAUUGGGAUUUGUCUCCCUUAUUGUGUAUAUAUAAGUUGUAACCUCAUUCAUUAAUCAAGAGAAUACACGAGAUUCAUAACACGUUAUCAGCACGAUAGCCUCUAAAUCCCUUAGCUAAAGAUCUGACACAUAAACCCUAAUCUCACGAUCUCUCUAUCUCCAUCAAACCCCUAAAACGCAAAGAAAUAUGCCUCGGAACUUCAAAGAGGUCGUUCUCUCAAAUCGUGAGGACCCAGAAAACGAGCAAGAUACCAAAUCGAAGCCCUCGCCGAGACGAAUCCAUCAGUGCAAACGGCUUGUCGAUCUGACCACCGACGCGCCCUCACGCACAGAUACAGUGUGCGCCGAUUUGUUUUGAAAACCCUAGCUAGCUCGUCCGUCCGUUUGCUUUCUCCUUUGCUCGGCGAUUCCUUCCAAGGACCAUACGCUCAUGACAAGUUGAUAACCGAGUUCUUUAGCUCCCGGUUCUAGUCCGUACAACCCCAUAAGGUGAAAGGUAACAUCAAAACCCUAAAGCUAAAGAACCAACAAUCGAACUUGAAAGUUAAACAAAGAGAAACUCUAAAAACGAACCUUGCUUGAUAAGCAAUUGUUAUUUCCUUGGAUGAUCCGAUUGCUUGACUCGUUUAAGUUGCUAGAAAAGUUAUUAUUGCUUAAUCUCAAACUUGCAAACUCGAAAACACUUAGCCAUGACCAAAACUUUUAAGACCCUAAAUCGAAUUGGAAACCUAAAACCCUAAAAUAUAAUCGAUUGAUUAAGGUUGUUUAGGUUGUUAGAUUGAUUGUUUCUUUGAUUGAUUACAUGCAUAAGUUGUUAGAAACCCUAAAACUAAAUUCGCAUAAACCCUAGAAACCUUAGAAAAGAUAAUCCUAUUGUAAAUCUUAAAACCCUAAAUCCCUAAUUAAAAUAGGAAAAUCAAAAAUCCUAUUGUAAAUAGGAAAAUCCUUAAUUGAGUUAAUUCUAUUCAAAAUAGAAAAUUUCCAAAUCCUAAAUAAAAUAGGAAAUCUUAAAAAUCUAAAAUCAUAAGUGAAAUAGGAAAAGUUAAUCCUAAUUAAAAGAGGAAAUUUUAAAACCUUAAAACCCUAAUUAAAAUAUGAAAUCUUAAAACCCUAAAAUACUUAUUAAAAUAGGAAAUCUUAAAACCCUAAAUUCCUAAUUAAAAUAGGAAAUCUUAAAACCCUAAAAUCCUAAUUAAAAUAGGAAAUCUUAAAACCUAAAAUCCUAAUUAAAAUAGGAAAUCUUAAAACCCUAAAAUCCUAAUUAAAAUAGGAAAUCUUAAAACCCUAAAAUCCUAAUUAAAAUAGGAAAUCUUAAAACCCUAAAAUCCUAAUUAAAAUAGGAAAUCUUAAAAUCCUAAAAUCCUAAUUAAAUUAAGAAAUUCCUAAAACCUAUUCAAGAUAGGAAAACCUUAAGAAAUAGAAAAAUUUCUAAAUCCUAAUCAAAAAAGAAAUCUUAAAAAUCUUAAAUCCUAAGUAAAAUAGGAAAACCCUAAUCCUAAGCAAAAGAGGAAAUUUAAUCCUAAAAGGAAAAGGAAAAGUCAAAUCUCUAAGUAAAAUCGAUUCAUGGUUCGGUCUUAAAUACCGCAUGACAUUAACGAUUACAUGAUUUUGAUUUAAACCUCUUUUCCUUGUAGAUGUUGAAUUACAACUUGUAUUUUACUGCCCUAAAUCUCUUAAGAGAUAAUUAUUUAAAAUGGGCAAUGGAUACUAAGAUUAUCCUAAAAUUCAAAAGGACUUGGUGAAUGUAUCUAAUAAGGCAAUAAUGUCAAGAAAGAAAGAUAGAUACAAGGCAAUAUUAGCCACCAUCUUAUUGAGAGUCUCAUAAUCCAGGACUAUAAGUCCGUGGAUGAGUCUAUUGCUAGAUGAGCAAAAUAAUGACUUACUGAUAAAAACAGUGAAUUACGACCUCAUAGAUUAACCGCAUUACCUGAUGCCAAUAAGGCCGCAGAGGAUAAGAAAGAAUCCAAAGAAUCUAACCACGUCUAAAGUAAUAGACCACACGGCCGUAGCCGUAGUGGAUGGAAAGGACGUGAUUGUGGCCACUAUAACUCAUCCGGCCGUGGGAACCACUAUAACCGUGGAUGUAGACCCAAUUCCGGCCGUGGUCGAGGGCGAGGACGAUGUGGUAUUUCCAAACCACAACACUCGACCAAAUGAGUAUGCCAUAGAUGUGGAAUGGGGAACUAUUGGGCUAAGAUAUGUAGGACUUCCAAACAUCGUUGUGACCUCUAUCAAGAGAGUGUGAAAAGGAAGAAUCCUAAAGCCCAUUUGGUAUAUAAAGAUGGUGAACAUGAUCAAGAUGAUCUAAUAGAGUGUGAGACUUUUGAUUGCCUAAAAGAAUCAAGUUGAUAAAUCUGAGUUCGACAUCAAAACCUCUACGCUUUCUUUGCAUUUUAUGUUUUCAUUGAUUGUUAUUUCCUUGAAUUUAUUUUAUAUUAUUUUAUGUUUAAAACAUGAUUCUUGUCCAUAUAAGAAAUGGCCGAGGACAAGAACAUAUUUGUGGUGGAUAGUGGAGCCACACAAAAGAUAAGAGAUAUUUUCCUAAAUCUCAUAAUGAAAAAAUGCCAAUAUUAGCACUAUAGCGGGUAUAGCAAAUCUUAUUGAGUGCUACGGCCAAGCCCAUAUUCUAUUACCAAAUGGCACGCAUCUUGAACUAAGCGAUGCCUUAUAUUCACCCAGCUCAAAGAGGAGCUUAUUAAGUUUCAAAGAUAUAAGAUUGAAUGGUUUCCAUAUUGAAACAAAGGGUGAAGGGAACAAAGAAUUCCUAAAUAUAAUUGAGAUCACCCAAGGACAUAAGAAAGUCCUAGAGACUAUACCCGCAUUAUCCACUGGUCUCUACUAUGCUAAAAUCGAUAUGAUCGAAGCUAAUAUGGCAAUGAACAAAGAGUUCAUCGAGAAAUUCACUUUAUGGAAUGACCGGCUUGGCCAUCCGGGUCAUAGUAUGAUGCGUAAACUAAUAACUAAUUCAAAGGGGCACACCCUAAAAGAGAAAAGAGUUAUCCCUAAGAAUCUCACGUGUGAAGCAUGUUCACAAGGGAAACUCAUUAUAAGGCCAUCACCGGCUAAGGUAAAUAUAGAAACCUUAAACUUUCUGGAAAGGAUACAAGGAGAUAUAUGUAGACCAAUACACCCACCAUGUGGGACAUUUAGAUAUUACAUGGUCCUCAUUGAUGCAUCGACAAGAUGGUCGCAUGUUUGUUUAUUAUCCUCUAGAAACCAAGCGUUUGCUAGGUUGUUGGCCCAGAUCAUAAGACUGAGAGCCCAUUUUCCAGAUUUUCCGCUUAAGACUAUACGUCUAGAUAAUGCCGGUGAAUUAACGUCCCAAGCGUUUAAUAACUACUGUAUGUCCAUGGGGGUAAGUGUGGAACAUCCCGUGGCACAUGUACAUACACAGAAUGGAUUAGCGGAAUCCUUCAUUAAACGAAUUCAAUUGAUAGUUCGACCAUUACUCAUGAGGUCGAAGCUUCCAGUAGCCGCUUGGGGACACGCUGUUUUACAUGCAUCAGAGCUUAUACGCAUAAGGCCAUCUAGUGAACAUAAAUAUUCACCAUCCCAAUUACUCAUGGGUCAUGAGCCAGACAUAUCCCAUCUAAAGACUUUCGGGUGUGCCGUAUAUGUACUGAUUGCUCCACCACAUAGAACAAAGAUGGGACCUAAAAGGAGGAUGGGAAUAUAUGUUGGAUUUGAUUCUCCCACCAUUAUUAAAUAUCUAGAGCCAACUACGGGUGAUCUAUUUAAGGCUAGAUACGCGGAUUGUCAUUUUAAUGAAUCCGAGUUUCCUACUUUAGGUGGAGAGACGAACAAGCUUAAAUUAGCAAGAUCCUCGGACUCUGGCAUGAGAAUCAGAGGUCCAUAAUUAUACAUUUGAAAAGCUAGCUAAUCAAUUGCCAGAUUCCUUUGCUGACCCAAAAGAAAGUUACAAAAUCGUACAUACCAGCUUGUAAUGCACCAGUACGAAUUGAUGUCCAAAAGGGACUUAGUCAAGUUGCUACAGAGUCUAGACAACGUAUGAGACGUGGUAGACCAAUAAGUUCCAAUGAUAAAAACCCUCGGAAAUUAAAUAAAGGUGCAAUAGGAAUCCGAGGUUACUAAGGAAACUAUCCCAGACAUAGAGAUAAGGCCGGCCGGCUCUAAGGUACAUGUACCAUAUAAUGUAGCUUGGGACGCCAAGCUGCAAAGUAUUAAAGGUCCUGACCAUAAUAAAUCUCAAAUUGAUUAUAUCAUGUCUGGAACAUAAUGGAACAUAUAAGAAAUGUCGACAUAAGAUUAUAUUGCAUGCAAGGUAGCACUUGAAUUUAUGAAUAUAAAUGAGGAUCAUGAGCCCACGUCUAUACUAGAGUGCACUCAAAGACUUGAUUGAUUAAAUGGUACAAGACCAUAAAACGUGGAGCUAAGAAUCAUUAAGAAAAGGAAUGAGUUUGGUCCGACCUUAAGGACACCAUUCGAUGUAAAAACCAGUAGGACACAAAUGGGUCUUUGUGAAGAAGAGAAAUGAGAAUAAUGAAAUCGUGAGAUAUAAGGCACGGCUUAUAGCACAAGGAUUCUCACAAAGACCGGGGAUAGAUUAUGAAGAAACAUACUCCCCUGUGGUGGAUGCUAAAUCUGGCUAUAUAAAGGAAAAGAUUUGAUUUGCGGCUAAUGGAUGUAAUGCCUGCAUAUUUAUAUAAGUCCACCGGAUAAUAUAUAUGAGAUUACCAGAGGGUAUUGAGCUCAAAGAUAAGAAAGAUUCUCGAGAAUAUCACUGCAUAAGGCUGGACAAAUCUUUUCAUGGACUUAGACCAAAUGGGCGUAUGGAAUGUUAUAAAUGAUCCCAUUAGUCCAUGUAUUUUCAUAAAGAGGUUUGCAAACAAAGGAUUUGUAAUCAUAGCAGUGUAUAUGAAUAAUUUAAACCUCUGGGUAAUCGACCAAACAGUUGAGUAUAUCUAAAAGAAAGACCUAGGCAAUAAUUAAGUUCUGUUUGAGAUUACAACCUGAGUACAUGAAUAAUGGAAUCCUUGUGCAUCAAAAGGCAUAUACUGAAAAGUACUCAAGGAUAUUUAAUAAGGACCAGGCCCGCCCAUUGACCAGGCCCAAUGGUGGUGAGAAGCCUUGGAUUGGAUAGUGAUCCAUUUGGUCCAAAGAAGGACGAGGAAGAAGUUCUCGGUCCUGAAGUGCCAUACCUCAGUGUCAUAGGAGUGUUAAUGUACUUGGCUAGCCACACUAGACCAGACAUAUGUUUUGCCGUGAACCUCCUUUGUCUAAAUUUAGUUUAUGAUCAACCCAAAGGCACUGGAAAGGUUUGAAGGAAGGUUUGGUUAAAUUUUAAAGUUUAUUCUUCCUACUUUGUUUAUUUGGGUUUUAUUCUAUACUGAUCUAACCAAAGAAGGUCUAGUUUGCUUUGGUUUAGUUUGUUUUGCUAAUGCAGGUAAGAUCAGAUUAUGACAUGGCCAAUAAAUAGGAACUACGUGUGGCUUGAUCCUUUCCAAGGGUACGUAGGCAGCCUUCUUCAAGGCGCAUCUACUACAACAUCAAAGAUCAUCAUAUGUGAAGACAACGUAGCCAUGUAUCGCUCAGCUCAAGGACGGCUACAAAAGGAUGGUGAAGUUCAAGUGGUGCAAGUUCGUUCAAGCAACAACUUAGCCGAUCUCUUCACUAAAGCACUACCGACAACAACAUUAAGGAAGCUCACGCAUCAAAUUGGAAUGCGGAGACUUAAGGACUUGUAGGGAUGACCAAAACAGGGGGAGUAAUGCGUGCUGUACUCUUUUUCCUUCACCGUUAUUUUGUCCCAAUGGGUUUUCCUGGUAAGGUUUUAAUGAGGCAGCAUUCCCAAGCGCAUUACAAAGAUCCUUUGGCAUCUACACGGUUAUGUCAUCCAAGGGAGAGUGUUGUAAACCACAUAACGGAUGGACUCCAUAACCGUGGCCCAUGUCCAUGUUCUAGAAGGCCCAUGUCCAUGUUCUAGAAGGUCCAUGUCUAGCUUUUAGAAGACUCGCCCAAUAACGGUUUAUGUUAGUCUUAAUGGGCUUUGGGCUUUAGGGUUUCCUAGUCCAAUUGGGAUUUGUCUCCCUUAUUGUGUAUAUAUAAGUUGUAACCUCAUUCAUUAAUCAAGAGAAUACGCGAGAUUCAUAACAAUCAUAUAUUUUAAAUCGUUGAAUUGAAUAUAAAAAGGCUUGAUACUUAUGUAUGAAUAAGAUGAGGCCUUAAGACUUUUGAAACGGCCCAAUUUGGGGGUUAUACUAAGCCCAUACGGUAGUUCACUUAUCAAUGGGUAGUGUGUACUACGGUAGUUCACUUAUGAACUCUUUGGGAGUGAAAAAGGGAGGCCAUAAUAUGGUUGAUUAGAAAGUUUUGUUUUUCUUGGUGAUUUGUCGCAAUUAAAAAGUCGUUAAUUAUUUCCAAAUCAACAAUCAAUCAUAUAAAUUAAUUAGCUACUUUCUUUUUAGAAAACAAUAAACGUGGAAUGUUCCCAUUCCUAACAUAUAUUUCUCUCUUAAAACUAUUUUUAAUAUCCACCGUACGUUUUCCUUAUGAAAAAUCAUCUCUAGUAAUUUUCCUCGUGGAAAAAGUUGCAUGAGAUGUGAGAACCAACAUCUAACACUUAUUAGUUAUUAUAUAAAUUAAAUUUCGAAGUGAAUAAAGAUUUUUAAAAAGAUUGAUAUGAGAUGAAAUAAAGUUUUAAAUUGAAGACUCUUGCUCCCAAAGUCUCGUUAGUGUUGUGGACGACAAAGCAUGCCCAACGGAGCCCCGUUGUGCACACCGCACGCUCGACAUCUCCUUACCCCACAACAAUGAUUUCUAAUUCUGAUUCCUAAUUAUACUUAAAUUAGUUGCUCCUUUAAUCAUCUCUAUAAGACUGACUAACUUUAAAUUAGAAAACCACAAAAUUCAUACCGUCAGGGCGUAACAAUAACUCUACCCUAGUCACUCAAACUCGAAUAUAGAUAGUACGUAACGUAAUAUACAUUCAUAUCCUCACUCAUUCACAACCCUAACGCAUUCUUUUCAUAAAACUAGAUAUGGUAACCAUAUAUAUAUAUAUAUCUUUUUAAAAUAAGUUAUACUGUUAAUUAAUAAUUUCAUAUUAAGUUUAAGGCAACGUACCAACACAUCUCACCAUGGCAUCUAGCCAUCUAUGUAGUUCAUUCAAUUAUCAAAUACGCAAAUCCCAAUAUCAUAAUCCGAGUUUGUACUCAAGAACUCACUGAUGAACCUGUUCUCUUCUUCUCUCUCGUUCAAAAACAUCGACGAAUCAAUCUCCACAUCAUUCUUGUUUUUAUCUUCAUUAGCUAUAUGAUGACCUGCGAAACCUGAAGUUCCAUUAUCUUCUUGGCUCAUAAGUUGUGAAGCAACAAACUUAUCUAACUCUCUCCAAUCUCCCGUCAUCAUUACUUGCUUUUUCUUCUUUCUUUUAUUCUCUCGGCUUAUUAAUGACUCGAAGCUUUCUUCAUCCUCUGAUGGGGUUUUGUAGUUACAAUGGUUGUCCAUUGAUGUUAUGGACAUCGAGCUCGAAGGCCUUUUCAUCAGCGGGAGAGAAGGACUUUGGAGUUGCGGGAGCUGAAUGAAUUGAUUUGAUUGCAUAUAGUUUAGACCGUCAACCAUUCCUUCUAGUUCUUGCUUACACAUCAAACCUUUUCCAAAAAGUUUAUGUUGCUGCUUAGAUAUGUAAUCAAUCGGGUCCGUAAACGAGUUAACGCCAUUCGAUGCGACUUCAUCAUAGAAGUAACUUGAGGUCCAAGUUUCCGUGUUCUUGGCUUGCCCGGUAGCUCUUUUCUUGAAUGCUCUACAAACCACCCAUCCUUCUUCCUAAAAAAACGAAGAUGCACACAAAUGAUCAUAAGAAGACAUAACAUGUGAAUAGAAACUUUCGCUUGUUUUGAUGUUUCAAAAAAUUGGUAAAGCAUCAUAUUAUCCGUAAGGCCAAUGCAAACAAAAAGAUGGAGAAAAGGCAGUUAAAUUUUAGUGAAACACACAUAAGGACAUGCUUGAAAAGUGUGAGACCAAAAAUAAGAAAGCUAGUGAAAUCUUUAGGUACGUACUCAUGCAAUCUAAUAGAGUUUCACUUUUGAACUUUAUUGACUUUAAGAUAUUGGAAAAACAAGCACACAACUAUAAUUCAUAAACAAUAUAUAUUACAAACAUAUAUAUAGAUCAAUGUUUAUAGAGGAAAUUUCUAGCGUACCAAUAUAUAUGCUAUAGAUAAAUACAAAAGGUAACAAUUUAUAAUUGUUAUAAUUUAUAAACGAGACAAAGUUUUACACGUUUACUACUUCAAAAGGAAAUGUGAUUGAACUUCUUUUUUUUUUGUAGUGGAAAACUGUAAAUUCUGCAUUGACUGAAAUUAUAUACGAGUUUAGGAGAGACUUUUUACUUCCUUUUUUCUUUUCUGAUUGAAUAUGUGUAUUAUCCUACAUGAGUUAUAUACGUAAUGGAAUUUCACCUAAAAGUUAGCAUGUGCCUCACAAAAGAGCCAAAGAGACAAGAAGCCCUAAUUAAAACAAAAAUGUUUUGUCCCCACCAAAGUAGAAACACAAGUACCAGCCCCAUGGAAGUUUGUAUAAAAAGAGGACAUGAAAAAGGGUGAAAAGAUGAAUAUGAAACUUAACAAUUUAUCAUAUGAUUAAUCUUGAUUAAUAAGGUCAAUCCAUCAAAUUGAAAAUGAUUUAAUUAUAUGAAAUCAUUAAACAAUAUACCUGGGGCGGUGCAUUCUCAUCUGACUCGAGCCGGUACUCAUGCAUGAUCCAAUCGGAUUUCUGGCCAUUAGGAGCACGUCCUUUGUAAUACACAAGUGUUUUCCUCAUUCCAAUUAGUUUUGUUUUGUCGUAAACAGCUUUGUCUCUUCCCGUGGCUUUCCAAAAUCCAGCCAUGGUCGCUCUAUUAGUUCUUGUCCCCGUUGGAUAUUUUUUGUCCUUGUGACUAAAAAAAUACCAUUCAUUUUGCUCUUCAUAUCCGAUUCGACAUUGCUCUGUAACAUAAAAUUUAAGGUGAUGAUAAAAUCAUGAUCAAGUUUAUAAAUAUGAAAAGCCUAACUUAAGUAAUUGAAAAAGCUCUGAGUGUUUUGUAAGUAACCUUGUAGAUCCCAUGGUUCGAUUCUGUAGAGAUCAAUGUCUCUGAUCACAUCGAGAUCAAUCUUUUGCGAUGCGAUUUUCUUCCUUAGAUAGUAACCGACAAGCUCUUCGUCAGUCGGAUGGAACCUGAAUCCAGGAGGAACGCUACAAGAUUCCAUUGACUCCAUUAUUUCUACACCAAGAAAAUUAAAUACUGGAAUGAUCAAUAAUAUAAAUAUACAUGUACGGAAAUAUGCUCUUAUUUACGUAUUUGCUUGUAUAUAAUUUUUGAGAUCACAACAUAUGAUUCUAGAAGAUUUUAAAUGAAUGGUAAUAUGGGAUAGUGGAAGGCGAUAUAUAAGAGCUAUAAUGAAAAACAUAAGCUAAAUUUUGUAGAGAACAAUAAGAAGAAUUGAAGAAAUACAAUUAUCAUUUAUAGAGUACUAUUUAACAAAAUCAUUUAUAAUGUACUCGAUCGAUAGAUAGUUGACAAAAAGUUAUGAGAAAUAUAUAAUCAUAUGUAAGCUCAUUUCGUGGUGAAUUUCCACUUGAUCACCAUUCAAUUAAUUUAUCUCAUGACAUGUGAUUUAUGAUCAAGAACUUACAUAAAUUUAUUAAUCUAUAUACAUACAUACCUAAAAAGAUAUUUACAUGUAUGAAAUUUAGGUUUUGAGUUGAAGAAAUCAAGAUGAGAUGCGAUCAUAACAAACGGACAUGGGGAGUUUACUAAUGAUGCUGUCAUGUUGUACAUUGUUAGUAAAUGGAGGCAAUGAUCAUGAAGAACGGCGUUCUUCUCAAAACUCUUUUAUAUUAAAAUAAAAUUGAAAUCAAUCUAUUAUAAUGAUUAAUAUACUUAAGGAUAACCCUAGCAUUAUACAAACAAAAAACAGCUUGUUCAUCCAAAAAAAAUAUAGGGGACGAUCCAAACCUAUAAAUUCAUAAGAACCCAUGUUUCUUUGUUUAUAAGAAAUCAGUUUUUUGCCCAAAAAAAAAAAAAAAGAAAAAUAAAUCAGUUUAAUUUAAAUCGAAUAUAUAUAUAUAUAUAUAUAUAUCAUAUCUCUCCUUUUCUUGCUGCAGAUUCAACUUAAAACGACAGAAGGAUUAUAAUGUUUUAACGGUCCUGAUCGUUAAACAUUUUACAAAUAUGAAUCUAGGAUCGAUUGAUCAUUAAUGCCAUCUUUUGAUCAAAAUAUGUAGGGAAAGCUACAUAUAUAAAACCAGAUAACAUAAAAAAAAAACAUGAUCAAAAAUAGAAAUUAGUGAUGCUCAAAAGUUACAAAUAAUCCACAAACGAAGUCCAAAGAACACACAUAAUUAACAAAAAGAAAAAGAGCACACAUACGUAUAAGUAAUAUGUGUUUGAAAUCCACUCGUUAAUAAUAUUAGGGUUACCUUCGAGUAUGUGACGGAAACAAAAACAAAACCUAGGAAGAUCAAUGGUGGUGAGAACAACUUAAUUAUCAAUAUGGGAGCUAGAAAGAAGAGAGCAGUGGUGAAGAGAAGAAGAAGAAGAAGAGGACUGAAUUAAGGAGAAAGACGAUCCGAUUUGGUGAAUAUAAAGGUGAGGAGGAGAGAGUGUGGACCGCUCCAUUGCGCGUGGCCUUCACCAUGUCCCCAUUCAUUUACAUCACACUCUCCUCUUGUUUAUUUCUAUUUUUUUUUUCUCUUUUUUAGCUUCCCCUGUUUUAUUUAUUUAUGUACUCUCAUUUUCUUUUCUUUUCUUACCUAACGCAUGUAUAUAUUUAUGAAUUAACCUAAAUCCUCAAUCUAAAGAGUUAUAUAUGAGUUGGUUGUUAUAUGCUUAAUAAGAUUAGAUGAUUCUGAUUUAGAGUCGCAAAAAAUGUGAGCACUGUAAUUAUGGUUUGAUUUAUACCAUAAUUAAUCAAUAGAUAUAUAAUAUAUAGUAAAAUUUCUAUAAAUUAAUAGUCGAUAAACUAAUAAGCGGUAGAAAGCAGAUGUGAUGGGAGAGAGAGAGAGAAGAGAAUGUUGCAAAUCAUGAAUUUGUAGCGGCAAAAAAUGGAUGUAACGUUCAUGAUGAUUAUUUUAAAUUGUGUGUAAUUUUUUGAUGUUAAUAAUAUAUUUUUUUUGAAGAUCAGAUUUUGGAUCUAAGUCCAUACAACUAGUAUCAGAAUAAGUUGUUUGAGUUGCGAUUCAGGAAACAAUGAGAAGAGAAAAUGGUUCGAUGCAUAGUAUUUGCAAGUUCGAUAGAACAUUUCACUUUUAUCAGAUUUUUUAUAUAUUAUAUAGUUUGCUUUGAAAUUUUUGUAAUUAAAUUUCACCUUUAUUUUUGGAAGAUUUCUAAAAUUAUAUCCUAAAGAUAUUUUAGAUAAUGAUUUUUUUUUAUCUAAUGGUUGACCAAUGGUUAAUUAAUGUUUCUACACAAAUAUGAGAUUCGAUUAUUAAAAAUGAUAAAUUAUUGCAGACUAAUGGAAGCAAGCCUAUCAGAGAUUUAGCGGUGUGCAAAUAGAAUUAUUGUGAUUUAGUAAUAGAUUUACAAUAUAUUAUGAAGAAUAAAAAAGUUAUUGAAUAACUUUUUCAUUAAUCAUAGUUUGCAUCUGUAGAUGUUCUGGCUUUUAGAAUGAUCUUUGAUUGACAAAUAAGCUAAAACCUCUUUUUGUAAUUAUGUAGUUUAAAGGUAAUUAAUUAUGUCAAAACCAAUUACAGUGUAUUUAAUUUUAGAAGAUACGGUUUAGUUUAAUAAUAAAUUUUCUUGGAAUUUUUUUUCAUAAUUAUUUGAAAAACAUAAAUGUUAAAAGAUGCAUGCAGCUUCUAAUGAAAUAAGUUGUUAUAAGCGAAAAUAUUCAAAUCUAACAAUGAAAUGAUAAAGUACAACCCUAAUAAACGGUUCUGUGCAGAAAGUUAUGAAAAAAACCCUUCUUCCUUCUAUAAAAUCUCGUCGUCCACUUUGGUUUAAGUUUGCUAGAGACUAGAGAAAUAUAAAGAAUAUCCAAACACAAAGAAAAAAAAGUGAGAAACUUUAGAAAAGCUAAUGGAACCGAUCGAGUACAAUGUUUUUGAGUCCUCUAAAUGUAACUCCCACGACGACGACCAUGGAUGGAAGAAAGUCGUGUCCCGGAAGCGCAACCUGAAGCAAAAACCAGCGGAUGAAGAGGCCAAUGGAAACCAACCUACCGGCGAGAACGUCAAUGUGGAGGCGAUGAAUGAGAAUCAGAAGGCAAAGAAAACUAAAAAGUCAAAACCCAAGAAAGAGAUGAAGCCUAUAGUGCCUUUUUCCGAAGCUGCGGCAAAGAUCGAUCCUUCACAUCUUGCGGCUUACCUCGUCGAAAUAUCGGUAAGUCAGUGCAUGCAUGCGAUGUGAAAUUCUCAUCUAAAAUGGAUAAUAUACGAAUCAAAAUUCAUAUUUUGUUGUUUUGUUUGGUUAUAGAAAACAUAUGCGUAUGAGCCGGAGGUUUAACUAUUGAGAUUUAUCUAUUACUUUGAGAGAGAGACUUCCGGAGUGCAAUUUCCAUGGUCAAAGAUUCUCAAAGAGUCUCCUUUGCGCAAGCUGAUCGAUGUGAUCGAUGUUCCUUUUAUUAACAUAUAUGUAUAAUGGUUAUUGUUAGAGUAAAGUUUCCUUUAGCUUACUCUAAGUGUAUAUAAGGAACAUGUGUAUCAACAUUCUAAUCAAGAAGAUUAAUAUCAUAUUUUUACACUCUCUCUCUAGUUAAUAUGGUAUCAGAGCAAAAAUGAGAUUUUCUCUCUCUAUAACAGAAAUCUCAAAGCUUCUUCCGCAAUAUCAUCAUCUUCUUCUUCUUCUUCUUCGAUUUCAGCUCAAAUCAAUGAAAUCACCAUCGUUAUCAUCCUAAAUCUUCCAUUUCUAGUUUCGUCGAGCUCCAAUUUCAUCAAUGGAGAUCUCGAUUUCAUCAUAAUCGCAAUCUGUUUCGCGAAUCAUUUUUCCAUUCAUCACAGAAGCAAUUGCUCUAAAUCUCUUUCUGAUCGAUUCGUCUAUCUGAAUGAGUCAUAUGAGUCUACAAGGAGACACAUCUUGAUGUUAAAACCGAUUCCAACUAUUGAGGAUGCCUUUAAUAUGGUGACUCAGGAUGAAAGACAGAGAAGUAUUAAGCCUUCUACAUCAGAACCUGUAGUUUUUCAAACUUCAGGAUCAAAUCAAGCAUCUGGAUCAUCCAACCAUUAUUCUCAAGAUGUUUCUUCAUAUCAAGGUCAGCUGGAUAAUACAGCUUUUGCUAUUCAGAAUGGAUAUCGUCCUCGUGCACCACGACCUAUCUGUACUCACUGUGGUCAAACUGGUCACGUUAUACAAAAAUGCUUUAAGCUUCAUGGAUAUCCUCCCGGCUACAUUCCAGGAUUUAAGAGCACUUUCUCUAACUAUCAACCUCAGAGAUCAUCUGCUCCAUCUAAUUUCCAGCCUAGAGGAUAUUCUCCAAACACUGUCUCUAGACCUCAUUCAGUUGCCAAUGUGAUGACUAGUCCUAUUCCCUACACUCCACCAUCAGCAAUAGAUGCUAUGAAUUUGGAUAUUAGCAAGCUGAAUGGAGAUCAAAUUCAGACAUUGAUUCAACAACUCUCAAGUCAUAUUCAAGUUUCAGAGCCUUUGGCACCUUCCCCAUCCACAUCAAAAGUCACAGAGCAUGGUAUAAUGGUUGUUCAAUCAUCAUCGGGUAUAAUUCCUUUUCCUUCUUCAUCUCUUCGAUAUGAAAAUGAUCAAUUAACAUUCCAACAUCAAUGUCUCUCAUCUUUAUACUCUAAUCUUCCUCAUGGUAGUUGGAUUAUAGAUAGUGGUGCUACUACACAUGUGUGUUCUGACUUAGCAAUGUUUGGUGAAACUACUACAGUUUCUGGAGUAACUGUUUCACUUCCUAAUGACACUAGAGUAAAUAUCACACACACGGGCACAAUAUCACUAUCUCAUUCACUCAUUCUUCAUGAUGUUUUACAUGUUCCUUCAUUCAAAUUCAAUUUGAUUUCUGUGAGUAGUCUUUUAAAAACAAAUCAUUGCUCUGCUCAUUUUUAUGUUGAUUCUUGUAUAAUUCAGGAGUUUAUUCAGGGCUUGACGAUUGGUAGAGGCAUACUUCUGCAUAAUCUCUACAUAUUACAACUUGAUGCACCUUCUACUCAUGAUGAAUUCUCUGGAUCCUUGAUGGCUGAUGGAAUUCUUUGGCAUCAACGCCUUGGACACCCAUCUGCUGACAAGUUACAAUGCAUUUCUGGUACUCUUUCUUUGUCUAAGUCUGCUUUUAAACAUCCAUCUCAUUGUUCCAUCUGUCACUUAGCAAAACAAAAAAGAUUGUCUUAUGAGUCUCAUAAUCAUUUGUCUUCACUUCCAUUUGAUCUAAUUCAUUUAGAUGUGUGGGGUCCUUUCUCUAUAGAGUCUGUAGAAGGAUAUAAAUACUUUCUUACAAUAGUUGAUGAUUGUACACGUGUAACAUGGGUUUAUAUGAUGAAGAAUAAAAGUGAAGUUACACAACAUUUCUUAUCUUUUAUUAAGCAUGUUCUUACACAAUAUAAAGCUGUCAUUAAAAUGAUUAGAACUGAUAAUGCUCCUGAGCUUGCAUUUACUUCUAUUGUUAAAGAACAUGGAAUGAUACAUCAAUUCUCUUGUGCAUACACACCUCAACAAAAUUCUGUAGUAGAACGCAAGCAUCAACAUUUACUAAAUGUUGCAAGAUCAUUGUUGUUUCAAUCGAAUGUUCCUAUUGCAUAUUGGAGUGAUUGCUUGUUAACUGCUGUUUUCCUUAUAAAUCGUUUACCAUCUGUUUUACUCAAAAAUGUAUCACCAUAUGAACUUCUUACAAAAAGAAAACCUACUUAUGAUUUUUUAAAAUGUUUUGGCUGUCUCUGUUAUGUUUCCACUUUACAAAAAGAUAGAACAAAGUUUACUCCUCGUUCAGAAAAAUGUGUUUUCUUAGGUUACUCUUCUGGAUAUAAAGGGUAUAAAGUACUUCAUCUUGAAUCUAACAUUGUUUCGGUGUCUAGAAAUGUUAUAUUCCAUGAAACUAUUUUCCCUUUUCAUGAUAAUCCAGCAUCUUCAAAUUCUGAGAUUUUUAGUAACACUAUUUUACCAUUACCUAUUCAUCUUCAUAAUGAUUUGCAAGAUAAUAUGCAUGCUUCAUCUAGUCAAUCAUCAUUGCCUAAUGAUCAUUCAGCUGCAUCAUCUACAUUACCAUCAUCACUUACACACUCUAGUGUCACACCUAUUUCACAAGAAACAGUUACAACAGAGACUGCUGUUGUUUCACUUCCUGUUGCUCGGCCAAAACGCACAGGUAAGGCUCCUAGCUACUUAACUGAUUACCACUGUUCUUUCACACAAAUUUCUUCUCCACCUAAAAAAUCUUUCCCUCCACUCAAAGUCUUUACCACACCAUAUCCCAUUUCUUCUGUUUUAUCCUACUCUGCCUUAAAAUCCCCAUAUCAGGCUUUUACUCUUUCUUACUCCAUUGAAACAGAACCCAAAACCUUUAAACAAGCUAUUGUAUCUGUGCAAUGGACUAAAGCGAUGGAUGUGGAACUUGAGGCUAUGGAAUUGAAUAAAACUUGGAGUGUUGUCUCUUUGCCUCCAGGGAAGAAUGUUGUUGGGUGUAAGUGGGUUUACACGAUUAAAUACAAUCCUGAUGGUACUGUUGAAAGGUACAAGGCGCGUUUAGUAGCAAAGGGAUUCACUCAGCAAGAAGGAGUGGAUUAUUUUGACACUUUCUCACCAGUUGCUAAAUUGGCCAGUGUCAAAUUAAUACUUGGUUUAGCUUCUAAGAAGGCUUGGAGCUUAACUCAGAUGGAUGUUACUAACGCUUUCUUGCAUAGUGAGCUUGAUGAAGAAAUUUAUAUGAGUUUGCCGCAGGGUUAUACACCAGUUUCUGGUUCUCUUCCUCCUAAUCCAGUCUGCAAGCUUCAUAAGUCCAUCUAUGGAUUGAAACAGGCGUCUCGUCAAUGGUAUAAGUGUCUUUCUAAAGCACUUUUGGAUGCAGGAUUCAUUCAAUCUCACUCAGAUGAAACACUGUUUGUCAGGCUGCAAGGUACAUCAUUCAUUGCCAUUCUUGUGUAUGUUGAUGACAUUCUCAUUGUCAGUAAUGAUAAUGAGCAUGUUACUUCAGUAAAAGCACAUCUUGCAGAUCAUUUUAAGAUAAAAGAUCUAGGUCAGGCUAGAUUCUUUCUUGGUCUUGAGAUUGCUAGGAAUUCAGAAGGCAUCUCUGUUUGUCAAAGGAAAUAUUGCCUGGACCUUCUUACUGAUGCAGGAUUAUUGGGCUGUAAACCUCGUUCUGUACCUAUGGAUCCAAAAGUUUCUCUAACAACAGAGACUGGUACAUUACUUGAGAAUGCAACAUCAUACAGGGAAUUGAUAGGCCGCCUUCUAUACCUUUGUGUAACUCGGCCAGACAUUACCUUUGCGGUACAUAAGCUGAGUCGUUUUCUCUCAUGUGCUACUGAUGUGCAUAUGCAUGCAGCUCAGAAUGUUUUGAAGUACCUUAAAGGUAAUCCUGGUCAAGGACUAUUCUACUCUGCUAAAACAGAUAUUUGCCUCAAUGGCUUUGCUGAUGCUGACUGGGGAACAUGUUUGGAUUCAAGACGCUCAGUAUCUGGAGUUUGUAUAUUUCUUGGAACUUCUUUGAUUUCAUGGAAGUCUAAGAAACAAGAAGUUUGCAGUGGUAGUAGUACAGAGGCUGAGUAUCGCAGCAUGGCUCAGGCCACAAAGGAUCUUCUCUGGUUCAGUUACAUGUUGAAAGAUUUACAUAUUGAGGUUGAAACAAAGGCCAAGUUAUUCUGUGACAAUAAAUCUGCAAUGCACAUUGCAAAUAAUCCAGUCUUCCAUGAGAGAACAAAGCAUGUUGAGAUUGAUUGUCAUACAACUAGAGAUCAAGUGAAGUUUGGGUUCUUACAAGUGCAUCAUGUUGAUACUGAGAAUCAGCUUGCGGAUAUACUCACCAAGCCAUUACAUCCGGGUCCUUUCAAAUCCAUACUUGGUCGUCUUGGUGUUUCAAGCCUCUUCCUUCCUCAGAAGUAAUUCGGCUUGAGGGGGGCUAUUAACAUAUAUGUAUAAUGGUUAUUGUUAGAGUAAAGUUUCCUUUAGCUUACUCUAAGUGUAUAUAAGGAACAUGUGUAUCAACAUUCUAAUCAAGAAGAUUAAUAUCAUAUUUUUACACUCUCUCUCUAGUUAAUACCUUUAUCUCAUAUUCCUGAACUUGUCUACAAAACAUCAGUCGAUGAUUGGAUCGACCAACAUCCAAUUAUGACACUAUGUGGCUUCGUAUUGUUUUCGUGUAAUCCUAUUUUCACUAAAUUGGCAGCACAACAAGGAGGUUCCAAAGGUGGAGAGGAUCCGGUAAUUCUGGAAUUCAAAUUCAUGAUCUAUGCUUAUGCUAGGCAUCAUUUUUACCUAUGUCUUUGUUUGACUAACUCCAUUAUGUUGUAUUUUUUUUUUUUUUACGACUAGUUGGCAACAUUUAUUGCAUUAGGAAUGGUACUACGUAGCAGACCUAAUGCUUUGGCUAUUGUAUUACCGACACUGAGGGGAGAAACGUAAGUAUCAAGGACACAACAACCUUCCGCUUAUAGUUUGGGUGACGGCUCAGGUUCGUGUGAUCCCUUAUGUGAACUAGGAGCAAGAGUACUGUUGAAUUAAUUUGUGUGUUAUGAAAUGUUAUUGAACUAUAAAAUGUGGACAGGCCUCCCAAGGUGAUUUAUAUGUAGGCUUGUAUUCAUGGGCGCGUAACUUGUUACCACUAGUCGGAAGGAACCCUCAGUCAAGGGAUCUCAUCCUACAGUUGGUUGAGGAGUGAGUCGUUUGUUUUCUUGUCAUCUCCUUUUGCUAUAUACAAUCGCCUCACCUUGUUUAUGAAAUUUUCUUCCUAUCAUCAGAAUUUUGUCGAAUCCAAAGGCUCGGACUAUUCUUGUAAAUUGCGCUGUUAGGGAGAAAGAGCAACUAAUUCCACCACCUUCAUUUAAGAUCUUGUUGCGGCUUACUUUCCCUACUUCAUCCGCAAGAGUAAAGGUAAGUAGUAAGUAGAAUUUUAAGAUAUAAUAUUGCUAUUACUUUUGUUAUUUGAUUAACUUGAAAAAUGAUUUGUUUAUAUACAUAAGAUUUUUAUUAUGGUGAAUGACCAAUUUUGUGCAACAUUUUUUUAUAGUUAAUGUUUGUCUUCACUUAUUAUGUUUUAAAAGUUAGAUAUAUAUUGGUUCUUGUUUUAUAUAAAACGUUACACAUAUAAAUUACAUUACAUAAACAAUUAUUAAAAUGAUGUUAACAAAGAUAAACUAAACGACCUUAUACCCCAUGGCACGGGUACAUCGCCUAAUUGGAAUUUAUAAAAACAAAACUUUGGUGCAUUUUGAUCACAAGCAUGGUCUUUGUAUGCGCACAGGCUACCGAGAGGUUUGAGGCAAUUUAUCCCUUAUUGAAAGAAGUGGUUCUUGCAGGAAGCAAGACAAUGAAACAAGUCACUCAACAAAUAUUCACUUUUUUUUUUUAAAUUAGCUAGAGAAGGUAUUAUUGAGUUUUUCUGCAUCCAUGUCUCUUGUCUGAAUAGAGUUUUGAUUUUAUCGACGGAUGUUACAGAAAAUCAUGUUUUAGCCAUGGAAGCUACAGAAAUCGCUAUUUGGUCUGUGACCGAAAACUUUGAUACAUUGCUUCGAGCAUUGGGACAAUCUCUAUGAAGAGAAUCUAGAAGCUAGUGUUGCUCUUCUUAAAAAUCUUGUAGACGAAUGGAAAGAUCAUUCCCAAAAACUAUAGUGUGAUACUUUUACUCUCAAUCAAACUAUGAAGAGUUUCAUACUAAAGAACGAAAAAGUCAUCACUGAAGGAGGAGCCAAUGCUUCUCUUUACAAAGAAGCUAACAAAUAUUGCAAAGUGAUCUUGGGGAGACUCUCUCAUGGAAGUGGCUGCCUCAAAGCUACCAUUACUGUUGUGGUUCUAGCUACUGUAGGAACCACUGCUGCAGUUGUUCAAUAUAUUUGUUUUUAGGAUUCUGAACUGAUUAAUGAAUGAAAAUGGAAUGAGAUGACAAAAUUGUGACUUGUUCAAUUUUAAAAUUGUUUGAAAUAUUAUCAUUUGGGUGUGAUUUCCUACCCAUUCAUUCGAACUUUAAAUUUUCUCUUAAAUCAUUUGAAAUUGUUAUCUAUAUAAUAAUUGAAGUAUCAAACUCUUUGAGAAAGAACAAGAUUAUGUUGAUAAAAGACUCUUCCUUUUAUUCCCUUGAAAACUAACUCAAAACCAAGUUUACACAAUCUUAAUCUUGUUUAAACUAACUCAAGAUUGUGUAAACUUGGUUUUGAGUUAGUUCCAAGGAAUAUCNNNNNNNNNNNNNNNNNNNNNNNNNNNNNNNNNNNNNNNNNNNNNNNNNNNNNNNNNNNNNNNNNNNNNNNNNNNNNNNNNNNNNNNNNNNNNNNNNNNNAUCAACAUAAUCUUCUUCUUUCUCAAAGAGUUUGAUACUUCAAUUGGUAUCAGAGCGCACGAUCACGAGUUGAAAACAGAGUACGAUCACAAGAAGGUGAUCCGUGAGACAACAUGGGAGAUUUGAUCCCAGUAGCUAACAAUAAAGAAGGCGGUGGUUCCUCAGCCAUUCAAUGUCCGAUACUAAACCCUACAAACUACACGUUCUGGACCAUACAUAUGACGAUGGCACUCAAUGUUCACAAAGUAUGGGAUUCUAUUGAACCCGGAUCAGAGGACAUCGACAAAAACAACAUGGCAAGUGCUCUUCUUCUUCAAUCCAUUCCUGAAGCCCUAACGUUACAAGUAGGAAAACUAAACACUGCUAAGAAAAUAUGGGAUGCGAUUCAAGCCAGACAUCUAGGAGCUGAUAGGGUUAAGGAUGCAAGAUUACAAACCCUAAUGGGAGAAUUUGAGAGAAUAAAGAUGAAAUAAACUGACAAGAUCGAUGACUUUGCAGGAAAGUUAUCUGAAUUAUCUACAAAAGCAGCAGCACUUGGACAUAAUUUCAAAGAACCAAAGCUUGUCAAAAAGUUUCUAAAUAGUUUACCUAGGAAGAAAUACAUACAUAUCAUCGCUGCACUUGAACAAGUUCUUGAUCUUAAUGCAACAAGUUUUAAGGACAUUGUUGGAAGGCUAAAAGCAUAUGAGGAGAGAAUCUGUGACGAUGAAGACAAUCAAGAUGAUCAAGGUAAACUUUUGUAUGUUAACUCUGACUCUCAAGCAAGUUUGUCUGCAAACAGAGGAAGAGGACAGGGAGGACGGUUCUAUGGAAGAGGAAGAGGACGAGGACGCUAUGGUAACUCACAGAGUAAUGGAGGAUUUAGAGAUACAAGUAAGAUCAAUUGUUAUAGAUGUGAUAAACUAGGCCAUUAUGCUUCAGAUUGUCCCGAUAGAUUGUUAAAAUUACAAGAAACACAAGAAGUUAAGACUGAGGAUACACAACAAGCAGAUGCAUUGAUGAUGCAUGAAGUAGUGUUUCUCAAUGAAAAGAAUGUAAUGCCUAGCAACUUUGAGACAAGUCUGGAUGUUGAAAACAUGUGGUAUUUGGACAAUGGGGCAAGCAACCACAUGACAGGACACUUGCAGUAUUUUUCAAGUCUUGAUCAAACUAUCACAGGAAAGGUAAGAUUUGGUGAUGACUCUCGGAUUGACAUAAAAGGAAAGGGCUUAAUCACAUUCAUAGCCAAGAAUGGAGAAAGAAGAUCCUUACCUGAUGUCUACUACAUUCCUAACUUGAAAAGUAACAUUGUAAGUCUUGGACAGACUACUGAGGCUGGAUGUGAUAUCAGAAUGAAAGAAGAUUAUCUGACUCUGUAUGAUAAAGAGGGUAAGCUUCUAGUGAAAGCAAUAAGAUCUCAAAACCGGCUUUACAAAGUAAUCUUGGUAGUUGAAAGUUCAAAAUGUCUGCAACUUAUGGUGUCUAAUAAAUCAAAAAUUUGGCACGCGAGAUUAGGACAUAUUGGAGUAGACAACAUGAAGAGUAUGAUGCAAAAGGAACUAGUUACUGGUUUUCCACAGUUUGAGAUUGAAAAGGAAGUUUGUGGAUCAUGCUUAUUGGGAAAGCAAGUUAGAAAAACUUUCCCUCAAGCAACAAUGUUUAGAGCAUCAAGCAUACUUGAACUCAUUCAUGGGGAUCUCUGUGGUCCCAUUACACCCGCUACAGCAGCACAAAACAAGUAUGUUUUUGUUCUAAUCGACGACUAUUCAUGCUAUAUGUGGUCAAUCCUUCUGAAAGAAAAAAAUGAGGCAUUUCAGAAAUUCAAAAUCUUUAAAAGCUGCAUUGAGAAGGAAUCUGGUGCUACCAUUAAGACAUUCAGAACAGACAGGAGAGGAGAGUUUGUUUCUCAAGAAUUUACUAUGUUUUGUGACUUAGCCGGUAUUAAGAGACACUUAACAGCACUAUAUUCACCACAACAAAAUGGUGUAGUGGAACGACGAAACAGAACACUAAUGGGCAUGACACGAAGUAUCUUGAAACACAUGAGUGUACCGAAUUACCUAUAGGGGGAAGCAGUAAGAAACGCCACAUAUCUCAUCAAUAGAGUGUCAACAAGAACUUUAUUGAACCAAACUCCAUAUGAAGCUUUCUGGAAGAAAAAGCCAAACAUUGAACAUUUGCUGUAUUGGGUAUGCUAAAGCAGAAGCUACACACUUGAGAAAGCUUGAUGAUCGUUCAAGAAUGUUAGUUCACCUAGGAACUGAACUAGGAUCAAAGGCUUAUAGAUUGUUGGAUCUUACAAAGAGAAAAAUUGUGGUGAACAGAGAUGUGGUCUUUGAUGAAAGUAAAGGAUGGAAAUGGAAUAAUCAGGAUCAUGAGAAUGAUAGUAGUCCAGGGAUGUUUAGUCUUAGUUUAGGAGAAUUCGGAAAUAAUGGGAUAAGAGAAGAAACUAUCUACACUGAACCAGAGAACAACGACAGUGAGAAUGGUAGCAGAGCAUAUCAAGAGGAGAAUGGUAAUGACAGAGAUGAGGAGUCUAGUGAAGACCAAACUGAAGUUUCUACUAAUGACAUAAGAUCAGAAGAACCACAACCUAGGCUAAGAAGAUCUGAGAGAGAGACUGCUAGACCAAGUUACCUAAAGGACUACAUUCUUUUGGCUGAAUGCGAGUAUGAACGUCUUCUUCUUGCAAUAAAUGAGGAACCAUGAGACUAUAAUGAAGCAAAAGAAGUAAAAGAAUGGAAGGAAGCUUGUAAUGAGGAGAUUUCUUCAAUAACAAAGAACAGAACUUGGGAUCUAGUAGAUCUUCCUAUUGGAGCAAAGCCGAUUGGGCUUAAAUGGGUGUUCAAAGUUAAGAGGAAUUCUGAUGGGAGCAUUAACAAACAUAAAGCUAGAUUAGUAGCAAAAGGAUAUGUGCAGAGACAUGGUAUUGACUAUGAUGAGGUUUUUGUUCCAGUAGCUCGUAUAGAAACAGUGCGUCUCAUUAUUGCUCUUGCUGCAUCAAAUGGUUGGGAGGUGCAUCACCUUGAUAUCAAAACCGCUUUCCUUCAUGGGGAAUUGAAAGAAGAAGUAUAUGUCUGUCAGCCUGAAGGUUAUGUUACAGAGGGAGCAGAGAAUAAGGUGUACAAGUUGCACAAAGCUCUUUAUGGGCUUAAACAAGCUCCAAGAGCAUGAAACAAUAAACUUAAUCAGAUUCUUACUGAAUUAAAAUUUGUGAAAUGUUCUAAAGAGCCCUCACUGUAUCAGAAAAAGGAAAAGGAAGAGCUUCUUGUUGUGGCAGUAUAUGUGGAUGACUUACUUGUUACUGGCUCUAGUCUGCAUAUGAUUCUUGAGUUCAAGAAAGGAAUGGCUGAGAAAUUCGAGAUGAGUGAUCUAGGUAAACUCACCUAUUACUUAGGAAUUGAAGUAAUUCAAGGUAAGGAUGGUAUCAAGUUAUGUCAAGAAAGGUAUGCAAGCAAAAUUCUUGAAGAAACUGGUUUCUCUGAAUAUAAUGUGGUCCAUGUACCAAUGUGUGCAAAUUUGAAAGUAAGUAAAGCUCAGAAUGAGAAGAAUAUAGAUGAGAAAGAGUAUAGAAGGAACAUUGGUUGUCUUAGGUAUCUACUUCACACAAGACCAGAUCUUUCUUAUUGUGUUGGAGUUUUAAGUAGAUACAUGCAUGAACCAAAGGAGUCUCAUGGAGCAGCUUUGAAGUAAAUACUCAGAUACUUGCAAGGUACACGAUCUUAUGGACUCUGUUUUGGCCGUGGGAGCAAUUCAGAAUUGGUAGGCUUUAGUGACAAUAGUCACAAUGUUGAUGAAGAUGAUGGUAGGAGCACUAGAGGUCAUAUCUUUUACUUCAAUGAUUGUCCGAUUACUUGGUGUUCACAAAAGCAAGAAACAGUGGCUCUUUCAUCGUGCGAAGCAGAGUUCAUGGCUGCUACUGAAGCUGCAAAACAAGCAGUUUGGCUGCAGGAACUUCUACAGGAGGUCACCGAAGGGCUGAGUAAAAGGGUACUGAUUCUCAUUGAUAAUAAAUCUGCUAUAGCACUUACUAAGAAUCCCGUUUUUCACGGUCGAAGCAAACAUAUUCACAAGAAGUAUCAUUUCAUCCGUGAAUGUGUGCAAAAUGAGUUGGUUGAAGUAGAACACAUUCCCGGAGAAGAACAAAAGGCGGAUAUACUUACAAAAGCACUUGGGAGGAUCAAGUUUAAAGAGUUGCGAGAUCUUGUAGGUGUUCAUGAUGUGACAAAAUUUGAAUUCAAGCUUAAGAGGGAGAUUGUUGAUAAGCUUGAAGAGAUGGCUUGAGUAAUAAGUCAUUAUUUGGAUAAGAGGAAACGUGACUUAAGGGUUUUAAAGUUGUUAUAUUUCUGUUAGGAGUUAUCUAAUAGAAUUCCUAAAGUGUUUAGGAUUAGGUCAUAUGUUUUGUCUAUAUAAGAGAGAUGCCAAAGUGUGGUAUUUCUUAUGAGAGAUUAGAGAGAUUGAGAUGGUGUAAACUUGGUUUUGAGUUAGUUUCCAAGGGAAUAAAAGAAGAAAUAUUUACUCAGAUGUUAACCAAAAUUUCGAAUAUUACUAGAAUAUCAUACAUUUUUAAAAAAUUACUCAUAUGUUUAGCGUCUUUGUGUAAUUACAAUUAACACCCUUGAUUAGUUUUUUUUUAUAAAGAUUUUUUUAAUCCAUUUUUAAUUAAGAAAUGAUUAACGAAAAUUAUGUUAAUCCACGUCAUUAAAAGAAAAACAAAUUAAAGCCACGUCAUUAACGUCAUUAAGAGAACCCUUUCGAUUUUCCUCUCUGUCACUGUUCAUCUCCGAAAAAAAAAAAACUGUAAAAAACUUUUUCUUUCUCCGACGGAAACGCGAUUCCGACUAAGACUAAGAAACCCUAAUUCCGGUCGAAACUCUUAACUCUCUCGUUCUCCCCGUCGCAUUUCGUCUCUACUCAAGUCGGGACCUUUUACUUCGUCGCCUCACCUCAAGUCGGGACCAUUUCGUCUCAACCUAACUUGUUUAAGGUAUGUAUCGAAUCUUUAUUAUGGAUUUUCCGACAUUUUUCCCGCAUCUAAGUUCAAUAGCGAAUGAUUUCCGUGAUUGAAACCAUUUUCCGAAAACUAUCGCGAAGAAAUUGAGGGUUUUUAUCGACGCUUAUUACAGCUGAUUGUCGCCAACGUUGAUUUUCAUAUGGUGGCUAAUUUGUUAUAUCUAUUCGAUUCCAUGGCUGAGUUAUUGUUUGCUUUAGACUGAUUUAUGAUUUAUUAAUGCAUCUAUGGCUGAGUUUGUUUUAUGGUGUGGCUGAGUUUGUUUUAUGGUGUGGCUGAGUUUGUUUUACGUUGUGGCUGAGUUACUGUAUGCUUACGACUGAGUUAUGGUUUAUCUGCUCAACUGUGGCUGAGUUUGUUUUAUGUUGUGACUGAGUUACUGUAUGCUUACGGCUGAUAUAUGGUUUAUCAGAUGGCUUAGGUUAUUUUUGAAGAACAACCAAGGGAUUACCCUCCAAGACUUUACGCAGAAGGGGAGUCUAUUCUGGAGAAUAAAUUGUUAAAUCACAAUAUCAAGAUGGGAGAUGUCCCUGUGAUUAUAGAAUCAAUAGGACAAGAUGUGUGGAAUGAACUGAAGGGGUCACCUAUUGGAAUAAUUGCUAAGCUAGCUGAAAACCAAUUCGUGUGGUCUGGUAAGACUGUACAUUUUCUACUGUGUAGACAGUUAAGAAUACACAAGAAGGAGAUUUGGUUUCUAGUUGGUGGUCAACCUAUCAGGUUUGGCUUGAACGAAUUUGGUCAUAUCACGGGGUUAAACACAAGUUCAAUCCCUACAGAAAAGUUUGAACCUAAAGCUGACUACAAAGCGUUCUUCAGUGAAUUGAAUGUGCAUGGUGGUGAAGGUCCAAAGUUAGAUGAACUGAGGGCAGGAUUACUAGUGUGCACUACUUGGACUCCAGAAAAGCGUAAGUGGUUGGGGUUGUUGACUCUUCAAGCCAUUGGACUGUAUGGCUUGCAUCAUAACUCUAGAAUACCAUUUGAGAGUGCGAAAAGAGUUUUUGAUGAGGAAUCCAUGAACACUUAUCCAUGGGGUCGGUCAGCAUUUGAAGCCCUGGUUAAUUCUAUAAAGAUGUUGAGGCCUGUUGGAAAGACGUACACCGUCAGUGGUAUGGUUUACGUGUUACAGGCUUUGGCGCAUGAUUCAGUCAAAUGCUUUGGAGAGCGAUAUGGGAGAGUAGUCAACAAGGAUGAGAUACCGUUGCUUCGUUGGGGUGGAAACCGUACACGUAAAACAAUGGAAUUGACCAUUGCUGAAGAUAUCAAAGCGCAUGGUGAGGUAAGGUUUUGGCUGUGUUAUGAAAGUUACUGACUGAGUUAUGAUAGUUACUGACUGAGUUAUGUUUUAGUAAUGGCUGAGUUAUAUUUUGUGAUGGCUGAGUUAUCGUUUUUGAUGACUGAGUUAUGAUAGUUACUGACUGAGUUAUAUUUUAGUAAUGGCUGAGUUAAAUUUUGUGAUGGCUGAGUUAUCGUUUUUGAUGACUGAGUUAUGAUUUAUGGAUGGCUGAGUUAUAUUAGUGAUGGUUAGUGAUGGCUGAGUUAUAAUUAUUGAUGAUUCAGUUUAAACUUACUAAUGGGUUUCAUAAUCUCUAAUGUUAUAGCUGCGUGUGAGUAAAUUGGUUAUGAAGGAUGAUGUCAGAGAGCUAUUUCAUACGUGGCCAGAUGAAGAAGAGGACCCAGCACUUGAUAAUUUGAUCCGAGACAUACAUGAGGAUAAGUUUGUUAAAGGUUAUUGGGAUGUGAAGAAGACUGAGAAGAAGAAGAAAAAUGUAAAUUCUAAUGUAGCGGGUGACUCUGAAUCUCCCGCAAAGAGGCAGAAAGUCCACAAUGUCAAGGAUGUGAUCAACAGUGAGGGUGUUGAAUCUAGUGAAGGAGAUGCAGAAAAGAAGAAGAAGAAGAAGAAGAAGAAGAAAGAAACGUGAUUUGGUGUAAGUGAUUUGGUGGAAAAACGUGAGGGUGGUGAAUCUUAUGAAGGAGAUGUACAAAAGAAGAAGAAGAAGAAGAAAGAAGAAAAUGUAAAUGAUAUGGUAUGUAGUGAGUUUAUAUUUGAUGUAAUGUUUGGGUAGCUUGUUUAUGCGUUUUUGAGUAUGUGUUGCAGGUUGGUAGUGCGGAGGACGAUGUUCUGGAAGAUGUGUCUGUUAAAACAGUCGUGGAUUUGGUGAAGCAAUUAAACUCAAGGUUUGACACCGUUGAUACAAGCAUCAAAGAAGUGUCUUCAAAUAUGGAGAAGGUGAUUGGAGAUAGAGUAGAAGCGAGGAUGGAUGAAAAGUUUGAAUAUAUGGAGAAGGAGUUGAAACAGAUGAAAGAGCGUCUGAAUGCAAUUGAGCAGGGAGUAGGGAAAUCUGGUGAAAACGUUGAGGUAAACUCAGCCUUCAAACAAAUAGAACCUCCCGAAAAGCCGACGCAAGUCGACCUUUUGCUGAAUCAAAAAGAAAAAGCAACACCAAAAGGUCCAGCGAAACCUCUACAAAACCAGUCUGUUACUAGUCCUCUGGUAAGCUAACAGUGCCAGACAUAUGUAUAAAUACAUUGCGGCUGAGUUAUUAUUAUCUUAAUAACCUUGUAGCUGAGUUUUCAUUAUCUUGAUCACAUAAUGGCUGAGUUAUCAUUAUAUUAAUCACCUUACGGCUGAGUUAUCAUUAUAUUACGGCUGGUUAUCAUUAUCUUGAUCAUAUUAUGGCUGAGUUAUUAUUAUAUUAAUCACCUAACGGCGGAGUUAUCUUUAUCUUAUGGUUGAGUUAUCGGUACGUUUAUGCAGGCGAAGGAUAUUGUCGAUGUUGAGAAGGAUAUUGGUAUUGCUGGUGUCAGUAAGAAUCUGGAAAAGGAAUUUGCUAAUGUCAUUGAUGGCAAAUCUGUAUUGAUUUCAUAGAUACGUUACCUAAUAAUAUUAGGAAAUUACGCUCCAGGAAAAUUGACACAGCGAAAAUCGCAGCGGGAAAGAAGAAUACCGGUAAGGAUAAGCCCGUCAAAGAUAAGGCCCCCAAAGAUCAGGCAGCAGUCGGACGUAGAAGAGGUAGGAAGCCUUCUUCUACAACGGUUAAAAAGGUGGUACGAAAACUAGCUACUGCUCCGGUGGAGGGAGGAGCUGCUCUUGAUGAGAAUAAAGAGGCUGCUGAUUUCCCCGACAAAGAUGAGGAAGUAUUGGAAAAGGCUGGCAUUAAAGGUGACAAUGAGGUAUAUGAUGUCAUAGACCAGUUGAUAGCUGGUAACGCACGCACGUUAUCUGAGUCUGAAGAUGAUGAAGAGGAACAUAUAAGGAUUGAAAGAAUCAACACUCUAAGGAAGGAGAGUGUCAAGCUGUCUCCGGAUGAGAGUGCAUUGAAUCCACUCUCUAAUAUCUCUGAACGGAUAUUUCCUCAUAUCGGAGACAACGGACUGACGUGCAUGAGGAAGAAUUGUGUGCCUUCAGCUGGAAUAUAUGAUCCUCUGUCACCAGUUGAUCCGGCCAAAUUGCAGAAACUGAAGGAAAUGAUGGCCCCAUUCAAGUAUGACCCUCUAUACCUUUUAACCUUGUUAAUUACGGCUUGUUUACACUAUUUAUGUAUAUUAACUUGCGUUUAUCUGUUAGGCAUCUCCCAUUGGGCAGGGCAACAGACACUGUUGAUUUCUACAGUAUGCUCAUCACCGAAAGAAAGGACUGGCCAGAUCCAAAAUAUGGAUGGCUUUUCGAUGACGUAAGUAUAACAUUAUGGCUGAGUUAUUGUAAGUGUUUUGGCCGAGUUAUUGGUUUGUUUUGGCUGAGUUAUUGGUGUGUUUUGGCUGAGUUAUUGUAAGAGUUGGUGUUGUGGCUGAGUUAUUGGUGUGUUUUGGCUGAGUUAUUGUAAGAGUUGGUGUUGUGGCUGAGUUAUUGGUGUGUUUUGGCUGAGAUUUUCUAGAUAAUGGCUGAGUUAUUAGUGUGUUUUUUCAACAUUAUGGCUGAGUUAUUGGUAUGUUUUUCUACAUUAUGUCUGAGUUAUUGUUAUGUUUUGUCUGAGUUGUUAUUCUUUUCUUUUUUUUUUUGUGCAGCAUAUUGCUGCGUAUUUGAGGGUUCUUAGAAAGAGGUUCAUCACGCGAGUUCCCUUCCCAUUCCACACCAAACGCAUUGCGUUUAUAGACUCGUGGUUCAUGAGCUAUUGGUGUAAAGAGUAUGACCAGUUCAAGAUAAAACCCGAGAGGUUUAAAUUCAAAGGCACCUCUUACGAGAGGCUGGUACACGGUUUGGAGCCAAAAGAUCAGCAGACAAAUAUGAAAUGGAUAGAAGAUGUGGAUCACUUGUAUAUAGUUCACCAAAUCGGAGGCAAUCACUGGGUGGCGCUGGACGUGGACCUGAUUAGGGGGCACAUUGAUUGCUAUGAUAGCAUCGUGGGGCAUCAUACCAAGGAAAGUGAAUUAUUUGUGCUGGAGGCUUGUAGGCCGUUUACGAUGAUGAUUCCUCAGAUGAUGAAUGAAAUAAUUCCUCCUGAAAUCUAUUCACCUAGGUCUGAGCAGUUUUCAUUCAGAAGGAGGAAUAAAUCGAGGGUCCCUCAGAACGUCCAAGUUGGAGACUGUGGCGUGUACGCGUUGAAAUUUAUCGAAUGUCUAGCGAUUGGUGUAAGUUUCGUUGGCAUCUGUGAUGAAAAUAUUCAGACUAUACGGGUUAAGAUGGCAACAGAGAUCUAUGAAGGGGGACCUGACCUGCUCGCUGCGUUUGAUGUCCAAUGAUACAUUAUGAUGAUAUGUAAAAUAUUAGUAUUUCGAACAUGUGAUUGUCUUUUGUACUAACUAUUUAUGCUUUUAAGUUCUCGUGAUGAUUAUGUAUGGGGUUGAUAAUGCUUUAGGUUUGUGUGAUGCGUCUGGAUUGAUGUUUAUUAAUUCGUUGUUUGGGUGAGAUAAUCUAACAACACGGCUGAGUUAUGGUUUAUUAGGAGUUUAUUAUUGUCGAGUUAUACAAAUGUUGUAUAACUCCCCACCUCGGAUAACUCCCCACCUCGAAUAACUACCCACUCAAGUUAUCAUUAUACCUAGAUAACCUUAUACCUAUUUUCCCUAUAUAUAUCUCUUCUAAAUAUAACUCUUGUCAAACAAUUCUCUCUCGUCUUUUCUCUUCUUGAUUAUUAGCAACUAAUCUAUAUAAUCUCUCUUGUCUUUCCUCUUGUCGAUCAUGGAUGCAUCAGGGUCUAGCAGCAAGAGGACGCGUGUUGAAGACGGUUCCCGCAGCAGGAGGCAUGCAGUGGAGAUGCAAGAGCAGAAAGAACGUUUCAAAGGCAUCAUCUCUCUCAUCAAACACAACAUGAAAGAGACGGAGGAAGCGCACGCUGCGUGAGGAGGAUCCGAAACUGGAUCUCCUUAGGAAGAUGAUGAGUUUGAAGGACGGAUUUAACGUGGAGGAGGAGUUCCAGAUCGUGAAGGAGCAGGCAAGGAAGGCUUACGAGGAGAAGGUGGCAUUCAACGUGAUGGGGAUCAACUGGGACAAACUGGGGUUUAAGCCGACCGAGUUGUCGGGGUCGGAAUCAGACUAAGAAUGGAGAUAUCCAUUCUAUUUGUUUUUUUUUUUUUUUUGAAUCUAUGUUAUUGAUAUGUUAAUGAAUCUAUGUUACUGAAUUUAUGUCAAGUUAUUCUAGCGAUAUGGCUGACUUAACACAGAUGAAUUCGUGGUUUAGCCGAGUUAUUCCAGCGACACGGCGGACUUAUGAGUAAUUUUUGAUGUCACGGCUGAGUUUUUAUACAUUUAACGGCUGAGUUAUUUACUUUUAGCUGAGUUAUUCCAGCGAAACGGCGGACUUAUGAGUAAUUUUUGAUGUCACGGCUGAGUUUUUAUACAUUUAACGGCUGAGUAAAUUACUUUUGUACGGCUGAGUUAUUUACGUUUACUCGGCUGAGUUAUUAUUGGUCAUUUGGCAAAAUUCAAACAACACUAACAAAAAGCAUUACUAACAAGCCAAAUAAAAUUCAAACAUCACUAACAAUACAAAAGACAAUGGCUGAUACGACACAUACAAGCAAUCCUGUCAAUCCCCUGAUGACGAUGCGUUGACGAUAAACUAUUGUUUCCAUUUCGUCAAUCCUUUUCUGUAAUCCAAGCUUAAUCGAAAUCUUCUCAUCUUUUGUAUUAAUUGAUGAUAUCUCCAAGUUUUGCCUCUCCAAAUCACCACGAAGCUCCAAAAUUGUCUCAUUAAGUUCUUCAAUCUCCUCAGUCUUCUCUUUAAUUACAGAUUGAGCUUCUGCCAAAGCCCUUUUCGGCCACCCUAUGACCUCCUCGUCGAGCCACCUAAAGAAUUUGUAGUGAGCAUUACCACCUUCCUUGUACAACUGACACCGAAAGAACCUUUGAUUUGGAUUUUUAUCCGUUUUGGAUUUGAAGACCUUUGCCGGCAAUCCACAUUCACACAGUUUCCGAAUUCCAGAAUUACUCCCAAAGCUACUCGUCGAUCCAGAGCUUACUUCCAUCUUCUCUCGUUAUUCGGAGACAGACGAAGAACCCUAAUUGUUUAUUUUGGGAUAAAUGUCUAAUUGAUGACUCUAGGUGUUCGGAAACUCACUAAAUCAAUAUAGUCAUGUAUACUAAUAAAACUACGUCGUUCGAGACAUACCAGUAUUGGCUGAGUUACAGCUGUCUUACGAACAUCCCAUUAAUUUAUACAUAUUAAUUUUUGAGAUUACAUAAAGUGGUUUUUCAGGAGACGCCAUUAAUAAUUACUGACAUAUUCACCCGCAGACGGCAAGUCGUCGAAUCAGUCAUAAAUGACAACAUUUUUGAGAAAGUAUUCAAAAUAAUUCAAAUUUUUGAGUUUGGUAUAUCGGUUUAUUGGAUGAGUUUUAAUAUGUGCAAACAUGAGCUUAUUUCAUGAUCAUUAUUUGGAAAGUGAAUAUAAAAAGUUAAUUACAUCUCAUUAAUCUGAGUAAAUUACAUGACUGUAUCAUAAUAAUCAUGAAACACAGAUUAAUUCGUGGUUUGGCCGAGUUAUGACAGUGUCAUGGCUGACUUAACGUAGAUAUAAUUCGUGAUUUUCACUAUAAUCAUAACUGAGUUAAGGUCAAGUUACGGCUGAGUUAUAAUAAAAUUUAACAAUGGGCUUAUUUCAUGAUCAUUAUUUGGAAAGUGGAUAUAAAAAGUUAAUUACAUCUUACUAAUCUGAGUAAAUUACAUGACUGUAUCAUAAUGAUCAUGAAACACAGAUUAAUUCGUGGUUUGGCCGAGUUAUGACAGAGUCAUGGCUGACUUAACGUAGAUAUAAUUCGUGAUUUUCACUAUAAUCAUAACUGAGUUAAGGUCAAGUUAUAGCUGAUUUAUAAUAAAAUUUAACAAUGGGCUUAUUUCAUGAUCAUUAUUUGGAAAGUGGAUAUAAAAAGUUAAUUACAUCUCAUUAAUCUGAGUAAAUUACAUGACUGUAUCAUAAUGAUCAUGAAACACAGAUUAAUUCGUAGUUUGGCCGAGUUAUGACAGUGUCAUGGCUGACUUAACAUAGAUAUAAUUCGUGAUUUUCACUAUAAUCAUAACUGAGUUAAGGUCAAGUUACGGAUGUUUUAUAAUGGAAAUCACGGGUAAAUCAAGUGAAAAUAAAAGUCAUAAGGAAAGAUGAUAAUAGAAGUUCAUUACACGGAAGUUCACAGAGGAUAUCACAGUACAAGGAAUAUACUGUUAAGAUUUUAUAAAUCUUUAACUUGAGAUAUGUGUUGGAAACUGUAAAUAUAUCAAAUCAUUGUGAUAAUUGCUUUUCCAAGUUCAAUGCUAAUGUCAGUAAAUAAGUAAUCAUCAUUUAUAGAAGUUUUCGCGUUUUUUAAGACUCAAACGUGACAUGGCUGAUGUACCACAGAUGAAUUCGUGGUUUGGCCGAGAUGUCUAUAUUAUUUAUCGACACAAUGCUAAUGUCAGUCAAUAAGUAAUCAUCACUUAAUAUAGAAGUUUUCACCUAUAACUGCAACUUCUCUUAUUCUGUCUUAAUGUUUAGGAUUGAACUCUGUUUGUUUUUUUGCAAGUUGAAACAAUUGUUACUUUUGUUUGGAUGUGUUCAUAUGUAAUAAGGUUUACUUAUUACAUGUGAAUGAAAACUCUAUUUUAUGUGCAAUUUAAUUUCGUGCUAUAUUGCUCUUCCUGUAUUGCUCUUAAAAAUAAUUCUAAUACGUUACGGCUGAGUUAUUUACUACUAACGGCCGAAUUAUGAGAAAAAUCAUUUUAUUUAAAGGUUUCGAAAUCAUUUUAUUACGGCUGAUUUAUCGGUUUGUUGGAUGAGCUAAUUUUAUGAUCAUUAUUUGGAAAGUGAAUAUAAAAAGAUGAUGACUUAACACAAAAUAAUUUGUGGUUUGGCCGAGUUAUGACAACGACACGACUGAGUUAUCACAUAAUAAUUGAUGGUUUGGCCGAGUUAUGGUAGCGACAUACAUAUAAAAAACCGAAUUUAUCUAAGCUCACAGAUACUUGUUCAAGCUCUGAUACUUCUUCUCUAGCGCUUCAAAUUUCUCUUCCAUAAGAAAGAUCUUUUCUUCCUGAGCCUCGAUGCGCUUCUUGGCUGCAUCCAAAUCCUGCUUCAUCUCAUUCUUCUCCUCCUUUAUCUUCUCAAAUUCGUCACACAAUGCGACAGUCCACCACCUCAUGAAACCGCAGCCACGACCAGGACCCUUAAAAAUCAUACAUAACCCAUAUUACACCCCAAAAUUAAAAAAAAAAAAAAAGGAAUCAGAACUCAAAAUCAAGACCCAAUAAAUCUUAAAAGAUGCCUACGUCUGAGAUUUCAUACGGACAACUGAAAUAAAGUUUUCCUCUUGUAUUAGGAUCACGAGAAGUGGCAACGAGAACCGCUGCACUGCAAUCACACGCGAUCGGAACGCCCUUAUCGUGCCUCCGGUUUUCGCCGUACCUCAUUCUCAUCCUUAUUUCCAUACGAUCCAGCUCCUACAUUACCACAAACACGACAGACAAUAUAAAGAUGUCUAAAGAUUUGUUCGUCUCAGACGAUUGGGAAAAAAAUACCUCAUUUCCUUUAGAAGCAGUUUUCUCAUCAACCCUAGAGUCGCCGCCCAGUAGAGAUCUUUGCGUCAUCAUCUUCUCUUUGAUUACUAAAAAAAUAAAUAAAUCACUAAAUCAAUAUAGUCGUGUCUACUAAAGCACUGAUCAAACGACGUCGUUCAAGCCAGUCCUGUAUAUUGAAGAUUAAAACGAGAAUUGGCUGAGUUAUUAUAACGUUUUACGGCUGAGUUACUCAGAUAUUAAUUUAUUAUAUACAGUCUCGAGAUUACAGAAAGUGUUUUUUGGGGAAACGCCGCCAACAAUAAUUGCUGACAUAUUCACACGCACACGAGUUUUAAUGUCAUAAAUUAAUACAUAAUAAUUGAAAAUAAUACAAAAAAAAAUUAUUAUGAUAACUAAAACAAUUAAAAAAAUAUUCAAAAUAAUUCAAAUACGUUACGGCUGAGGUAUUUACUACUUACGGCCGAGUUAUGAGAAAAAUCAUUUUAUUUAGAGGGCCAUUUGUAUAUUAACAUUAUGUCUGGUUCUAAUAAUGUCCAGAUUUAUAACAUUAAAUCACAAUAAAAAUUUCACACUUUCAGCCCAUUCACAUUCUAUAUAGAUCGACUUUCUAGGAAUGGAAGUUAAGUAUGGCCUCGAUGUGUUUAGGGUUUAGAUGGUGUUGGUUUAGGGUUUAGGGUACAAACAUGAGCUAAUUUUAUGAUCAUUAAAAGAUGAGUGAAUAGAAGAAGUUAAAUACAUCUUAUAAACGUUAUUUAAUUUCAGAUUAAAUCAAAUCACGAAUUUAACACAUAAUAAUUCGUGGUUUGGCCGAGUUAUGACAACAACACGGCUGAUGUGCCACAGAUGAAUUCGUGGUUUGGCCGAGUUAUGACAACAACACGACUGAUGUACCACAGAUGAAUUUGUGGUUUGGCCGAGUUAUGACAACAACACGGCUGAUGUACCACAGAUGAAUUCGUGGUUUGGCCGAAUUAUUAUAACGAUAUACGGCUGAGUUACUCAGAUUAAUUCGCCAUUAACAAAUACAUAAAAGAGAAUUCAUACAAACAAUACUACGACUGACAAGUUUUAGCAUUAUGCCCAACUUGUUUACAUCGAGAAUAUACAUGUUGCUUCCUAGGGCGUUUGUUUCCAAUGGCAACUUCCAAAGAUGAUUUAAUCCUAAUUUUCUUGGGCCUUCCUGGCUGGUUUACAACAAUCGGAGGCAAGCACGGUUGGUUAACUACAAUUUGAGGAACAGGGAUUGCCGUAUCGGAAGGCAUGAUUGGAGCAGCGUAUGCGCUAACCAGGUAACUUCUCUUAUAGUAAGGACUGCACAGGGAUAUACGAGACACACCCAUAUGCUCUGCAGCUGCGAUUGCAUGUAUGCAUGGUAAUUUCUCGUGGUUGAAACGACGGCAUGUGCAUUUUUUAGCAUCCACAUUUACAAUAUGCAACUGUGUUCCAUAAGUUACCUGCACGCGUAAAGCAUCAAUCGUUUGUACACCCAUAAGUCUUGCCGCGGUGACACGGGCCUAUUAGAGGGGAAAAAAAAAACAAAAUACGUUAAGUCUGAUUUAUGGAAAUAAUGUCUGGUUUAAGAACAUUUGACGACUGACUUAUGUAAGCAGUUACAGCUGAGUUACCUGUAACAGUUUUUCAACACCUCGUGAGAGCGUUUGUUGCUGCGAAUUCGCGUCCUCUCUCCGUUCAGCAAACCAUCUGGUCAUCAUAGUCCGUAUCGAUUCUAACAGUCGAACUAUGGGAAGGCUUCUGGCCUUUGACAGUGCUUUGUUCAUUGAUUCCGCAAUAUUAGUAGUCAUUAAAUUGUACCUUUCACCCGGGAAAUGAACACGCGCCCACAUUUGGACACCAGCUCAUUGGAGGUAUCCAUGUAGGUUUUGAUCAGACGCUUCAAUCUCAUUGAAAUCACUCAGCCUAAAACACCUUGCCUCAUUAAAAUCACUCAGCCUAAAACACCUUGCCGCUUUUUUCACCAAAAGGAACAAAUGUUUUCCUUUGAAUUUCACCAUAAUGUUCUUAUACAAAUGGUAAGUGCAAAUUCCACGAGAAGCCAACGGAAACACUUCACCAAUUGCUUUCCCUAUUGACUUAUUUCUGUCCGAGAUUAUCACAAGAUCCUUAUCGUCAGGGAUAACAACUUUGAGUUGCGUAAAAAACCAGCGCCAAGAAUCAUCAUUUUCGGUGUCAACAAUACCGAAAGCUAUUGGAUAAAUAUGAAAAUUACCAUCCUGAGCUAGGGCUGUUAGAAGGGUCCCUUUGUAACUUCCAUGGAGAAACGUACCAUCGACAACAACAACUUUGCGCAUGAAAGGAAACCCAGCAAUACUGGCACCAAAAGCAAUGAACACAUAGUUGAAUCUUCCUUCCUCAUCAAGUUGAAGACGCGUGACUGUACCCGGAUUUGCCCAUCUUAUCAUGUAUAGGUAAGAAGGCAGUUCUUCAAAACUACUCUCAGGAGUUCCCUGAUCGAUCUGCCUUGCAUACAGGAGCAUCCUAUGUGACUUCCAAUAACCCAUCUGUUGACACCAACAUAUCGUAACUAGAAGUCAGCCGUAAUAUAUAUAACCCAGCCACAAUGUAAACAUAAGUCAGCCGUAAUAUAUAAGUCAGCCACAAUGUAAACAUAAGUCAGCCGUAAUAUAUAUAAGUCGUAAACUAUAAGUCAGCCGGAAUGUAUUGAUAAAUCAGCCGAGAUGAGAAAAAGUCAGUCGUAUAGUAGUCAAUAGGUCAGCCGCCACACAGUAAUUACCUUUAUUCUAAAAUGCUUAUUGAUAAUUACUCCGACUGAUUUAGGUUUAACAUUCGGACCAACGUCACCAAGAAAGUCCCUAUAAAGAACUCCCAAAACAUCAGGUGUUGCUUGUCGGGAUCGAUUAGAACGGUCUGUCACAGAACAUGUGUGUUCCGAAUCGUAUAUAUGAACAUAAAAAUGUGGCUCAUCCCCUUGUGUAGAUGCACGAACUCUCCAUCGACAUUCAUCAACCCAGCAAACAAUAUUCACUGCGGUUGGAUUUGAUACUGGUACAUUAAAAUCAAAUCCAUCCCUUACCACAAGAAGUUUGAGUCGAUACACCAAAUCUUCUUUGCUCCGGUAUCGUUGACCUACAGCGAGGUUUAGCGAAGACAACUCCAACCUUAAAGCCUCCGAGUCCCCAGCCGAUCCGGCCAUUUCAAUGUUCUGAGGUUUCUUCUUAGGAGGGAGAGACGGUGAUCUUCGUCUUUAUUCUGAGGAUCGCCGUAUACAGUAAAGUUAUCAUCAUCAGAUUAGGCACCAUCGGAGUCGUCGAAAACAUCAAAUCGGCCUGAAAUUCAUCAUCUUCUUCUUCGUCAUCUGCUUCUUGUNNNNNNNNNNNNNNNNNNNNNNNNNNNNNNNNNNNNNNNNNNNNNNNNNNNNNNNNNNNNNNNNNNNNNNNNNNNNNNNNNNNNNNNNNNNNNNNNNNNNNNNNNNNNNNNNNNNNNNNNNNNNNNNNNNNNNNNNNNNNNNNNNNNNNNNNNNNNNNNNNNNNNNNNNNNNNNNNNNNNNNNNNNNNNNNNNNNNNNNNNNNNNNNNNNNNNNNNNNNNNNNNNNNNNNNNNNNNNNNNNNNNNNNNNNNNNNNNNNNNNNNNNNNNNNNNNNNNNNNNNNNNNNNNNNNNNNNNNNNNNNNNNNNNNNNNNNNNNNNNNNNNNNNNNNNNNNNNNNNNNNNNNNNNNNNNNNNNNNNNNNNNNNNNNNNNNNNNNNNNNNNNNNNNNNNNNNNNNNNNNNNNNNNNNNNNNNNNNNNNNNNNNNNNNNNNNNNNNNNNNNNNNNNNNNNNNNNNNNNNNNNNNNNNNNNNNNNNNNNNNNNNNNNNNNNNNNNNNNNNNNNNNNNNNNNNNNNNNNNNNNNNNNNNNNNNNNNNNNNNNNNNNNNNNNNNNNNNNNNNNNNNNNNNNNNNNNNNNNNNNNNNNNNNNNNNNNNNNNNNNNNNNNNNNNNNNNNNNNNNNNNNNNNNNNNNNNNNNNNNNNNNNNNNNNNNNNNNNNNNNNNNNNNNNNNNNNNNNNNNNNNNNNNNNNNNNNNNNNNNNNNNNNNNNNNNNNNNNNNNNNNNNNNNNNNNNNNNNNNNNNNNNNNNNNNNNNNNNNNNNNNNNNNNNNNNNNNNNNNNNNNNNNNNNNNNNNNNNNNNNNNNNNNNNNNNNNNNNNNNNNNNNNNNNNNNNNNNNNNNNNNNNNNNNNNNNNNNNNNNNNNNNNNNNNNNNNNNNNNNNNNNNNNNNNNNNNNNNNNNNNNNNNNNNNNNNNNNNNNNNNNNNNNNNNNNNNNNNNNNNNNNNNNNNNNNNNNNNNNNNNNNNNNNNNNNNNNNNNNNNNNNNNNNNNNNNNNNNNNNNNNNNNNNNNNNNNNNNNNNNNNNNNNNNNNNNNNNNNNNNNNNNNNNNNNNNNNNNNNNNNNNNNNNNNNNNNNNNNNNNNNNNNNNNNNNNNNNNNNNNNNNNNNNNNNNNNNNNNNNNNNNNNNNNNNNNNNNNNNNNNNNNNNNNNNNNNNNNNNNNNNNNNNNNNNNNNNNNNNNNNNNNNNNNNNNNNNNNNNNNNNNNNNNNNNNNNNNNNNNNNNNNNNNNNNNNNNNNNNNNNNNNNNNNNNNNNNNNNNNNNNNNNNNNNNNNNNNNNNNNNNNNNNNNNNNNNNNNNNNNNNNNNNNNNNNNNNNNNNNNNNNNNNNNNNNNNNNNNNNNNNNNNNNNNNNNNNNNNNNNNNNNNNNNNNNNNNNNNNNNNNNNNNNNNNNNNNNNNNNNNNNNNNNNNNNNNNNNNNNNNNNNNNNNNNNNNNNNNNNNNNNNNNNNNNNNNNNNNNNNNNNNNNNNNNNNNNNNNNNNNNNNNNNNNNNNNNNNNNNNNNNNNNNNNNNNNNNNNNNNNNNNNNNNNNNNNNNNNNNNNNNNNNNNNNNNNNNNNNNNNNNNNNNNNNNNNNNNNNNNNNNNNNNNUCAAAGCAAUAACUCAGCCAAAUUUUUGACAAAUCAACCAACGGGUGAAAUCUCAGCCGUAACUUAGGCUGGGUUAUGCUCGAACGUCAGCCAUUUUCUCAUAACUCAGACCGACUUCAGUAACUCAGCCGUAACUAAUGUCUGAGUUAUACUCGUAAGUCAGCCGUUUGCUCAUAACUCAGUCAUUUUCCAUAAAUUAGCCGCUACUAACCGUAACUCAGCCGUCACUGCCGCUGUAUCGCUUUACGGCUGAGUUCAUUAAUACACGUCAGCGAUUUCUGACGUGGUGACGCGGCUUUGCUGACAUGGCAGUGGCAUUCUUUGUAAUUACGUUUUUCUGUAACGUUUAACAGGGGCACGCUGGGUAUAAAAAAUAUACCCGAAAUAUGAUAAUAAUAAAAAAAAGAUCUGUAUAUAUCUGGUAAUUUCAUAUAAAAUGUUAUACAUCUGAGUAAAGUUCCCAUAAAAGAAAGAGUCUUUUAUCAACAUAAUCUUGUUCUUUCUCAAAGAGUUUGAUACUUCAAUAACUUCAUCGCAAAAUCUCAAUUUUCCAAUUAUGUAAAAUUGCAGAACAUUUUUUUUAAUGAUUGAUCAAAUAAUUUUUGAUUUGAAAUAAUUUUAAACAAUCCUAGAUUCAAUGAGGCAGGAUUUAUCAAAAAAAAAAAAUAUCGAUUCAAUAAAGAAAAAAAAUUUAAAAGAAAAAACAUUAAAUCACUGAUCCAAUGCUUUUUACAUUCCGAGAUACAAAUUUUGAAAAAGAAAAAUAUACAAUAUAUUUUUCGUGAAAAAAAAGAUCAUACUCUUUUCUGUGUAUGAAAAAUAAAACACUUUUCUGAAAUGAAUUUAGCGUAACCGGCAAAAGAAGAUCCUUGAGUUGGACCCUCCUAAACCUUCGUGACAAAGACCUUCCUCCAAACUCUUUAAUCAUUGAAGAUUAUUUAAUAAUUUAAAAAUCAUAUCAAUUUGUUAUCGCAAGAUUUUAAAUUAUUAACAUCACAAAUGAAAUAAUUAAACAAAUAUGGGAGAACAUAGUUUACAAACAAAACAUCAAAGAAUUAAACAACAAUAAAUCAAAGAAUGCGUAAAUUAAAACUACUAAACUAUAUAUAUUGAAGUAGGCUUAACUUGCUUAGUAAAAUAGGAAAAGCUAGCCAUUAGAAAUGAUUAAGUGAGUUUUACUAACUCAGAGCAACCCAUCUUGGAAACUUGAUAAGGUGGUGGGAUAUUAAACAAAACACUUGACAUAGCUCUGAGUCGAGGAAAAUAACAAAAUAAAAGGCAAAAAUAUAUGAUUUUUUUUUUGGUAUUUUGAGUUUUGGGUGCUAAAUAAUUGUAAUUCCAUUUAUUCAAAAUAAGAAUCGGCUAUAAUCAGGAUUAUAAUAAUUUAAGAUAAGUUCGGUGUGGUUUAUAGUUACUACAAGGCUGAGCGAUAAUUAGAAAUGAAAACGAACUUUUUGAAAAUAAUAGUAUACAUAUAGCCUAUGAAUAAUCAUUGUUACAUGUGGUCAUGUAGAUCUUACAUAUGCAUUUUAAAAUCAUAUAUACAACAAUUAAUCUUGUGUUUUACUCUUUCCUUUUUAUUGUCAUCCACUAACAUAAUGCGAUGUACAAACAAUUAUAUAUAUUACUAUAGCUGUGAGAUACAAGCUUCUUAAUAGAGAAAUUUUCACAUUUUAUAGCUUACUAGUUUGACUUAUUAGUGAUAACAGAUUUAUUUUAUGUUAUGACAGUUUUUUUUUUCUUAACAAAAAUCUGGAGUGUGAUAGCAGAUUUGUUAUAUAAAAAUAUAAAUUGCUAGAAUGACAUAUAUUCACAACCGAAAUAUUUUAUGUUAUGACAGAUUUUUUUUAUAUUAUGACAGAUUUCAGAUAGACUAUAAAAAAAUCUGUCGUAUGAUGACAGUUUUAUUGAUGAAAAUAAAAUUUUAAUCUGCACAAUAAGGUAAUGACAGACAUAUUCUUAUCGCGACAGACUUAUUUAUAAUAAGAUGGUUCAUGUGUGGCUGUCUCCUUGUUAAUAUAUGAUAAAGAUAAUUUUUUCUUCGUUUUUAUAUAUUUUUUCUUUUUAAUUUUUUUUUGUAUUUUUUUGUUUUAUUUUUUUUGUUAUGUAUUUUUUUUUCAUUUUAAUUUUUUUGUCGUUUUGUAAUUUUUUUUCUAAUUUUUUAAUUUAAUUUAGUUAUUAUAUGUUAAUUAUUUUAUUUUAAUUGAAUUGAAAAUAAAAUGGGUAGUUGUUUUCUUUUUGUUUUUUUUUUUUCUUUUCAAUUUAUAUAUAUUUUUCAUUUGUAUUUUUUGUUUUUUUUUUCAAUUUUCGUUUUUUGGUUUUAUAUCUUUUUGUUUUUUAUUUUUUAUUUUUUAUUUUAUUUUUUUCAAUUUAUAUAUAUUUUUCAUUUGUAUUUUUUGUUUUUUUUUCCAAUUUUCGUUUUUUGGUUUUAUAAUUUUUUUUUGUAUUUUUUAAUUUUCUAUUUAAUUUAAUUAUUUUAUUUUAAUAGAACUGAAAAUAAAAUGGGUAUUUGGUCUUUUAACACAAAAUUUGUGUUAUUCUAGUAAACCACAAUAUUUGGGUGUUAAUCUAGUUAUUUUUCUCUAAAUUUGAGUCAAACUAGGUAAUUUUCAGAUUUUCUAUUGAUGAUAGAAAAUAAUUAAUCUAGAAUUCAGCUUGAAAUUCUCCCAGUUAUCAAAAUGAGACUGAAAAAAAAAUCAAAAUGAAAAAGAAAAAAAUUCAAAUAGAUAUGAGGGUUUCUUUCAACCAUAGAAAGAAAUUUCCGAUAACUAAAGAGUUCAUAUUCUAUACUAAUAUAUCCAUUGUAACUUGACGUUCGAAAAUUUUCUCUAUUUUCGAAAUUAUCUUGGCAUAAAUGUAAGGUCAAAGUGUUUUUUUUUUUUUUUUCAUGUACUUUCGGUAUUUUCUUGUCAUUAGUAAUUUAACUAUAUCUCGAUAUUUCUUUCUCUGAUCAAUAAGUUUUAAAGAUCCAGGGCUUGUUGUCUUGCUACUAUAGUAACCAAAUACAGUACACGCACACGUUGACAUAUUUCACGAACUUGUAGUGUGAUUAGAAAAAUCAAUAAACAAAUAUGAAAUCGUGAAGAGAAAGAGACGAUUAUUAAUCAUGAUAUAUGAUAAGUGAGUGGGCAAUUAUAUGUAAGAGAGAGAUGAAAAAGUUUAGCAUGUCAUCGAUGGAUCAUAAAACAGUUCAACCUACUAGCAUUAUAAAUUUAUAAUUAAAAUAAAUAAAAAUAAGGGAAUUUAUAAAAACUAACUAUGGAUCAAAAAAAAAAUAUAGAAACUAGUCAUGGACUACAGUAUCAUGUCAGGUGUGUAUAUAAAAUUACUUAAAAAUCAUUUUUUCUUAUCUUCUAACUCUCGAUUCUCUCUCAUCCAAAAAUAGAAUUUGUCAAAUUCUCUCCCUCUCUCUCUCCAAUAGCUUAAGAUAUUUCUCAUUGAUUUCCCUCUCGUCACAUCUUUACGCUAACCGGAUCUCAUUGUCUCCCGUGGAACUCCACCGUCGAAGAUAGCUCCAUUGUUUACCAAUUUUACUUUUCUGGAUUUUGUGUGAUUAUUUUUUAUGCACCGGUAUAUUUCCAUUUAACACAUAAUCUUUCAAUAUGUCACGCUAUUGGUUUUUUCGACAUGCUAUUUUACAAAAAUACAUGAGAUUUGUCUAAAUUACAAGUUGUUUCUUUCGUUAUUUUUAUUUGAUUCAUGUCAUCUAUUAAAAUUCCAUGAUUUUUUAAAAUACUGUCAUCUAUGUAUCCAUAGUUAUUGUCACCAUAACCACUUCCCUCACAACGACCACCAUCAUCAGGUACCUGAUUUCGUUAUUAACCAUGCCAAUCGGUCUCUUUACUCCUCUUUAGGAGUCUCUUUGCUCCUCUUGAGGAGUCUCUAUGCUUCUCUUUAGAAGUCUAUAUGCUUUUCUUUUAAGAGUUAAAUCCUCUUUUUAAUAAUAAUAUGCUCCUUUUUUAUUUUCGAGGAUUUUCUUUAUAUUUGGAACCAAAGCUGUCUAUCACGUUUUUAUCGUGUUAUAGACAAUAAUAUGUCAUCCGCCAGAGACAUAAUUUUGUAGAGCAUUUUUAGCUAGGACAAGAGAUUUCCUAUGAACUUUAAGUUCAUAUGUAUUUAUACGAGGAUCAAUAAUUUAUGAAAUCUCAUCCAUCAGCUUUUUGCAUUUGAUUUACAAUUUAUUAUGAAUAGUGAUCUAUUUGAACUUUGAACUCUUAAGUUCAUAUUUAUUAUAGUCAUUUGUUCAAAGAUCUUAACUAUUCAAUGAUUCUCCCAUAAUGAUGGGAAACUUUUAUCAUCAACAAGAUAAUAUGCAAAUCUUGCAAUAGGCACAUCUCUCAUAAGAUGGCUCAAUAUUAUAGAGCAAAGACUCAUCUCUAGCGUCUAUAUAUUUCAUCCUUUUAGGAUGUUAAUUUUUAUGCGGUGCAGAGGAGCAUUUAUAUAUAUCUCACACCCAUAAAAUUCAAAAUGAGAAAUAUUUGAUCUCCAAUCAUGUAUAUAUAACAUUGGAGAAAUGAUGAACUGGUUAUCAACUGGUUAUCAAAACUGCAUAGUCUCAUAGAGAUUUUUUUUUUCCUUUUUAGAGAUAAUUAAACUAAAUCAAUCUAAUUUUAUUUAAUUAAUUAGAAAAGGAAAAAAAUCUAAAGCUCCAAAUCAAGUGUAACAUUGGUAAAUGAUUACAUAUUAGUAUUUAUAAUAUUAUUAAUUAAUUAAAUAAAUAAAUACAUUGGGUUAUCGGUUUGGAUUGAGAAGAAACAUAAUCUAAUGGUUUGAAUGUAAGUUAUGGUUUGGUUUGGAUCGGUUUGAGUUUCUUUUGUUAGGUUUGGUUUGGUUUAGUACAAUUCGGUUAAAAUGUCCAUCCUAAUAAUAUUAUCCCGAUCUAUUCAAAAAUCAAAUUAUUCUAAAGUUAAAAAAUGUUUAUAGUGUUCAAAUUUUAAAGAACAAAAUACACACAAAAUAAACUUCGCAUAGUUAAUUAUUGUGAUCUAAUGGUAAAAUAAUUAUUUAAAGAAACAAAAGAUAUGUUAAUUAAUUUUUAGUAUGAUUCAAAUUAUGCUUGAGUACCAUAAAUAAAUGUAACAGGAAGAAUCUAAGGUUUUUAAAGUAUAGUAGUCGCUGAAAAAAUAUUUACAUAUCACAAUAUAAAAAUCUAACAUUUGUAAGAAAUUAAACAUAUACUAAAAACAUUAAAUAAAACAAUACAUUUAAAAGAUUUCUUGGAUUAUGUAUUUACCUUUGCUCGUAUUUUAGUUGUCUAUAUUUUAUAUUUUAUAUAUGCAUAAAAUAUAUAAAUAACUUUAUAUUUGUCUAUCAUAAAUACUUAUAUUAAAACAAAUUAAUUUACAAAAACUACCGGCAACUUACACCACUUGUUAAAUUUACCUCAUGCAUGUUGUUCUCUAAAAAUUAUUUGAUGUCAAACAAAUUCUUCAAAAAAUAAAUUUUUAAUAUUUGCCCUGCAGCGUAGCGCGGGUUUCGAUCUAGUUUUAUUAAAAAGCUUGGAAAGAGAUAGGACUUAUAGUGAAACACAUCGUUGGCCAGUGUCGUUGGCAUAAAGUCACGAGGGUUCAUUUGAAUAAACACAACUCUGAUUAUGGAAAAAAUUAGUAUGUCUUGUCAAUGUGUAAGAAUAGCAGAUUUUUCAUCUCCUAGCUUUGAUGUUUUUUGGAUCAUGAUUUUCGAUAAUUACACUUGUAUAUGGCUAAUUAGGUCAUGAGCUAUCCUAAUGGGGAUGGAGCAUUAUGAAUUACUAAAUCAGAGCAGCACUUAAGCCGUGAAUCAAGUUUAUAUAUGUCAUGUUUUGCUCUUAAUUUUAUCUACUUCCUGGUGAAGCUCUUUAUAUACAGGGCCACCAUAUUGCUGGAAUGAACUCAGCCCUCUUUUUAAUGCAAAGAGUAUGAAUAUAAAAUUUGGUUACAACACAUAUAUAGCAAAGAGUAUGAACAUAAAAGAACAUUGAAGUGUAUGCACAUAAAGCUUCCAUCACAAUAACAUGAAGGGAACCUCUAAAGGGAUUUUGGUCUAAUGUAUCAUAUACUGUAGCAAAACUUACAGAAAUUGCCACAAAACAUUUGUCUUUCUAAAUGUGCCAUAAUGGUGGACAAUACUUUGAACCGAAAUUUUUUUGUAGAUAAGAAAUGUUGUCCACCUUUGAAACAACAGAUUGAGGAGAUAUUUGGUGGACAAAAUUUUUUGUCAACCUUUGAAACAACAGACUUUUGGUGGACAAGACUUCGAAAGACAUACAAAAAUUUGGGUUGACAAGAAAUGUUGUCUCCCAUUAUAGCACAUUUGGAAAGAUUUAUGUUUUGUGACAUUUUUGCUAAAUUUUUGAACAGUAAGUGGCACAUUAUUUAGAUUUCUCUUUUAUCAAACACUUACUAGACUUCAAUUCUAUUUUACAAUUCCACUCAAAUAGAAACUCUAUUAAAAGCCAAACCUAAGCUAAACUCAAUGCAACGAACCAAAUCCCAGUUAUUGUUCAAACUUCAAGACACAUGAUUCAUCAUUAGAAAAACUUCAAAACUCCAUCCAAGUUUGCUACUUCCGGGAAAAAGAAAAAAAACGAGCUUCUAGAAGAAGAUGCAUACCUCAAUUUUUAUCAAAGCUUUGGGAAUGAUCUUGCAAUCACAUAGAAUCCAAUCAAAAACCAUGAGAGAAGUUAGAAAAUGAAGAAGAUCGAAAGAACUAUAAACCGGGGGAAGAGGCUAGAUUCAUACCAUAAGAAAGAAAGACGAGCUUCUUUCAGCGAACAUAAACUACAAAUAGAUUCAUGCUAGGACCAAAGAAGUUGGUCUAAAACAUGCCACCACCGAAAAGGAUCUCUACCACCUCCUUGCAUCUUCCCUGAUAAUUACCUACACAAAAAAACAACAACACAAUUCAUAAAACGCUACAAUCAAACACAAGAUCACAUAUUUUUCCAGAAAUCUGAAAUUUGCAAUUCAACAGAAUCUCUAGCAAGAUAACAACAUCAAAGAAGAUUUAAAUUCUAGCCACAACUCUCUAACUACAAAACAAAUUCAACAGUAAAUCAAGUCAGACUUAUGGGAGAUUACAUGAAUCAAGUCAAAACAACUCAGGAACCUAAGAAUCAUGGAGAAAAACCAGAGACCGGAAACCCCGCGUCGCCGAGAAAUAGAGAGAGAGAGAAUCACACGUGUUGUUUUUUUCUGUUUUAUUUCUUCUUCGACCAAUCCCGUGGCGACACGCGUCCGUCUCUUAACUCAUUUUUUUGUCUCUUAACUAAGAGACUUUCCUUAACAAUAUUGAACAUUUGGCAUUUAAUUUAAUUUAUAUAAUUACCUAAGAUUUAGCUAAGAUUAGUUUAAGAGACUACCAAUAAAGGUGGUCUUAGCUUUCUUUUCCUUUUCCCUAAGUGCCGGCUCAUAUUGGGGAGGGCGGUGAGACGACCCAGGGGCCAAUCCCAUGUUCCUAUAAUUAACAAACUCAUUUUUAAAAAUAUAUUUUAAAAUGUAUAAAUAAAUUAGAUUACAACAUAAAAAUAAAAUUUACAGGGGCCUAUAAUUUUUUUUUAUGUAUUGUUUUUGGUUUUAAUAAUUAAUUUUUAAUAAAAAUAUCAUACAAAAUUCUUUUUAUAGCAAAAUAAUAUUAAAAAGAAAUUAAAGGCCCAAAAUGUUUUUGCCCUAAGGCCCAUAAAGAUGCUGAGCCGCCCUUCACAUCAUAUAAUGUAUAAGCCUUUUUUUUUUUUUCCUUUUUAAUAUGUAAUUUUUCUCAUACAAAUCCCAAUUUGUUAUUUUGAAACCUUGAAAUGGGACCUAAACUCUGAUAUAGUGUUGGGCCUGCUAAGCCAAUCUAGAACCAAUAAGGCUGCAUGCACAACAUGACUGGUGGCUGUUUGAAUGUGGUUUUUAAAAUUUAACGACUAAACAUAUUGUGAUUCAUUUUCAAAAUUUGUGUGGUUAGGGGGUACACAAAUUUUCAUCGUGAGGCUUGAGAUUAAUCUGCACGUUUUAAUGAUAUGCAUGUCAGAUUCACACUCAAGUAUUUAUAUUAUUUGUGGGUUUAAACAUUCAAAAUUAAAAGUACAAGAUAAAAUACGUAUAAAAAUAUUAUAAAAUAUAUAUGCAAAAAGUAGAGAGAAAACGGUUAGUAUUGAUAGUAUGACCAAUUAGUAUUGAUAGUAUGACCAGAUUUAGAUGUCCCUGGUCUAAGGGAUACAUAUUUAUACACAAUGAUUUACAUUAAUUAUCUAUUUAAUGUGAUAAUUAUCAUUAAAUGUGUCUGUUUUGAUUCAAUCAUUAAUGUCGUAAUGUCCUUGUUUGAAUUCUUUUAAACCUUCAUUGCCUUUUGAGCCUUCGGCCGACUAUCCUCUUCCGAACUCUCUCUUCACUUUGUUGAGUUUCCCUAAGCUCUUCGGUUCGUUGGGAAAACACUGACACUUCAGAUGUGGAUCGAUGGAGAAAAGACACGGUGGCUAAGGAAGGGUGAUGGCUCAGACAAGCCCUCAGCAGCCGGAACCCCGUGGAAGCCAUCUCAAAUCCAAAAUGGAUCUGCCGUUAACCAUCGAACACGCAUUGAAAAAACCCACCAAUCUGUAAGCGUCUUCCGCCGCAGCUACAACGUCUCUAUGAGCGGUUGAGCCGUGAAAAACUUCACUGAUCUUUACUGACGUCCUCAACCAGGAAAAAUCGAAAGAGAAGCCUCUCGUCCGUCGAGAAGGGCCGCCGCUGCCAACGCUUACCGCAAACUCCACACCACUCCAAUGCCGGAGAAGAUAGCUUGGCUCUUUCAUGCUUCGUCUUGCAAUUCUAGGACCUACGUUGAAGAACGGAGCCGAAAACCCACUCUAGAUCUGAAUAUUGGAGAAGUUUUGAGAGAAAAAAAAAAUAGUAAAAAUACGAUUAUCGAGUUCUUCAAAAAAAUUUAAUAUACUCUGGUAAAUCUACAAAUAAAAAAAUAUAAAAUAUACAAAAUCAUAUAAUAUACUCGAAAAGUUUUUUUUUUUUUUUUGUCAACCACACAUUCAUUAAAAACAAUUUCAUGAUUGGUUGCCCAAUUAGGAGGAGAAGAGUUUACAAAAGUAACAUCAGAUCUACUCGAAAAGCUAUCUAAAUGACAAAAAUAAAAAAAAUUCUCACAUUUCAUAUUAUCAACUUGAUAUAGAACUACAAAGUUUGGAUAUCUUUUUAGUCCAUUGUUAUUAUUUUAUUGAUUAACGGAAGAAAUUCAAAUCGAAACAUAGGCUAAUGUUUACCAAAUUUUUGGGGGUCUAAAGAAACUUUUUUAGUAGCAGCAAAAAAGGAAAGUUUGCCAAUUAUUCUCUUUAAAAUCAAUUUUUUUUUUGAAAAAUCAAUAAUUUUUACCUUCUGUUUAUAUAUAUAUAUAUAUAUUUUAUAUUUUGACCCUAGUAAAUUUUGUUUCUUUGUCCGCCAUUGGUCAUAACUAGAGGUGUCAAAAUGGGUCAAGAUUCAUGGGUCAACCCAACUCAACUCAAUCCAUGAACCCUAAUGAGUUGAAAAUUUUGACUCAAAUGAGUUGAUGGAUCAAAUGAGUUAUUGAGUCAAAUGGGUUUAUGAAUCAAAUGAGUUGGGUUGUAAUGGGUCAAUGGUUUUAAUUGUUUACCCAUUUAACCUAUCAAUUUUUGUUAAAUUGAAUCAAACCAAUUCAAAUCUCUAAACCAAUUUCAAUUUGAGUCUAACCAAAAAUUCUAAACCGAUUGAAUAUAGUCUUUAAUUUUCCCGCCAAAAAUGUGAAUACACAAUUUUCCCAUCAAAAUAAAAAUUCGUGAUUUUCCCGCCAAAAAAAGUAAAUCCGCAGUUUUCCCGCCAAAAACGUAAAUCCGUGAUUUUCCUGCCAAAAUUUUUUAUAAUUUUUAACCAAAAACGAAAAUAUGUAUUUUUCCCACCAAAAAAGUAAAUCCGUGAUUUUCCCGCCAAAAUUUUUUAUAAUUUUUAACCAAAAAUGAGAAUGUAAAAUUUUCCCGCCAAAAACGUAAAUCCGUAAUUUUCCCGCCAAAAACGUAAAUCUGUGAUUUUCCCGCCAAAUAAUAGUGAUGUUGAUGAUGAAUUGAUGAUGAUGAUGAUUAUUAUUAUUAUUAUUAUUAUUCUUAUUAUUAUUAUUAUUAUUAUAUUUUAAUUAUUAAUUUAUUUAUUACAUUAAUAAGUUAAUAGGUCAACCCAUUUAACUUUCUAACCCAUCAAAUUAAAUGAGUUCAUGGGUUAAUCUAAAUGAGUUGAGUAACCCAUAAACUCAUUUAACUCUAAACUCAUUGGGUAAUGAGUUGAAUUGAGUUGGGUUAACCAUUUUGAAACCCCUAGUCAUAACCUUAAAUUUAUCGAAACUGAAACUUUGAACAUGCACAAGUGUUGAGAUUGAGUUCUUGAUUAAACCUGCAAAAGAGAAGCUUCAAGUGAGAAGAAGAUGAAGAAAAGAGAAGAUGCAAAAGCAGAGCAAAAGGAGAAGAAGAAGUUGUCGAAGAACAAGAGUCAACGACAAAGGAGAAGAAAGACAAAGUCAACAAGGAAGAAGAAGUUGGGCUUGUGGUUUUUGGAGUGUUGUAAUGGGCCUACGAAAUAAGUAAGGCCCAGUAAGAAGAAUGUUGUUUUUGGUUAAAGUCUAAGUAGUAGCUAGGUGUCUAAAGAGAGUGAAUUGAGGGAAUUAGAGAGUUAGUAACUAGGAGUGUGGUCUAGUGUGUAAGAGUCAUGAUGAUCUAAAGUAUGGUCUAAGUGCAAGUGGUAAGUAGAGAAACCACUAUAUGUAUGUGUGUGUGUUUUGUAAGAAGUGUAUCCAAGUUAAUACAAAGUAGACAAUUAAAGUAAAAUGUGUUCUUGUUUUCUCUCUAGAACAAGUGAACACAAACGAGUAAGAAAGUGUGAAAGAUAGAGAGAUUGUGAGAAUUACAACAA
rnacentral:lncRNA from 1 species